UUUUGGAUGGGGAGGUGCUGAAAGACUACAAGAGCUACAAGUUUACCACGCAAGCGAUACCAAAGGGGGAGGGCUGCUUGGUGAAAUGGACCGCUGAAUAUGAGAAGGCAAGUGAGGAUGGGCCGGAUCCUCGUGACUAUCUGGAGCUUACAGUUAAUGUCAUCAAAGACAUCGAAAGUCACCUUCUCAAUGCAUAACACCGAGACCAUAUAUGCCGUUUGCUAGUAUUUCUCAUGUAAAUAAAGUCUGGAACUUGGAAGUGCAUGUACCUACGAUCUCUAUCCUUCAAUAAACGCAAAUUCCAGCUGUGGACUGGGUGAUUAAUGCCGAGAAGAUAAACUUUCCUUAAUUAUUUGUGCAAUAAUGUUAUUGCAUGCGUGUAAUCGGUUGUAUGCUUGUCUAGGAGUCGCUUUGUGAUUUUUAGUUGGUGUCUCUUUUAAUGGGGUUCUUGCAUGUAAUGUGAAGACCGUAUGAUGCAUGAGGAAAUAAAUGAAGUGAAAAUCACCAAGGGCUCAAUCACGAGGAGCCUUUGAGUACGUCCACACAUAUGUGAAAAAUCAGCCUGUAACAAAUUAAACUCUUAAUCAUUAAAAGGGCAAAAUCCCACUUUGCACAUAAUCUAAAUAAUUUAUCUAAAAAUCUAAGAAUCUCUCUCUCUCUCUCUCUCUCUCUCUCUCUUUUCAAUUUGACGAGGACAUAAAAGUAUAAAGUGAUAAAGUUUAAGGGUAGUGACUUCUAUUGAAUUUUGUGAGGUGGUCAGCUAUAAAUUAUGCAAUGAGGAAAAUAGAUUAAUAGUGUUCAUGCAACCAAAUAGAAAAUAGAAAGUAAUAAUAACAUUAAUAGUAAUCAUUUAAUAAAUACAAUUAAUGCAAUUAUGCUAAAUGAAAAUAAUAAUAAUAUUAUUAUUAUUUUUAACUUUAUUUAUGAUACAAAUGAAUUAAGUCUCUUAGAAAUUUGUCCUGUCCAUUUUUAUUUUUUUUAAAGUAUCAAAAUAUUUAAAUCUCUUAAAAUAAAUCGAGUAAUAUUUUUUUUAAAAAUAUAUUAUGAUUUGUUUGAUUGUUAUGCAAGUGAAUUUUAUUAUUAUUAUUUUAAAACUUUGGUUAUUAUUGACCCUGAUCAAUAAGAGUAAGGUUGUGUUUGUUUUUUGGCUGAAUAGAAAAAGUCAAAUAUUUUAGUUUUUUCUAUUCAGUUAAAAGUAACUCAUUGAUAUCAACCAACAUCAUUAAACUAAACUUAUUGAUAAUAAGUUCACUUUAAUUAUGUUGGUUAGUAUCAAUAAGGUAUUUUUAGCUGAAUAGAAAAAACCAAAAUAUUUGGCUUUUUCUAUUCAGCCAAAAAACAAACACCACCGAUUGUUAAUCCUUAUUAUCUUUGGUGGGGGUAGUGAUGCAAUGCAAAUCUAGUUAAUAAAGAUGUUAUUACCCUUUCGUGUACUAGUAAGAGGAACAAAGGGAGCGUAACAACCUAGUACAAGUCCCAAUUUUGAACACCACAUUAUUAAUAAUGGACCAAAGUAAUUUGUUCAUAAUUUUUUUUUAAUAUGAACUGAGUAUACAAAGUGUGUUAUUUAAUCAUAUCUUUAAAUUGAAAGUGUUUAAUUUUUUUUUGUGAAAAAAGUUGAUUUAAUUAUUGAAUUAAAUACACUUGCUAAUUGAUUUUUAUAGAUGCCUAUUAAUGUCUUAUAAUUUAAUUUUGUACAAACCUUAUUUGACUCACCAUUCUAUAUUAUUAUUAUUAUUAUUAUUUUAAGGUAAAAGUGGUAUCUACAGGAGAGAUCAUGAUAGGAAAAGUGUUUUUAUUAGCAACACCUUUGAAAUUGAUUUAUUUUUAAAAUUGUUUACUUAAUAACUUUGGAAUUGAUUUAUUUUUAAUAUUGUUUACUUAAUAUUGAAUUCAAUUAUAAUUUCUAGAGUUUUUAUUUAAAUGGUGGGAAGAGUCAUUAAAUUUAUUAUUAAGAUUUUUUAAUUAGUUUUGAAUUUAUUAAUUAAAGUGUUCAUGUGUUUGAAACAAAUGUUGAUACAAAAUGAUCAUGUUACCUUACUCUUUGGUAUUGUGGUGUCGUAGUUGGUUUUAUAGGUAUUUUUAUUAUAGAGUAUUAGAAUAUGUUUCACUGCUUUUAUUUUAAAGGUGUAUUUGGUACGCGGGAAUAUGAAUAAAAAAAGGAUGAGAUUGGAAGUGAAUCAUAAUCUCAUGUAUAAGAGAGGAAUCAAAAUCCUAGUGAGAGGGGGAUUUGGUUUUCAUAACACUGAAUUUUUUAUUUCUAUUCUCAUUUUAAAAAAACAAUUCAAACACAUUAAUAAAUGUGAAUGAAAUUAGUUUCUCAUUGCCAUUUUCUAUUCCAACAUUCCAAACAUGCUCUAAGUGUUUUUAGUAAAAAUGUUUUUAUUAAAUAUGUUUUUAAGAAAGUCACCUAUUAAAUAUUUUUUCAAAAAAUAUUAUAAUUGAUUUUUUAAAAUUACAUCUUGUUUUUCAAAAUUUUAAAAAUAUUUCUUAAACUUUUUUAAAAACAUUUUUAAUCUGAACACCCUUCUUAAAAUCAUUGAAACCAGACUUUUAAUUAACCUACCAAUCUUCAAAACAAUCUAAGAUGCAGAAUGAUUUUGUGAGUUAAGGUCAAGUGGGCGCUUCAAUAUUUAUCAUGUCUUUAAAAAAACUUCAGGGCCCAAGUCCAGAUUCUCAGAUAUGGAUUCUAACAGUUGCUUCCAAUCAUGUUGGUGAAAUCAAAUGAGUGUCACAGAAAUCGCUAUCAUUGUGGUACUGGAAAAAAAGAAGAGAUUCCUCCACUUGUUCUUGAAAUUUAUCUGCACGCAUGCAAUAAAUCAAUGCUCCAUAAUCUCCUGCACAUGCAAAUUAAAAUCAAAAUCAAGCCAUUGGCCUCUCACAUUACCAUUCUUGGCUAUUUUCUGCUAUGUAUAUAAAGAGUAAUAACCACAUCAUCCAACUUUUGCUCUGGUCGUCAAACUUCCACCACUUCUUUCCUAACCUCCUAACAUCAAAUACAAAAAUGCCACAUCCUUAUUAUUGAAAAUUAAAUUCCCACAAGCUUAUGCCAGAUUUUUUGUUGAUUGGAUAUUCGGUCUCAUAAAAUUCAGUACCGAUCACAAACAUUCGUUAUCCACCCUUGAUAUCGAGUAGGAUAGAGUAUCCAUAUAUGGACUCGGUGCACCAUACCUUCCCUCUAUAAAAGGUUCUAGGGUGGUGAACUAUUUUUAUUUUUCUUCAAACGCAGCCUCGGCUAGUUACUAUAUGGUUUCCAAGCACUAAAAGGAAAAAAGAAAUGGCUCAGAUAGCUAAGAUGGAAGCCCAAGUAGAGAUAAAGUCCCCUUCCAAUAAGUUCUACGAGGUCUUGAGCAGCAAAGCUCAUCUCCUUCCCAAGGCCUGCCCCGACAAAAUCAAGAGCAUCGAAGUGGUUGAAGGUGAUUGGAAGAGUGCGGGCUCUGUCAAGCUCUGGACUUACUGUAUCGGUAAGGCAAUGCUAACCAUUAUUCCCAUGCCACCCUCAAUCAAACAAAAUACAACACUCAGCAUAUGGGCCUUCUUGUUUUUAAUAAUGAUUGCAUUGGAAGGUAAUAACGAAACAAAAGGAAUGACCCUUCCUAUCAUGUAAAUAGCUCCAUCUACCAUGUAAACGUAUUUAUUUAAGGAUUUCAUAGCAUAGGACACUUAGAAGGCAUGUUUUUACUUGAAUGUUUUAAGCGAAAGUGCUUUUCCUAAAAGUACUUUUUUAGAUAUCUUCAAAAACAAUUACAAAUGAUUUUCAAAUAAAAUAAGUGAUUUUUCAAAUAUUUAAAAAUGAUUUCUAAAUUUUACCAAAUGCCUAUCUUUUUUAAAUGCUUUUUAGGUUAAAAAGACUUCUUCAAAUAAUUGUUAAAUGCAUUGUUAGGAAGUGUCUCAAAUUCCUAAUUAGUAUAAAUUUUUUUUUUUGUAAAAAAUAUUAUAUAAAUAACAUUAGACUUCCUCAUAGAAUAAGGAAGGUUGUUAAAAAUAUUUUUAUAAAUAUUAUUGGUUAUGAGAGAAAAAAGUUAUGAGAUGAAAAUGAGUUUGUAAAAGACUAUAUAAGGUAGAUAGAGAUGUGCGAAAGAACGGGAGGUACUUGGUGGAGCGAGAAGACUCAUGGUAGGGUAGAAAUACAAAGAGUAAGGAAACAUGAGAUGUUUCAUAAACUCACUAAUUGUAUUAGUUAUGUUUUCUGUAAUGUUUUGGUUCUGUCAUCUGUAAUAUUUUUUAUUGUAUAGUAAAAUAAUUUUCUCUCAUCUGUGGAUAUAAGCAUGAUUGGUCGAAUUACGCUAAAACCUUAUAUACUAUUUGUGUCAAUUAUUUUAUCUUUGUAUUCUUGAUUAACGAUGUUUGUAUCAAAGCUUCCAUCGACAUAACAUGCACUUUUAUAAAAUACAAAAUUACAAGUUAUAUUUGAGAGGUGUUUUUGAAAAUAAUUUUGUAAAAUAGUUUUUAAAAAUUAUUUUAUAAUAUUUUGGAGAAUAAAAAUUUGUUUAUGUUUUUAAAUUUUUUUAUAUAUUUUAAAAUAUAUUUUUAAAAGUAACUUUUAUUUAUAAUAUUUUAUUUUAAUCAUUUUCAUAUUUGAAUAAACAUUUCUUAAAUCCCUAAAAGAUAAGUUAAAAUAAUUAAAAACAAUUAUAAGAUAUUCUAUGAGAAUAUCAUGUUUUAUAUUUUUAACAAAAAAAAUAUUUUUUGUUUUAUGGUUACUAAAUGCAAUUUUCUAUUUUUUUAGAGAACAUAGAAAAACAAUUGCCAAACAUGUCAUAAAGUUUAGAAACUUAAAAUUUUUUAAAUUUUUUUUUGUAUUUUAAAAUAAAUUUUAUUCUAAUACUUUAUUUUUAAUUAUUUUUUAUAUAUGUAGAGAUAUAUAAAACAUCCAUUGAAAAAUAAGUAAAAAGAAUUUUAAAAAUAUUCUACAAAAAUACUUUGUUUUAUGUUUUUAAUAACAAAAAAAAUGUUUUUUAUUUUCUAAUUUUCAAAGGAAAAAAAACCAAAAAAACAAAUGAAUGAAGAGAGAGAAGAGAGGAAGAUAUUUAAAGGGAGCAAGAGCACAUUUUCAUACACUGAUUAGCCUGUUUCUUUAAAUUUUGUUUUAUUAUUUGAUGGUAACCAUGGAGCUGGGGAUGAUAAUUACUGGACGGUUACCAACCUAAUCAGCCUUUUUCAUUCGAGUUGAGCUACAUCAUAACUUUAUCUAAAUCAAUUUAUAUACGUGUAACAUGUUUGAAAUAGUGAACAGAAACCAUCAUGGAAACCAGUUUUCUACGGUAGUGUAUUGUUUUAAAAUAUUUUAAAAAAAAUCUUAACAUAAAAGAUAAUUUCAAAAUUGUUUUAUUUUAAUAUCCCCUAUUAAAAAAAAGGUUAAUUGGUUAAAGGGAUCAAAAUAACUCUCAUAUUUGGAAAUAUAACCCACCAGUCAAAAAACAAAAAGUUAACCCGAUUGAGACAAAAAUGCCCUUCUUCUUUUAUCUUUCCAAGACACACAACUUCUCCUCUUCUCCUUCAUUUACAGAACGACUCCUCAUAUUUUUCAAAAAAAUUCUCUCAUCAUCUUUUUCUACUUCAUUAUAUUCAUUUGGUGCAUAAAACGGAAAGGUCAUCUCCUCUUCCGCUUCAUUUACAGAACGAGUCCUCAUCUUUUAUCAUCUUCUUCUAUUUUAUUAUCUUCCUUUGAUGUACAAAACGAAAAUAUCAUAUUUCCUUCAAAAACCCUAGAAAUCCUCUGUUUCAUUCUGAAUCCUUGGAAAAAUUAUUAUUCUAUUUUUUUUCAAGUUAUCUCACAUUAUAUCUUCAAGCAUGAAGGAAAUAAUGAGUUCAUUGAAAAGUAAUAGGAGAAAAAGAUUUAAAAAAAUGGCGAAAAGCAAAAAUGUCAAUUGCGAAUAGAAGAAAAAGUGAAGCAAAGGAAAGCGAAGCCAGUGAGCAAAAAUCCCAACUAUUGUGAAACAGUGAUUGUGAACUUAACUGUGAUUAAGUUCUUUGUUAAUGGAACUCAACUACUAUUAUGUUCAGGCGAAAAUUUGGACGAUUAUUAUUAUUUGAUGGUAACCAUGCCAUGGAGCUGGGGAUGAUAAUUACUGGACGGUUACUAAACUAAUCAGCCUUUUUCAUUCAAGUUAAGCUACAUCAUAACUUUAUCUAAAUCAAUUUAUAUACGUGUAGCAUGUUUGAAAUAGUGAACAGAAACCAUUAUGGAAAUCGGUUUUCUACAGUAGUGAAUUGUUUAAAAAUAUUUUUUUUUAAAUCAUAACAUAAAAGAUAAUUUUAAAAUUAUUUUAUUUUAAUAUCCCCUGUUAAAAAGAAUGAAAAUUAUCGUAUUUUUUUGUAUUUAUUUUAUAAAUGAUUAUAUUUUAAUAAUAAUUUUUUAAAAGAACUUUUAUUUUUUAAAAUCCCAUGGAAACUUGUGUCCACUCUAUUGAAGAAGAGACACGCAAGCCCAAAAAGGUUGGGUGGAAGAAGCACCGCAUUGGAAUUAUUGCAAUUUAUUGAGUUGGCUGCCCCUAGGCAUUGACAGUUAAACAAAAAAAAAAAGAAAAAAAUAAAAGAAAAGAUAGAGAGAGAGCGCACUACCAAUAUUGGGGAGGACUGGAGGAGGCCUUGCCUAAUUCACAACCCCCUUCUAUAUAUAAGGGCAAGUUAAUGUAUUUCCUCUCGCCACUGCCUUCUGUUUGAAUCAUUUGUAAUUAGUUUUAUUAAUCCAGCUAGUGUUAUUAUCAGGAAAAACAUGGCUCUAACUGCAGGUAAGUUGGAGAUUGAAACAGAGAUCAAAGCAGUUGCUGAUGAGUUCUUUAAAAUCUUCAGGAGCCAAGCACACCACCUGCCUAAUAUCUGUUCCGAUAAAAUACACAAAAUCUAGGUACAUGAAGGUGACUGGGAGACUCAGGGAUCCGUCAAGCAUUGGAUGUUCAAAUUGAUGAAUGGUAGUUUUUCAUUCAUACUUUCUUUCGUUCAUAUACAGAGUAUAUAUAGAGGGUAAUCACCAUUCUAAGAAUGAGAAAGGAUGAUACAAGGAAAGAAUAAUAUAAGGAAAUAACAACUAAUAUCCUAAUAUCUCAACUUUCCUAAUAUCUCAAUAUUCCUAAUAUCUUAAUAUUCAUAAUAUCUUAACUUUCCUAAUAUCUAAACACUAAAUGAUAUAAGGAAAUAAUGAUAUAAGGAAAACAUUCCUAAUAUCUCAACACUCCCCCUCAAGUUGGUGCAUAGAUGUCACACAUGUCCAACUUGUCUAAAAUUUUUUGAGAAUACUUGACUUGAGACAGCUUUGGUGAGGAUAUCGACUAACCAAUCUUACUUUCCACCUUGGAUCAACUAAGGCUUCUUGCACAUUGUUAGGAAUAACUACAGUAAAUAAUUGAUUUACAAAUGACUUAUUUGAUUCAGACAAACGAUGGUUAGACACAUAGUUGCUCAUGGGAUAUUUGACUUUGGUAGACAAAUCAGGUUCAUAUGUGGGUUUAGGAAUACCAAGAUUAUGACGAUGUGGUAACCGUUUCAUGAAUGGAUCGGGUUCCAAAUUAAGAACACCCUCAACAGACGACGAUUGGUUUGAUAUUUCAGUGAAGACAUCUUCAGACCCAAAUUGUUGACCUCUCAUAUCCAACUCACCCACUUCCUGGUUCACUAGUUCAGAUUGUCCAGAUUCAUUCUCCUUAGAGAUAUGAUAAUCAUAAUCAAGAGUCUGAAUUUCCUUAUGGUACUCCCCCUGAAGUUCAGACUCAGAUGAAAAUUACAUCGAAUCUUCAUGAAACACCACAUCCAUUGUAAUAUACAUUUGUCGAGUUGGAGGAUGGUAACAUCGAUAUCCCUUUUUGUGCAAUGCAUAUCCAACAAACACACAUUGCAAUGCAUGGGAAGUUAACUUAGUGCGUUGGUGCUUGUGUAGAUGCACAAAUGCCACGCAACCAAAAACACGAGGAGGUAGAUUUGGGACGGUUGGGGCAACUACGACAUUAGUAAGAGCUUGGAGAGGUGUUUGAAAGUUAAUUGAGCUAGAAGGUACCCGAUUGAUCAAGUAUACGGCAGAUGUGAUUGCUUCUCCCCAAUAAGAUAUCGGUGUUUUUGCUGCUAUCAAGGAAGCACGAAAAACCUCUAACAAGUGCCGAUUUUUUCGUUCAACGACUCCAUUUUGCUGGGGUGUAUUGGAACAAGUAGUUUGAUGAAUGAUGCCAUGUCCUUCCAAAUACUUUUGAAGAUCAGAACUUUGAUAUUCUCCACCAUUAUCACUACGCAGAACCCGAACCUUUGCAUUGUAUUGAGUUUCAAUCAUUUUAUGAAAUUUUUGAAACAACAAGUUCACUUCAUCUUUGGUCUUCAUCAAGUAUAACCAUGUCAUUCUGGUACAAUCAUCAAUAAAAGUAACAAACCAACGCGAACCACUCAAAGUUGGGACUUUGGAUGGGCCCCAAACAUCAGAAUGUAUAAUCAUAAAAGGAGACGGACUUUUAUUCAAAAUUAAUGGAAAGGAAGCACGAUGGCUUUUAGCCAAUUCACAAAUAUCACAACGGAAACCAGAAAUAUCACUCUUUGCAAACAAACUAGGAAAUAAUUUUUUUAAAUAUCCAAAGGAAGCAUGUCCCAAACGUCGAUGCCACAACCAAAUUUCAGACUUUUUCUUCUCUUCCUCAGAUCCAUCUGCCAUCAAGGCUUGUCGCAACUUAUUUGAAUCAUUUGACUGCAAGUCCAAAUAAUAGAGUUUUCCCCGCUUAAUACCAAAACCAAUCGUCUGUCUUGUUUGGAUGUCCUUAAAAACACAAAAUUCAGGCCAAAAAAUGACAAUACAAGAUAAGACUGCAGUGAUUUGAGAAACUGACAAAAGAUUGUAAUUUAAGGAUGGAACAACUAAAAUAGAAUCCAAAUUCAAAGUAUCAGUAAGAGUUAAGGAUCCUUCCCCAAUGACUGGGGUUGUGUUACCAUUGGCUGUGGAAACAAAUUUUUGUGAGGAAGGUCUAACGGGUGAGACUUGUCUAGAAUCAAAAGUCAUAUGAUCUGUAGCACCAGAAUCAAUUAUCCAUGCAUUAUUAAUAACAGGUGUAGAAGUAUUUAAAAACUUACCACCAUAAUCUGUAGCGGCUAUCAAUGCAGAGGCUUUCUCAUCAACAUUAGCCUCUGUUUUUAUUUCGGCAAUAGCUGCAGUCGAGGUUUUCUUGGAAUUCUUCUUCUGUUGAUCACGAUUGUGAUCCCACCAGUCUGGAUAUCCCACAAUUUCAAAGCAACGACUCUUGGUAUGACCAGUCUUAUUGUAGUGAGUGCAUUUGAAGGUUGACUUAUCAAUAUUAUGGUCUGUCUUAGGAUGAUUGGUCUUGGAUUGGUCCUGCCAAUUUCGGGUUAAUUGUUGUCGGACUACCAUAGCUGAGGUGUCAGGGUUGUCAGAUUCUGCUUUCAUACUAGCAUGACGUAAUGCCUCUCGUUGAAUCAGUGCAUAGCAUUCUUCCAAAUAGGGAAGAGGAUCUUUGCGUAGAAUCUCUCCUCAAACUUGCUCAAAGUCACCACCCAAUCCAGCAAGAAAGAUGUGCACCCGUUGUCGUUCAAUGGAUUUCCGGUAUGCUGCAAUGUCUUCAGGGUCUUUCAUGACUACCUUCUCCCGAUGAUCCAAUUCGCAAAAAAGUUCAAUUAACUCUCCAUAAUAUUCAGAAAGAGACCUGCCGUUUUAUUUGGCAGUGAAGACUUUUUGAUUCAAAGUGAAAACUUGUAAUUCAUCACUUUCAUCAUAGAAGGCCUUUGAUAAUGCACUCAAAAUUUCUUGAGCGGUGGGUAAGCGUAAGUAAUGCUUCAUAAUUUCUGGACUCAUGGACAUUAACAACCAUCUCUUCACCUUUUGAUUCUCAGCAUACCAUUUUUCAUAUCCAUCUUCUGACUCUUUUGGUAGAUUUGUCUUACCUCGGAUGUAGGAAAGUUUUUCCCGUUCGGCAAUAUGCAUCUCCACGAGUUGUGACCAAACGUCAUAGUUUGAUUUAGUCAAAAUAAUUCCUGAAUUGAAAGUACCUUCAGAUUGAAAAACAAUAAUACUUUUUUCACUCAUUUUUUUUUUCUCUCGCAAAGAAGGGGCAAUUGUUGGCCUUACAACAAAAUAUCCAGGAUUUCAGGAACCUAGCUCUGAUACCAUGUUCAAAUUGAUGAAUGAUAGUUUUUCAUUCAUACUUUCUUUCGUUCAUGUACAGAGUAUAUAUAGAGGGUAAUCACCAUUCUAAGAAUGGGAAAGGAUGAUACAAGGAAAGAAUAAUAUAAGGAAAUAACAACUAAUAUCCUAAUAUCUCAACUUUCCUAAUAUCUCAAUAUUCCUAAUAUUUCAAUAUUCAUAAUAUCUUAACUUUCCUAAUAUCUAAACACUAAAUGAUAUAAGGAAAUAAUGAUAUAAGGAAAGCAUUCCUAAUAUCUCAACAUUGGAGUUACACCAUUGGUAUAACAUGCAACUCAAACUCAGAACUCCAAAACACUAGCUGGCAUUAUAUUCUGCUAAAAUAUUUUUUGAUGUUUAUCUUUCAUUUCAUUGUUGUUUUCUUCACCUCUCAAAUUUUCUUUUAUAAUAAAUGCAUGCCUCUUUGUACUUUUUUUUUUCUUGCAAAGAAGUGACUAUAAUCGAUGGUUCUUAGUAAUGUAUAUGGCAUCUAAUAAUAGCUUUAACAUAUUCCAAUUAUGUUUAACCUCACAUUUUGGUUUGAACUAGGAGGGAAUUCUAAGAGUAUUAAGGAGACUGUGGAAUCAAAAGAUGAAGAGAACAGGUCCAUCACGUUCAAGGUUUUGGAUGGGGAGCUGUUGAACGACUACAAGAGCUACAAGUUCACCACACAAGCGAUACCAAAGGGGGAGGGCUGCUUGGUGAAAUGGACCGCUGAAUAUGAGAAGGCAAGUGAGGAUGGAUCAGAUCCCCGUGGCUACCUGGAGCUUGCAGUUAAUAUCACCAAAGAUAUCGAAAGUCACCUUCUCAAUGCAUAACGCCAAGACCAUAUGUACCGUUUGCUAGUAUUUCUCUCUUAAAUAAAGUUUGGAACUUGGAUGUGCAUCUAUGUACUAUCUCGACCUUUUAAUAAACGCAAAUUCCAGCUGUACUGGAGUUGGUGACUAAUGCCGAGAAGACAAACUAGGUUCCCGAUCCUCAGUUAUUUAUGCAAUAAUAUUAAUUAGUGCAUGCGUGUGAUUAGUUGUAUGGUUCUGGGAGUUGCUUUGUGAUUGUUAAUCGGUGUCUUUUGUAGUGGGAUUAUUACAUGCAUGUAAUGUGAAGAACAUAUGAUCCAUGAGGAAAUAAAUUAAAUGAAAAUUACCCAGGCUCCAUCAUGAGGAGCCUUUGAGCAUGCCCACAAGCCUACGUUCCUGCAUUCAAGUCACAUAUGUGAAAAUUCCACUUUGCACAUAAUCUAAAUAAUUUAUCUAAAAAUCUAAGAAGUAAUCUCUCUCUCCAUCUAUGUCUCUCUCUCCCCAUCUAUAUGUACCUCAAAUGAAGAGGUAAGGUAAUGUAAAAUCCCCACCUCAAAUUUAGGGAUAUUUAUAUAAUUUGAAAAUUUUAAAAAGACCUACAUUAAUUUUGUAAAUAUUUAUGUAAUCAACUUUCUCAGAUUAAUUAAAUAAAAAAUUGACCAAGAUGAUUAAAAAUGCAAAUUUGAUGAGGACAUGAAGUAAAAAGUGGUAGGGUUUAAGGACAAUGGCUUCUACUGAAUUUUGGUGAGGUGGUGAUACAAUGAGGAAAAUAGAUUAAUAAAGUUUAUCCAUGGAAAUAGAAAAUAGAAAACAAAAAAUAUAAAAUAAUAAUAAUAUUCAUGUUAAUCAUUUAAUAAAUAUAAUAAAUGCAAUUAUAUAUGCUAAGUGAAAAUAACAAUAUUAUUAUUAUUAUUAUUAAUGCUUAUGAUAGGUGAGAAUUAAGUCUUUUAGAAAUUUGAGUAAUUUUUUCAAGGUAAAGCUUAUAGUUCAUUAAGUCAUUUUAUAAUUCCUUAUAUAUUUUUUUAUUGAUUUUUAAAGUAUCAAAAUGUGUAAAUUCUUUAAAGUGGAUCAAAUAGUUUUUUUUUUUUUUGAAAUAUUUUGUGAUUUGUUUGGUUGUUAUGAAAGUGAAUUUUAUUACUUAAUUUAUUAUAAUGAUUUUAAAACUCUAGUUAUUAGUGGUUUUAGUCAACAAGGAUAAGUUAUUAACCUUCUUUACCUUUGGUCAGUGAAGGGAUGUAGUAUAACACUAGCCAAUAAAUGUGUCAUUGGUCUUGUAUACUAUUGAUUAGAAAUUGUUAUGUCCACCAAUGAGAGUAUUAAAGUGAGGUGAGCCACCUAAUGUAAGUCCCAAUAUUUGGGCACAACGUUAUUAUUAAUUAAUAAACAAAAAUAAAUAGUUUAUUUAUAAAAAUUUUUUUCUAAAUAUAAAUUGAGUAUGCAAAUUGUAUUUUUUAAUUCUAUCUUUAAAUUUAAAGUGUUUAAUCUUUUGAAGAAAGUGAAUUUAAUUUUUUGAAGAAAGUGAAUUUAAUUUUUGAAUUAAAUAAAUUAACCUGAUAAUUGAUUUUUAUAAAAAUUUGAUAUCUCUUAGAAUUUAAUUCUCUACAAUAUAUACCUGAUUUUUUUCAUUGAACUAUUUUUUCUUAUUGAACCAUUGAAGUCACCCUUCUUUAUUAUUCCCCUUUUCAUAUACAAAUGGUAUAAGUGAGAAGGGAUUACGGGAGGAGAAAUGUUUCUAUUAUAAACAACUUUGGAAUUGAAUUAUGUUGGAUUGUGAAACGUGAAUCGGUUUAAUUUAUUGUAUUUUGCAAGGAAUGCUAGAGGUCGAGUGUCUAAUUGAGCUUGCGGGGAUCAAGAGUCUUGAUCGGUUCGUUGGGACUUGGGAUUGAGUUGUCCAAUCAGCUCAUGGGGUUAAAGGAAUAUCCUUCGAUUUUUUUUAAUACGAUGAAUAACGAGUUUGUCCUAAUUGUAUAUUUAAUCUUAUUAUAAUUUAAAGUUUCUUUUUAGAGAGUGUGUGACUGCAAUCGAAAGGAUAAUGAGUGUUUAGUACUCGUCUUAUUUUUUUCUGAACCAAAUUAAAAAUCUAUUGUUUUUCUUUAUUUUCUAAUCGUGUGUGCAUGAUUUGAUCAACAAAUUAUUUAUAGGAUUGUUUACUUAAAUUUGAUUGUAAUUUAUUUAAGUUUUUAGGAGAAUCAUUAAAUUUAUUAUUACAAUAUUUUAUUAGUUUUGAAUUUGUUAUUUAAAGUGAUUCAUUUACUUGGUUCAAAGGUUUGACAUAUAAAGUCACCGUGGUUCCCUUGGUGUCGCGGGUGAUUUUGUAAGUGCCUUCGGACUACAGAAUAUUAAUUAACCUACCAAUCUUCAAUGUAAUCUAAGAUGCAGAAAGAUCUUGUGGGUUAAGGUCAAGUGGGCGCUUCAAUAUUUAUCAUGUCUUCAAAAAAAACUUCAGGGCCCCAGUCCAGAUUCUCAGAUAUGGAUUCUAACAGUUGCUACCAAUCACGGGGGUGAAAACAAAUCAGUGUCGCAGAAAUCGCUAUCAAUGUGGUACUGGAAAAAAAAGAAGAGAUUCCUCCACUUGUUCUUGAAAUUUAUCUGAACGCAUGCAAUAAAUCAAUGCUCCAUAAUCUCCUGCACAUGCAAAUUAAAAUCAAAAUCAGGCCAUUGGCCUCUCACAUUACCAUUCUUGGCCGUUUUCUGGUGUGCAUAUAAAGAGUAAUAACCACACCAUCCAUCUUUUACUCUGGUUGUCACACUCCCACCACUCUCCCACCACUUCUUCCCUAAUCUCCUAACAUCAAAUACAAAAAUGCCACAUCCUUAUUAUUGAAAAUUAAAUUCCCAUACAUAUAAAUCUUAUGCCAGAUUUUUUGUUGAUUGGAUGAUAUUCGGCCAUAUAAAAUUCAGUAUCAAUCACAAACAUUCGUUAUCCAAUCUUGAUACCGAAGAGGAUAGAGUAUCAAUCCAUCUAUGGGCCCGGUGCACCAGGCCUUCCGCCUAUAAAAGUUUUCUAGGGUGGUGAACUAUAUUCUUCAAACACAGCCUUGGCUAGUUACUAUCUGGUUUCCAAAGAAAGAAGAAAUGGCUCAGAUAGAUAAGAUGGAAACCCAUGUAGAGAAAAAGUCCCCUGCCAAUGAGUUCUACGAGGUCUUCAGCAGCAAAGCUCAUCUCAUUCCCAAGGCCUGCCCUGACAAAAUCAAGAGCAUCGAAGUGGUUGAAGGUGAUUGGAAGAGUGUGGGCUCUGUCAAGCUCUGGACUUACUGUAUCGGUAAGGCAACGCUAACCAUUAUUCCCAUGCCACCCUCAAUCAAACAAAAUAAUACACUCAGCACAUGGACCUUCUUGUUUUUAAUUAUUAUUGCUGUGGAAGAUAAUAAUAACAAAACAAAGGGAAUGACCCCUUCUGAUACGGGUGCCUCCUCAUAUUAGUUUUUUGAAGUUCUCCAUGCAAACUAAAGUAGAAAUCAAUCUUUAGGCACAUCCCUUAUCUGAGCUUCACAUGACCUUAGUUUCAUUUUAAAUUAACCUGCAGGAGGAAAUACUUCGUCUAGCAAGGAGAGGGUGGAAAAGAAAGACGAUAAGAACAAGUCCAUCACUUUCAAGGCUCUGGAUGGAGAGGUCAUGAAGGAUUUCAAGAGCGUCAUCUCCAUCCUUGAAGUGAGUGCAAAGGAUGACGGCAGCCUGGUGAAAUGGACUUUGGAAUAUGAGAAGUCAAAUGAGAAACUCCUACCUCCAGAUGCUUACCUCAGCCUUGUAAUUAGUAUGAGUAAAGAAAUCGACGCUUACCUUCUCAAGGCAUAAGCCGCAUAACAAGCCCUAUAUCCUUGACUUGAUAUGAAAGCAUCCUAGCCUGGGUCCUCCUGGGAAUAACGGAGUUGCUAUGCGUACCUCCAUAUUAUAUUAUCGACACCUACUGGCUACUGCUGUACUCCAUGUAACUUCUUGCUGUACUUAAUUAUAUGAGCUUCCUGAAUUAAUGUUGGAAUGAUAAAUCAAGCUUUAUGGUAGAAUCAAAUGAUUGCUCUAUCAUGGAAUAAAUUUCGCAAUAAAAAUAAAUAUUAGAGGAGAGUUAUGAAACGAAGCUUUUUUUUCUGCAUCAAAUUAACUUUUCAUACACUGUUUUUAAAACAAAUCAACAUACAAUGAUCUUAUGUUGUACCUUUUCCGUUGCAGAUUGCUUUUAAAAAUGUUCUCCCCACAGGCACUUCUAUGGUAUCUUUUCAAAAUUGCUAUUAUAUAUGUUUAAUUAACCAUUCAUUUUGGUCUAAAGCUAGGACGAACUUCUAAGACUGCCACGGAGACUCUGGAAAUCAACAGAUGAAGAAAAAAAUAAAAUAUAUCCAUGACUUCCAAGGUUUUGGAAGCAGAGGUCAUGAAUCAUUUCAAGAAGAUUCAAGUCAUCCAUGCAAGUAACAGCAAAGGAUAAGCGCAGCUAGGUGAAAUGGAGACUGGAUAUUGAGGGUCACUAUCUCAGAUUCUCAAGGCAUAGCAUUAAAAACAUAUCCUUUAAUUGGUAGUAUAAUCUCAAACUUGUAUGUAAAGACCAGACCGUGGAAGUGCAUAUAUGCAUUUUAUUCUUCAAUAAGCGCAGGCUUAGGGGGUAGUUCAAUAACCUCUGGGCUUAGUCAAUCCCGAGAAGAUAUUAAUAAAUUUCCCUGGAUUAUUCCUCUCAUGAAUAUCAGUGCCUGUAAUUUGGUUGUGUGCUAACGGGAGUUGCCUCUUGCGAUCGGUUGGGUUCUUUAAUAAACGCAUUAUUAGGUAUGAAUGAUCAGGAAAUUGAUAAGUAAAAAACAAUUUAAUUAUUUCACUUAAGUCAUAAACCAUUAUGAGGAGCCUUGGAAUAUAUGCAUGAGUCUAGAUUCUCGCAGCCACUAAUCACGUAGUCAAAAUUGGCCAGUCGCAAACAUUCCAAUCAUUCUUUAUGAUAAGAAAGAAGAGUUCACUCUUCUUUUUCUCGAGUUUUUUAUUUGGAGAGAGCAAUUUAUCAGCCUCACAUUUUGAGACCUUUCUUGGCACAUCACUUUCAGAAUCUGAUUUCCUAGCUCCACUAUAGAAGUAAAGCCAGUUGGGUAUCACAUUCUUGUUUUAUGUCUCCUUGAGUGGGUCGGGUGUAUAUAAAAAUUUGCCAGUUGAAGAUUUUCUUUGUUAUGCUAGUCUUUCUUUUUCUAACCUCCUGAUAUCAAAUGGGAAAAUGCCAUAUCGUUACUGGACAAUUGACCCAUAAUGGAGAGACUUUUGUUGGUUGGACUUGGGCUUUUAUAUAACUCAGCAACUAUCAUAAUUAUAGGAGAAAUUUGAAGUAACCAUAUUGAUUUGGGUCUACCAAGAAGCAAGGUGAAUCGUAACAUAUCAUGCAUAUAACUUGAUUCAAUUAUUUUAUAUUCUACUUGUUUCUUAUGUAUUUUUACUUUUAUCAAAUAGUUUAGAUAUCAUUACCAAAUAUUCUCCUGACAUUUUCCUAUUAUUUCUGUAAGAUGCUAUAAUCUACACCCAAAGUAGUGGACCACUUACACUUUAUUAUGUACUAACCACGAUCAUAACUUACAUUCUCCACCUUGGCCUCUCUCUUAUCCCAAAAAGUAAAGACUCAGGGUUCGUAUCCCUUCCCUUCUGUCUAUAUAGGUCUAAGAGUAGUCAAGUGUUUCCUUCAAUAGCCUUCAUAUUCUUGGCAGUAACUAGGUACUUGGUUUUCAAACACAACAAAAAUAAUGGCUCAAAUUGCCAAGAUGGAGGUCCAAGCAGAGAUCAAGUCCCCUGCCAGUAAGUUCCACGAGGUCUGUAGCCGUAAAGUUUAUCUCGUACCCAAGGCUUGCCCUGAAAAAAUUAAGAGCAUUGAAGUAGUUGAAGGUGACUGGAAGACUGUGGGCUCUGUCCAGCUUUGGACUUAUUUCAUCGGUAAGGCAAAAUCCAUCAUUCCACGCCUCCCCCAACAAACACAAGGACACAGAGCUCAAUUGUACUUCUAUUAUUAUUACUAUUAUUAGGAAAUAAUGAUAAUCUAAUGGUAAUGUGACUCUACUCAUGCCGAUAUAAACCCCGUAAUCUUGAUCUCAAAUUGCUAUCAAACAAAAGAAUAUCAAAUAAAGGUAAAGUGUGUCCCCUAUAUUUAUACGUAGAUAGAUGAGUUCUAAGCUUAGCACCAUGUUUUCCAUUUGAAAAACAGGAGGAAAUACCGAAGAGGCUAAGUUGGUGGUUGAAAGGGUAGACGAGGAAAACAAAACGGUCACUAUGAACGUUGUGGAAGGAGAUAUCGUGAAGUAUUUCAAGAUCUUCAAGUGCACUAUUCAAGUAACCGUAAAGGAUAAGGGCAGCUUGGUGACAUGGAGUGUGGAAUAUGAGAAGCUAAAUGAGAGUGGCCCCGCUCCAGAUGCUUACCUCAACUUUGCAAUGGGUAUCGUUGAGAACGUGGAUGCUUACCUUCUCAAGGCAUGACAACAAAGGCGUAUUCAUGAGUCAUGACAUGGUAUGAAGCACUGGUACAACAAAAACUUGGGAAUAAUGUACCACACGCCAUGUCCUCAACUUCUACUGGUCAUCGCUAUAAUAUUAAAAGUAACUUCUUAUUCUACUUAUAUACCUUCCAAGUACUUUGUGUCUUGAAUGUUAUUAUCUAAAAAUAAAAAUAGAAAAUCUCGAAGAAGAGCAUUGUCCUUCGACACUUUUCUUUCUUUCUUUCUUUCUUCACUGCUGAGAAUCUCAACGUACGACUACCAUUUGCAUUAUGGACCCAUGACUGCCAUCCUUUGACCACAUUUGUUGCCCUCCCACCAAACUCCUACGCGUCAAAAUUUCUAUUGUUGCUUGAACAAUAUUUUCAUUUGAAAAACAAGGAAACGAUUUAAAAAUUCUUAUCUCAUGUCUAGUUACCCCGGUCGACCAUAUAAAGUACCACUUGAUCACUCUAGUCUCCUUUGCUAGCCCAUGGGCAAUGCAAUACCCAGCAGGUCCCAGUAACCAACUCUAUGUUCCUCCGAAAAUGAAACAAAUCAGGUCGUUUCAGGGAUGCAUUUGAUCUCACCCUUUUGUUUUGUGUCCGUUAUUUUUUAUUUUAAUAUCACAUGUUUAUAUUUUAAUCUCAUUCUUUACACCUGGAUUUGCUGAUAAAGGCAACUUUCUUUUUGAGCUUUGAUCGAGAUUUUUAUGAAAUUCCUGUGAUAUUACCGUCCUGCUCCUGCUUAAGAAUGUAACUUUGAUUUUGCUUUUAGUGAAGUCUUUAGGUGUUGUUUAUUCCCCAAAAUCUUUUGAUGUUUCUGAAAUUGCUUCAGUGGACUUUGAGAGGUUGCAGGUACCUCUUUUCUCCUGAAAUAGAAUUUGUUUCAGUGGAGCAAGACAACAGGAUGAGCAAAAAAUAGAACCAAUUUUAUUGAUAUAUAUCAGGUUUUUGAGACGUUGAAGAACAUUUCUAACAACUUUUUUUGAUGGGUGACCAAGCCUAUUAUGCCACAAUGCAUAUACAGAACAAGAAGAAAAAGAAGCAGGUGUUGGAACUACAGAAGAAUUGUAUACUAAGGGUUGUGUUGACAUACUGACAUAUGACUUAUGAGGAGUUGAGGGAGAGAAGCUGCCACUGAUUAUUAAUGAGAUCAAUUUGAGACUGAUAAAAAACAUAAAGACCAUCUUUAGGCCUACCCCUCCAGUAGCACUGUUUUGAAGUGAAAUUCAAAGAAGACAUUCUUUUGGGCAAAUUUUGACACACUGAGAAGGUUCUAAUUAGCAAUUUCAGGGACAUGAAGUGUUUUAAAGAGUAAUUUCAGCAAACAUAACUUCAACUUUACAUCCACCUGACCUCAUUAUUUCAGUUUGACAAGAGGGCUUAAUUAUAUCAGUAUGACUGCUAAGAAGACUUUGGAAUAUUAUAAAACGAGUCCAUCAAGUUCAAGGUUUGGAAUGGAAAGAUCAUGAGUAAUUUCACUACUUUUAAGCUGAAUAUGAGAAGGUAAAUGAGGAUGUCCCAGACCCAAUGCUUACUAAAUCAUUGAAGGUCACCUUCUUGAGGCAUAAUUCCAAUUCUUUUCAUCGAUGCUUCUUAGAUGUUAUAAAACAAUACUAUGAAAAUGAAAACGUAAUGUAAUUUUGUCAAAGCCUUUUCCUUAUUGAAGACUCUGGACUGAUUGCGUGGGUGCGCAACACCCACCAUAAUUCCCACACCAACGCCCAACUAACCAAAUCACGUAAGGCCUCACAUGGCCUCAUUAUUAUUUCUGUUGAAAGAUAAUACUAUAUUACAUACGAGAUGGCCAUUCUACCAGCCACCUGUAAAGUUGGUGAUAAAUUGAUACUAAAAAUAGAAGGAAAAUUAAGUUGAAAUUAAGGGUGUCUAUUUAAAUUUAAUUAUUCCCUAGAUAUGAUCUUUUGAUAUGAUUUGAACCCGUUAAUCAUUUAUUUUUAUAUAAAGAGACAAAAAUUCAAUUGUAUAAUCCAGGAUGAGUCACUUGGCCGGGUUUUCGACGACAGCUAAAUCAACCUUCAUUUAGUAAUGAUUGCCCAUGAAAUAAAUUAUCAUGUCUCCUCACAAUAUAAUAAACUAAUAAAAAAUAAAAGAAGAUCACAAAGAAAAGCAUCUUAGUGGAAGUUUUUUUUUUUUUUUUUUUCUUUCAUUUGUUGGUGGUGACACUCCGUGAAAUGUGAUCAACUAGCAUUUGAAUUACACAACCUAAUGCAAAUGAUAAAAAGCAUAAAUUACUUUAGAGUGUUUAGAAUUUGGAAGACUCUAGCUAGGAUGAUAUGGCAUGGGUCUGUGGCCGACAACCACCAAACCCAACGCUAAAUAAUUAUUAUUGAACCAUCAUCAUCAGUAUAAGCAACAUCAAACCUCUCCAUGUUAAACUGUACAUUUUAUUUCAUCCGGAUCUAAUAUCUAAUUAUAAAUGAUUAUGUAUGAGAUUGCAAUCCUUUGCUUAACUCUUUGAAAAUCUAAUUAUAAAUAUUUGGAAUAUCGAUUUCAUCUCUACCAUUAAAAGCAUAUGAAAAAAAUAUCUUGGUCUUUGAAUAAAAGUAAGUAUAAAUAAUUAGACUAGGGUACCAAAUGAUGAAAUCAAAUAUAAAUGAAUUAUAACCAUCAAAUUUCUAUUUUUCAUUAUUAAAUCAUUGGGCGCUCCAAUUUUUACAUGAUGUAUAACUAUUGACGGAAAUGUUAAUUAGGGAUGGCAACGGGGCUGGUUUUUUCGGGUACCCGCCCCCCCCUCCCCCCCCCCCGCCCCUAAUGGGACGGGGUUGAAAUUUAAUAAACGGGUUUUUAACGGGUAUGAGAUUUUUUUUUAAAACCAGGGGCGGGUUCGGGACGGGUUCGGGACGAGUUCGGGUAUUGCCCCAUUCCGCCCCGCCCCGCCCUGUUUACAUAUAAAAUCAAUUUUAAAAUUAAUUUUAUUUUACUAUUUUUAAUAUAUAGAUAAUAAUAAAAAAAUUAAUAAAAUAAGUUAUAAAAAAUAUAAUAAUUUUAUUAUUUAUAAAUAUAUUUAUUUUAAUGUAAUUAAAAAUUUUAAAAGUAAAUUUUUUUUUUUAUAAAAAAAAGGAGGCUAAACGGGGCGGGACGGGGAUGAGAAUUAUUUUUAAUAAACGGGGCGGGGUUGGGAUGGGGGCAACCCGUCCCGAACCCGCCCUGUUGUCAUUCCUAAUGUUAAUAUAAGGAUAUAAUAAUGGGUAAAAUUAGUUGAAAGUGUUUUUUUUAUGACAUAAAAUAAUUUUUCAAAUUUUAAUUUCUAUUUACUUUGUCUUCCCUUGUCAUGUAUCUUUGUAAUUUUCCGAUUUGUUUAUCAAAACAAUAAAUGAUGUCAUGUUAUGAUUUCUCUUUUUGUCUUCCUUUUUAAUUGACGUGUUUAUUGGAAUAAUAUAUUAUGUUAGACAAAAUAACACAUACCUCCACUGCCCAAAUCCCCUCCGUGACAAUGAACCCCAUCUUUAAGCAUUAUUAUAAAAUUAAGCAUAAAGUUAUUACAAGUUUCUUCCAUUUCACAUGCCUUUCCCAUAGAUUGAGUGGUGGAGAUGAUCAUUCUUGAACGAUUUAUAAUUUUAAUGAAUUCUGUCUAUUCUCAUAUCUUUUAAGAGGGAAUUCAAAUCAACUUAUCUUAUUUUCUCAACGCUACUUAACUUCCACGGCUUCAAAUUUACAUGAUCAUAUCAUUAUCAAUAACUUCGGCAUAACUAUUCAAAUUUUAAUAAGAACUUCAAAUCAUUGUUACCUUUAUUGCCUUAAAAAUCUUUUUCUUUGUCAAUGAUCCCUGCACGAUUAUUAAAUAAUAGGAUUGUUAUUGUCAUAUUAACUAAUUUUGAUAAUAUAGUCAUCGUCACGGCUGAGUGCCGUUUUCUUGGGAGAUUUUUCAUAAAUUUAAAUCAAUACCAGUUAUAGGAAAUGCGUCACAAAUUAGGAAGAUAUCGAGCUGGAAGCAGAUGAUAUAUAAUUCAUUAUUUUCUUCCUUAUUGAAGCUUGACAAACCAAUCCAAAUGCAUUAACGUGAGAAGCAAGGUUUUAUGCUCAUUUUCAAUGAACCUUGUCAACAUGCACGUCAAAAACAAUGAUUUAUUAACUACGUACAUGUAGAACUGCAUGGGAAAAAAAAAAUACAAUUAAGGCAUUGGGAUAUGAAUAAAACGCUUAACUUAAAAUUCAAAAUUCUCAAAACUACGUUUUUCACACCAAAAUGUUUCAUCCAGCCAACCUAAGACCGAGUGAAUCCUCCCUCUAAAGCACAUUGCCCAAGACUACAGGCAACGUAGUAAUUACCUAAGCAAAUACGUCAGAAUCAUACCAAUUUUUACCAAAGUGGGUAUCGGGAAGGAGCUUUGCCUAAUUCAUCCUUCUAUAUAUAAGGACAAGGUUAUCUACUUCUUCUCAUCACUGCCUUCUGUUUGAAUAUUUUGUAGUUAGUUUUAUCAAUCCAGCUAGUGUUAUUAUCAGAAAAACAUGGCUCUAACUGGUAAGUUGGAGACUGAAACAGAGAUCAAAGCACCUGCUGAUAAGUUCUUUAAAAUCUUCAGGAGCCAAGCACACCACCUUCCUAAUAUCUGCUCCGAUAAAAUACACAAAAUCGAGGUACAUGAAGGUGACUGGGAGACUCAGGGCUCCGUCAAGCAUUGGAGUUUGACCGUUGGUAAGGCAUCUCAAACUAAGAACCACAAAACACUAGCGUUAUAUUCUGUUAAUUAAAAUAAGUUAUUAUGUUUUUGUUUCAUUUCAUUGUUGUUUUCUUCACCUUUCAAUUAUUCUAUUAGAAUAAAAGCAUGCCUCUUUGUACAAUUUUUUUCUUGCAAAGAAGUGAUCGAGUCUGGGCCGCUAGUGACUAUGAUGGUUCUUAGGAAUGUACAUGACAUCUAAUAAUAGCUUCAACAUAUUCCAAUUAUGUUUAACCUCACAUUUUGGUUUCAACUAGGAGAGAAUUCUGAGAGUAUUAAAGAGACUGUGGAUCAAAUAGAUGAAGAAAACAGGUCCAUCACAUUCAAGGUUUUGGAUGGGGAGGUGCUGAAAGACUACAAGAGCUACAAGUUCACCACACAAGCGAUACCAAAGGGGGAGGGCUGCUUGGUGAUAUGGACCAUCGAAUAUGAGAAGGCAAGUGAGGGUGGCCCAGAUCCCCAUAACUGCCUAGAGUUUUCAGUUAAUAUCACCAAAGAUAUCGAAAGUCACCUUCUCAAUGCGUAACACCAAGGCCAUAUCCACCCUUUGCUAGUAUCUUGCUCGUAAAUAAAGUUUGGAACUUGGAAGUCCAUCUAUCUCUAUCUUUCAAUAAACGCAAAUUCCAGGUGUGGACUUGGUGAUUAGUGCCGAGAAGAUAAACUAGGUUUGCCUUGGUUAUUUGUGCAAUAAUAUUAGUGCAUGAGUGGGAUUGAUUGUAUGCUAUCUUGUCCGGGAGUUGCUUUGUGUCUUUUGUAAUGGGAUUACUACAUGUAAUGUGAAGACUAUAUGAUGCAUGGGGAAAUAAAUUAAGCGAAAACUUCCAUGGGCUCCAUCAUGAGGAGCCUUUGAGUAAGUCCACAAGCCUACAUUCUUGCAUUCUAGUCACAUGUGUCAAAAUAAGUCUCUACAAAUUAAAGUCUUAUUGUCAAAAUCCCACUUUACACAUAAUCUAAAUAAUUUAGCUAAAAUCUAAUAAGUAUGUCUCUCUUUAUAUGUACUUACCAUCCCAACUUUUAAAUUUAGGGAUAUCUAUGUAAUUUAGAUUUUAAAAAGAAAAUUUUAGGGAUAUUUACAAAGAUAAAUGAAAUAUUUUUGGUUCCGAUAACCAUUAUUUUUAUCUCAUUUUGGUUUCUUUGCGUUAUAAAAAAAAUGGUUUGUAGAGAUAAACUAGAGAAAAAAAAAAAUUAUACAAUGGUUUGUAGAGAAAUUUGAUUCGAAAAGUUAGAAAAGAUGAUUUGUUUUUUGCAUUUGCUUCAUUCUAAAAUUCAAUCACUAUCUUUUAUCUCAUUUUGGUUUCCCCACAUUAUCAAAAAAUGAAGGAUAAAAAUAAACUGGGGAAAAAAUUAUACAAAGGUCUCCGAGAACUUUGAUUUGAAGAGUUAGAAAAGAAGAAUUUUUUUGCAUUUGUUUCAUUUUAAAAUUCAAGGUUUUUGGAUUUCUAUUAUAUAUUAAUUAUGAGGAUAGUAGAAUAAUAAUAAUAAUAAACAAAAACUAGUUAUUAGUGACCUUGAUCAAUAGAGUAUAAGUUGUUGACCUUUAUUAUCUUUGUUAGAAGUAGUUAACGAUGCAAUGUAACCUUAGCCAAUAAAGAUGUUUUGAUAUACAUUGAUUGAAAAAUGUCCUUUUAAAACUAGUUAUUAUUGACCUUGGUCAACACAGAGGAUAAGUUGUUGACCUUUAUUACCCUUGUUAGGAGUAGUGAACGGUGUAGUAUAACCUUAGUCAUUAAGGAUGUUAUUAGCCUUUUGCUAUAUCAUUGAUUGAAAGUUGUCCUAUCCACCAAUAAGGAGAAUGAAGGCUAGCCACCAAGUACUAGUUUUAGUAUUUUGGCACAAUAUUAUUACUAGUGAGUCAAAGUGAAAUAUUUGUUGAUAAAACUUUUUUAAUAUGAAUUGAGUAAGCAAAAUAUAUUAUUUAAUUCUAUCAUUAAAUUGGAAGUGUUUAAAUUUUCAAAAACAAUUAUUUUAAUUAUUGAAUCAAAUGAGCUUACAUGUUAAUAGACUUUUAUAAAGAUGUGGUAUCUUCCGAAAUUUUAUUAUAUAUAAUAAUUGAUCUUCCUUAUACUAACUUUUAUCAUUGAGCCAUCGAGUUCACUUUUCUCUGUUAUUCUCCAUUUCAAUUAUAAAUGAUAUAAAGAGGGAUGAGGUAAGAAAAAUAUUUCUAUUAGAGACAGCUUUGGAAUUGAUUUAUUUUAGGAUUAUUUACUAGACUGAAUUCAUUUAUAAUUUCUAAAUUUCUUUUUGAAGAAUUUGAGAAAAUUAAAUUAAUUAUUGAGAGAUUUUAAUUAGUUUUAAAUUUGUUACUUAAAGUCGUUCACAUGUUGGAUUCUAAUAUUUGAUACGUGAAACUAGCAUGAAGGGCUUGACCUCCGGGUUUGGGGCGUCGCAGCUGACUUUAGAUUACAGAAUUAUUAAUCAACCUACCAAUCUUCAAAGCAAUCUAGGAUGCAAUAUGGUUUUGUGAUUUAAGAUCAAGUGGACGCUUCAUUUAUUAUGUCUUCAAAAAAACAUUUUGGGCCUCAAUUCGAGAUUAUCAGAUAUGGAUUCUAACAGUUGCUUCCAAUCAAAUCAGUGUCACAGAAAUCGCUACCAUUGUGGUACCUGAAAAAAAAAAAAAGAGACUCCUUCCCUUAAUAUUGAAAUUUAUCUGAAGCUAUGCAGUAAAUAAAUGCCCCAUUUUGUGCGUCAUAAUGGGGGAUCACAUUCAGAAUCUUCUGCACAUGCAAAUUAAAAUCAAAAUCAAGCCAUUGGCCUAUCACAUUACCAUUUUUGGCCCUUUUGUUUUGUUGUUUUUUUCUUUUUUUGGCGUGUAUAUAAAAAGCAACCACAUUAUCCAACUUUUAUUGAAAACACCAUAUUAUCAGAUACAAAAACGCCACAUCAUUAUUAUUGAAAAUUAAAUUCCCAUAUAUAGAAAGCCACAUAAAAUUCAGUGCCAAUCACAAACAUUCGUUGAUAUUCACUAGGAUAGAGAUAGAGUGCCCAUAUAUGGACAGUGCACCAUACCCGCCGUGAAGUGAUUGGAAGAGUGUGGACUAUGUCAAGCUCCGGACUUAUUUGUAUAGGUAAGGCAACGCUAACCAUUAUUAUUCCCAUGCCACCCUCAAUCAAGCACAGUCAUACACUCGGCACAUGGCACUUCUUGUUUUUAAUUAUUAUCAUAGUGAACAAUGUUUUCAUAAUCGGAUCGAUCAUCGAACCGAAAAAGUUAUCGAUUUACAGUCCAUUAGUCGAACCGACGGUCGAACCAAUAACAUCAUAAAUAUGUAAUUUAUAUAUUAUUAAAAUUAAAAAUAAUUAUACAAAUUUUAAAAUAUAUAUGAAUAAAUUAAAAAUCAAUAAUAUUAUUUUGUAUCUUUAAUAUUAUCAAAUUAAAUCAUAUUAAUAUUUUAAAUUUUAUUGAAUGAAAUAUAUAUAAUAUUUAAAUAUGAAUAUAUUAAAAAUGAAAAUUUAAUUAAACUAAUUUUAUAAUUUUUAAAAAUAUUAUAUUAUUUUUAUUUAAUAUUAUAAAAAAAUUUAAAAUCCAAUAUAUAUUAUUUUGUUUGGCAUAUUAAAUAAUAAAAGAUGUAUAGCCGAGUGGUCCUAGGUUGGUUAUAGACCUUGAGGUCCAAGUUCAAAUCCUUUGGUGGAUUUGUUAAUUUUUUUUUUCAUUGAUUAGGUUAGUUAGCAAUCCCACACUAAGAGGAAUAAGGAUGCUUAUAAAAGCUAGCCUCAUUAUGGGCAAAGGCAUCACCUCAUCUGGUGGGCUUAAGACUCAGCCCAUAAAAUGGUUGGGUGCGGUGUGGGCUUUGUCACAUUAAGACAGGGCCCAUCAUGGGCUUUUGCUAAAUUUUUUUAUACAAGGGAGCCUUCCAUGCUUGCAAAAUGGUGGGAUAACUUGAACCGAUCGAUUCGCUCAAAACCGUCUGAUUUCGUUGGGUUAUCGAUUCAAUCAUCGAUUUAGGUGAUUUGUGACCGGUCCAAUGCUUAGACGGUUUAAUAAAGUAAAUCUAAUAAAAAAUGUGAUGGAUCGACGAUUGAACCAGUUGGAUCAGUCGGUCCCACCCGAUUUUUAAAACAUUAGAUAAUAACAAAUUAAAAGAAGGGUGUCUCCUCAUAUGAGUUUUUUUGAAGUUCUCUACUCUUGGAGUGACUGAAAGGAUAACUGCAGCCUGGUGAGAUGGACUUUGGAAUAUGAGAAGUCAAAUCAGAGGCUCCUUCCUCCAGAUGCUUACCUCAGCCUUGUAAGCAUGAGUAAAGAUAUGGAUGGUUUACCUUCUCAAGGCAUAAACCGCAUAACAGCAAGGCCUAUAUCCUUGACUUGGUCUGAAAGCAUCCUAGCUUGGGUCCUUCUGGGAAUGGGAUUGCCACACGUAUGACCUCUGUAUCAUCAGUUUUGGGGCAAAAUAGCCAUUUUAUGUAUAAAAAAAAAUAAGCUUUAGCCCUUUACAAAACUUAUGUUUAAACUAGCUCACAUAGAGUCAUGUCAUCAUUUUUCUUUUAAACUCAAUUAGACUUUAUUUUUUAACUGAAACUUCAAUUACCAAUUGAGAAUUCAUUUUUUAACUAAAACUUCAAUUUACAAUUGAGGUUUUAGUUAACUUUGUUUUAAAUUUAAAUAAAAAAUUAAAUUAUAAAUUAUUAUUGAAAUUUAAAAAAUAUAUUUUAAUAAUAAUAAUUUAUAUAUUUAAACUUAAAUAUCUAAUAUUACUUCAAUAAAGAUAAAUUGACAAAUAUAAUAAUAAAUAAAUAUUUUAUUUAUCAAUAAAUUAAUAAUUUUAAAAUAAUAAAGUUAUAUGAAAUCUAAAUAAGAUAUAAAAUUAUAUAAUUUGUUAAUUUAAGAUAUUUAAUUUUUUGUAUUUUUAAGAUAUUAAUUUAUUUGUAUUUUGACAAAUUUAUCUUUAUUAAAAUAAUAAUAUAUUCUUAAGUUUCAUAUAUAGAUUUUUUUAUUAUUUUAAAGCAUAUAUUUAUAGUUUACGUAAAAAAAUACUAUUAUUUGUACAUACAAUAUAUAUGCCUUGAAGAUACAUUUUGAAAUUAGUUAAUAAAAUUAAUUAGAAAAAAGUCUACUAUAAAAUUUAAUUUUUAAUAGUUUCAUCAAAGUCACAAAAAAUACUCAUUAAAUAUUUAUAUUAUGGAAAAAAAAUGCCCCUCCCUAAUAUUACAUGUGAUAUAACUUAAAUUAAUAAAUUGUAUAAUUUUAUAUUUUAUUUAUAUGUCAUAUAAUUUUAUUAUUUUAAGAUUAUUAAUUAAUUGAUAAAUAAAAUAUUUAUUUAUUAUAUUUAUCAAAUUAUCUUUAUUGAAGCAAUAUUAGAUCUUUAAGUUUAAAUAUAAAAUUUUUUAUUAUUAAAGUAUAAUUUUUUAAUUUCAAUAAUAAUUUAAAAUUUAAUAUUUUUAAUUAAAUUUUAAAGUAAAAAAAUAAAAUAACUGAAGUUUCAAUUGACAUAUCUUAUUUAGAUUUCAUAUAAUAUUAUUAUUUUAAGAUUAUUAAUUUAUUUAUAAAUAAAAUAUUUGUUUGUUAUUAUAUUUAUUAAUUUAUUUUUAUUGAAGUAAUAUUAGAUCUUUAAGUUUAAAUAUAUAAAUUAUUAUUAUUAAAAUAUAUAUUUUUUAUUUCAAUAAUAAUUUAUAAUUUAUUUUUUAAUUAAAUUUUAAAAUAAAAUAAAAAUUUUAACUAAAACCUCAAUUGUCAAUUGAGGCUUUAGUUAAAAAAUAAGUUUCGAUUGACAAAUGAUACUUCAAUUAAAAAAUGAAGUCUUAGUUGGUAAUUGAGACUUCAACUUAAAUUUUAAAAAAAAAAAAUUAUGACAUAACUCCUAUAUGUGAUAAUAAAGGAACUAGUUUAAACAUAAGUUUUAUAAAAGGGUUAAAACUUAUAUUUUUUUCUACAUAAAAAACUAUUUUGCCCUAAAACUCCCGUAUCGUCGACUAGCUACUGCUUUACUCCAUGUAACAUCUUGUCUACUUAAUUAUAUGAACUUCCUGAAUUAAUGCUGGAAUGACAAACCAAGUUUUAUUGAAAAUGGAAACCUUCUUAGAAUCAAACAUUUGCUCGAACAAAUUUCGCAAUAAAAAGAGGAGAGUUGUGAAAAGAAGCAUUUUUCCUGCAGCCAAUUACCUUUUCAUACAUUACUUUAAAACAAAUUAACAAAUAGUGAUCUCAUAUUUUACCUUUUCUGUUGCAGAUUACUUUUAAAAAUAUUCUCUCCACAGGCACUCCUACGGAAUCUUUCUCCAAAUCAAACUGUACAUUUUACUCAAAUUUUAAUAUCUAAUUAUAAAUAAUUAUGGGUGAGAUUGCAAUCCUUUGCUUAGCUCUUUGAAAAUCUAUGAUGAUACUCGGUAUUAAUAUUUUAUUUUAUUAAAGAUAAAAAUAUCAAAAUAAUUUUAGAACUUUUUAGUGGGGAUAAUACUUCCCCAUUAGGCUGCUUACAAGGCAUAAAUUAAUAUUUUUUUAAUUUUAAUAAAAGCAAUUUGGUACAGUUGACUUGAUUGAUAACUAUUUAAGAUAGGAUUUAGACUAAUUUAGAUUAAUUAGAUUGCAUUUACAGUUCCGUUACCUCGAAACAAAGUUGGUGCAACAUUAACCAUGAUUAUGGUGAUAUAUUUUAGUUUUAUAUUUUUUAAGGGGAUAAUUUUUUUUUUUAAUGGUUUGAUGUUAGCUUAUAAGAAAAACCUAAACCAUAAAAGCCGAAUCUUUCCAAUAUUGAUCCAAUUUCUAUCAUUAAAAAUAUAUGAAUAAAACUUUUGAUCCUUAAAUAAAAGUAUACAAACUAUCGUACAAAAUAAUGGAAUCAAAUAUACAAAAUAAGAUUAAGGAAAUGUUUGAUAAAACUUAAUAUUUAUUAUUUAAUAAUUUAAAUUAACUCUAAGUUAAAUUAUAUUUAAGUUGUUGACUUAAAACUUAUUAUUUAAUUUUUAUUUUAAGUAUUAAGGUUAUUUAAAAAAAUUAACUUACAAUUUAUAUUAAAUCAUCAAAUUAAAAUAUUUAUCUUAAUAAAUUAUAACUAAGACAAAUAAGGUUAAAUAACAAUGGAGGUUGUGAAGUCAUAAAAGAGAUCAUAAAUGUAAUUGAGAGAAAAAAAGACAAAAAUAUAAAAUGAAGAUACUGACUUAAAAAUAAAUAAAUUUUUUUAUUUAUUAAGUCUUUUAUUUUAAGUCAUACAAUAAAAUUAUUUUAUCAAACAUAUUUAAUUUAUUUAAUAAUAUAAUUAAAAUAUUAAGUCACUUAAAGUUAUUAAAUUGGUUUACCAAACACGUACUAACGUACAAAUAAAUAAGACUAAAAUAGAAAACAAUGAAACUUAAACACAUAUAUGACAUGGUCUAUUUAAUUGUAUUUUUUUAUAAAUGCCUCUUUAAUACUUCCCAAAUCAUAACAUUAAAUUUCUUAAAUUGAUAUAAAACAUUUUUUUUUUUCUANNNNNNNNNNNNNNNNNNNNNNNNNNNNNNNNNNNNNNNNNNNNNNNNNNNNNNNNNNNNNNNNNNNNNNNNNNNNNNNNNNNNNNNNNNNNNNNNNNNNACAUAUAUGACAUGGUCUAUUUAAUUGUAUUUUUUAUAAAUGCUCUUUAAUACUUCCAAAUCAUAACAUUAAAUUUCUUAAAAUUGAAUUAUAAACAUUUUUUUUUUCUAUGAUUGAAUCAUUUAGCACUCCAAGUUUUACUAUUGGACGAAAUGUUAAGGAUCUAAUAAAUGGGUAACAUUAAUUUGCUGAAAUAGUUUUUCUUAUUACUUAUAAUGGUUUUAAGAAUGUUGAAAAAAAAAUUCAUGGGAAAACAUUUAUCAAACUCAAAUUUUGAUUCCUAUUUACUUUAUCUUUCCUUGUCAUGUCUCUUUCUAAUUUUCCUUUUUUAGCGGUUUGUUUAUUAGAACAGUAUAUCAUGCCUGUGAUUCUCUUUCUAUCACUUCUUUUCAAUUGAUUUGUUUAAUGCAAUAAUAUUUGUUUAAUGCAAUAAUAUAUCAUGUUAGACAAAAUAACACCUACCUACUACCCAAAUCCCCAAUGUGACAAUGAACUCUAUCUUUAAGCAUUAUUAUAAAAUUAAACGUAAAGGAUAUUAUAAGUUUCUUCCAUUCCACGUGCCUUUCCCAUAUAUUGAAAGGUGGAGGUUAUCAUUUUUAAAAGAUCAAUAAUUGUAAUGAAUUUUCCAUUCCACGUGCCUUUCCCAUAGAUUGAAAGGUGGAGGUGAUCAUUUUUAAAAGAUCAAUAAUUUUAAUGAAUUUCAUAUAUUUGCAUAUUUUUUAAGAGGGAAUUCAAAUUAACUCAUCUUAUUUCUCAAUGUUACGUAACUCCUGCCUCAAAUUAAAAUCAUCAUAUCAUUAUGAACAACUUUGAUACAACUAUUCAAUUUUUAAUAUGAAUUCUUUCAUUCUCAAAUCAUUGUUCAAGUUAGCUUUAUUAACUUAAAAAAACUCAUUCUUUGUCACUACUCCCUCUAUGAUUAUUAAAUGAUAAAAUUGUCAUUGUCUUAAAAACUAAUUUUGAUAAUAUAUUCAUCAACAUAUUUACAAAUUUAAAUUAAUACAAGUUGUAAGAAAUGUAUCAUAAAGAAGAUACAAAACUAGAAGUAGAUGAUAAUUAAUUAUUUUUUUUCUUUAUUGAACUUUGACACCCCAUCCAAAUGCAUUAACGAGAAAAAUAGUGUUUUAUGCUUGUUUUCAAUUAAUCUUGUCAAUAUGUACAUGAAAAACAAUGAUUUAUGCUUAUAAAUCUUAUCAAUUCGCUUAUUUGUAUAUGUAAAAUGAAAUUAUUGAAACUACACGUAGAAUUGCAUGAGGAAAAAAAUACAACUACUGCAUUUAUAAAUGAAUAAAAGCUUGGCUUAAAAUUCAAAAUUCUCAAAACUAUGUUUUCCACACCAAAAUAUUUCAUCCAGCCAACCAAACACCGAUUGAAUCCUCCCUCUAAAGCAUAUUGCCCAAGAUUACAGGCAACGUAGUAAUUACCUAGGCAAGUACGUCAGAAUUAUAGCUUCUUUUUUUUUUUUGUUUUUUUUCAGUUCAUUGACUCGGCUCCACCCAACCACUAUCAGUAUCAGUUACUACCAGAGAGGGUACUGGGUACUGGUUACUGGGCAGGAGCUUUUCCAAAUUCACAACCCGUCUUCUUUAUAUAAGGGCAAGUUUAUGUAUUUCCUCUCGCCAUUGCCUUUUGUUCGAAUCAUUUGAAGUUGAUUUUAUUAAUCCAUCAGAAAAACAUGGCUCUAACUGGUAAAUUGGAGAUUGAAACAGAGAUCAAAGCACCUGCUGAUAAGUUCUUUAAAAUCUUCAGGAGCCAAGCACACCACCUUCCUAAUAUCUGCUCCGAUAAAAUACACAAAAUCGAGGUACAUGAAGGUGACUGGGAGACUCAGGGCUCUGUCAAGCAUUGGAGUUACACCAUUGGUAGGAUAUGCAACUCGAACUCAGAACCCCAAAACACUAGCUAGCAUUAUAUUCCGUUAAAAUGUUUUUUGAUUUUUUUUCCCCAUUUCAUUGUUGUUUUCUUCACAUUUUUUUAUUCUUUUAGAAUAAAUGCAUGGCUCUUUGUACAAUUUUUCUUUUUUUCUUGCAAAGAAGUGGUCAAGUCUGGGCCGCCAGUGACUAUGAUCGAUGGUUCUUAGUAAUGUAUAUGGCAUCUAAUAUUAGCUUCAACAUAUUCCAAUUACUAGGAGGGAAUUCUAAGAGCAUUAAGGAGAGUGUGGAAUCAAUAGAUGAAGAGAACAGGUCCAUUACGUUCAAGGUUUCGGAUGGAGAGGUGCUGAACGACUACAAGAGCUACAAGUUCACCACACAAGCAAUACCAAAGGGAGAGGGCUGCUUGGUGAAAUGGACCAUUGAAUAUGAGAAGGCAAGUGAGGAUGGGCCAGAUCCCCAUGACUACCUGGAGUUUGCAGUUACUGUCACCAAAGAUAUCGAAAGUCACCUUCUCAAUGCAUAACACCAAGUCCAUACAUACCGUCUGCUAGUAUCUCUAUUAAAUAAAGUUUGGAACUUGGAAGGGCAUCUACGAUCUCUAUCCUUCAAUAUAUGCGAAGGCUUAGGGGAACUUUUAGCAGCUGUGGCUUGGUGAUUAAUGCUGAGAAGAUAAACUAGGUUUCCCUUAAUUAUUUGUGUAAUAAUGUUAGUGCAUGCGUGUAAUCGGUUGUAUGCUUGUCUGGACUCUAGGGGUUGCUUUGUGAUUGUUAAUUGGUGUCUUUUGUAAUGGGAUUACUACAUGUUAUGUGAAGACUAUAUGAUGUAUAAGGAAAUAAAGUGAAAAUUACCAGGGGCUAACUCCAUCAUGAGGAGCCUCUGAGUAUGUCCACAAGUCUACAUUCUUGCAUUCUAGUCACAUGUGUCAAAAUCAGACCCUAACAAAUUACAGUCUUGAUCAUUGAAGGGGUAAAAUCCCACUUUACAUAUAAUCUAAAUAAUUUAGCUAAAAUCUAAUAAGAAUAUCUCUCUCUACAGGUAUGUAACCUUCCAACCUUGAAUUUAAGGAUAUUUAUAUAAUUUAAAAUUAUAAAAAGAAAAUUUUGGAUAUAGGACAAAUUAAUUUUUUUUUUAAAAAAUAACGAAAGUGAAUGAAAUAUUUUUGGUUCCUAUGACCACCCACUUUUUUUACUUUUUAUUUUUAUCUCAUUUUAGUUUCUCCACGUUAUAAAAAAAUGAAAAGAUAAAAUAGAGAGGAAAAAAGACAACUUGGAUUUGUAGAAGUUUCUUUCUUUCAUGGUGUUUUUCUGUUCUGUUUUUGCCUUUGUUUCAUUCUAAAAGUCACUCACUAUCUUUAUCUCAUUUGGGUUUCCCCGCGUUAUCAAAAAAUGAAAAUAUAAAACAAAGAGGAAAAAAAAACCUAUACAAAGGUCUUUGGAAUUUUGAUUCAAAGACUUAAGAAAAGAAUAAUAAAUUUUUGCAUUUGUUCCGUUCUAAAAUUCAAGGUAAGUUUUUCACAUAUAAUUUUUUUUUAGGAAUUCUAUUAUCUAUUAAUUAUGAGAAUAGUAAAUAUAUAUAAUAAUAAUAAUAAUAAUAAUCAUCAUCAUCAUCAUCAUCAUCGUCAUCAUCAUUAUCAUUUUAAAACUAGUUAUUAGUGAUCCUAAUCAAUCGAGAACAAGUUGAUUUUCAUUACCCUUGGUAAUGGUAGUGAUAAAAUAUAUUUUUAGUUAAUAAGGGUGUAAUUAGCUUUGGGGUUUCAUUGAUUAGAAAUUAUUUCAUCUACUAGUAAAAAAAACAAAGUAAAACUAACCAUCAAGUGCAAAUCAUGAAUUUUUUUAAAUAUGAAUUGAGUAUACAAAGUAUAUUAUUUAAUUAUAUAUUUAAAUUGAAAGAGAUUAAUUUUUCAAAAAUAGUGAAUUUAAUCAUUGAAUCAAAUCAACUUACCUGUUAUAAAGAUGUGAUAUGUUCCAAAAUUUAGUUGUAUACAAUACGUGACCCUUCUUAUUAAACUAUCCUUUAUCAUUGAGCUAUCUAACUUACCUUUCUCAAUUAUUAUCCUUUAAGGUACAUCAAAUAUUGGUAUAAAUGAGAAGAGAUCGAGAUAUGAAAAGUAUUUCAAAUAGAAACAUCUUUAGAAUAGAUUUAUUUUUUAGGAUUGUUUACUUAGAUCAAGUUUAUUUUAAUUUCUAAAAUGUUUUUUUAAGUGUUUGAGAGAAUUAAAGUUAUUAUUUAGAUAUUUUAAUUAGUUUUGGAUUUGUUUGUUAAGGUCAUUCAUACAAAGAUGAUAUCCAUUUCUGUGUUAUAUUUUAUUUUAUUUAUUUAUUUCUUAUUUCAUGUAUUAAGUUUGAUAAAACUGAAGGUGAAAUCAACAUUGAAUUGCUAAAAAUGUCAAUUACUAUUGUUAAUUUAUCACAAUUAUGAUUUUUUAAUUGUAGCACAUAGUAAAAUUAUUAUUAUUAUUAUUAUUAAUAUUUAUACUCUGGUCGAACUUAUCCAUGGCCAAUCCAUCAUGUAGGCCAAUUUUGUCAAACUUAUCCAUGGCCCAUCCAUCAUGUAGGCCAAAUUUUUAUUAGCAUUUUUGGGUCAUAACUCUAGAUGCUGACAUUAAAGCAUUUCUGGCAUAAUAAUUAUUGGAAAAGGAUGUCUCCUCUUUCAUGGAUCACAACCAAUACAGCAAAGAUGAUGAUAGAUAGCAUCCUUAUCACCUCAUGUGUCUUGACCUCUUCUUCAAGCUUGAGUGUCUUGUCCUAUAUUUAACGCAUGUACCAUUGCCUCCAAGAUAUGGUGACAGGAAUUAUAUAGCUACUGACUAGCUAGUCUUCACUCCAAAAAUAUGAUGGCCACUUUUUUGAAAUAUAACUCUUUAUCCUAUUGACUUAAACUCACCACCUCUUUCAGAUCCUCCACAAGGAUCAACUUAUUAAGAGUUUGGUCGAAGUUUGAUCCACUUUUCUAAAUGAGCAAUGUUAAAUUAUUUUAUUCAAACAAAUUUGAUGAUCAAAUAUCUCUUAUUUUCUCAAAUUUAAAUAACAUUCCUUUAUAAAAAUAAUUAUAAAAUUUAUUAUAAUCACUCAUUUUCAAUGGCUCAUUAGUAGAUGUUCAUUGUAUUAAAAUACAUUUAUAUGAUUAAGAAAAACUUAUACAUUUCUAUUUUUUUUUUCUAUGCAUAAUUUAUAAUAUCUCAUAUAGGAUUUAUUGGGUUUAGAAACAUGUAAUAUUUAUAUAAUAGUGAGUGAAUUAUUAUAAAUGGUAUGAAAAUUGAUUUUCAACCCUUUAUGAGAAUUUAUUUAAUACUACAAUAUAUGACUCUAUGUUUGAUUAUGUAAUCCUAUAAGACACGAUGUCCAUUAAGUUCAUUAUAUUAUUUUUAAUUAUGUAAAAAUAUUUUAAAAUUAAAAAAAUUCAUUAAACUUAGUGCAGACGCUAUCUAUAUAAAAGGAAAUAAAUGGUUAUACUUCAUCAUAUUCGUUUCUCAUAUUUGAUAUAUAUCAAUUUCAGCGACUAUUAUUCAACAUUGCCCGAAGCAAUAGGUGCCUCACUUUUACAAAGAAAACUUCCUCUAUUGAUAUUUCUCAAAUAUAAAUUCAUGUCAUGGACUCAUGGUUAACAACCGAUAGAUCCUAAAACAAUUAGAUAUCUCAGAUAUUGAUUGACCAAAUGGACAACCGAUGCUAUAGUAAGAGCUGUUGCUGUUAUCUUUUAAUUUAAAUAUACACAAACGACAAAAUGCUUAACUAAUCCACCACCCAGGCGCCGGGCCACAGAAAUGAAAUACCGCCUACCCCAACAUUUUGGAAUUAAAAAUCUACACCACCCAGAUCUUGCUGUGAUUUGGUAAAUCCCGAGAAAUUGACAACCUUCCUACGCUGGGGAGGCGUGGUUCCAUUCAAUGCCAACAUUUUCGGAUGGGUCCAGAGAGUUGUACAGUGACUUUUAAAUAAAGAAUUGUUUUAAACCUUGACUUUGGGCUCUUUAUCAGGAAUAUGAAAAUAUUGGGCAAUGACUAGAUUCGAGAGCAGGUUGCAUGCAUAGAUAUCGCAUUAAUUUUUAGCAAUCGUUAUGACGAAAGAAAAUCUGCAGAACCAAGCGAAUUUUCCUAGUCAUCAUGAGAGACAUUAGACAAGGUUUUCAAUUCAUAAAAUUGCCUUAUCAUCUGGAAUUAAAUAUUUUCAAGCUAAGGAUGAGGUUCAAUCCGUACGGGGCAAUGAAAAUAUAUGGAUGCCCUAUAGAGUGGUUGAACAUUCUACAGUUUCGUCCCUAUUUAUAGAAGAAGAUGAAAUUUUAAGCAAUUUGCUUCAAUGCAAUUUUAGCAUAUUUCAGCUAGUCAUAGCAACGUCUAAUUUCGUUGAUGUAGAAGAAGCUAACACCAAAGAUUCAUCUAGGUAGAAAGAAGUAUCGAGCAUGUAACUAACCGCAGAACUCACAUCUAGGGACCCUAUUGUAAAUAUAACAGGUGAUGGACAUAAAGAUAGAUAUGAGUAAAAGAGUGGAACAUAAAAUCCAAAUUUCAAAAGUAUGAUAGUUUUUUAGUGUUUCUUUGAAUCUCGUAGGAAUUUAGGUCAUUUUCAAUCUCAUCCAUGAGACAAGGUACAAUAAUUGUUGAAGAAUAAGAGUAUUGUUGGGCAGUUCGGCGAGCUAUAUAUAAAGAGAGAGACUUCUUAACCAUAUAAAUAUUAUCCUCUAUAACUCUAAAUUUUUUUUUCCUUUAUCCAAUAUAAAAUAUCACAAUCACUUUUAUGUAUGCACUCUUUUUAAUCACGUCGCAUAAAAUUACACCAUUUUCAAAGCUAAAUAAACUCCUAUAUAGGGGUCAUAUAUUGACUUCAAUACUCUUUGAAACGACUCACACUUAAUCAUAUAAACUCAUUAUAAUAAUGUAUUUCCUAAUUUCAUGGAAUUUCAAUAAAAUAUUUAUUACUUUCAAAUGGGAAUUAGAGAGGAAUGUUGUCUAGCUAACUCAUAAUUCUUCUUUAUAAGUUCAAAUUAGGUAUUUACUUCUUCCUACCAUUACCUCAUAUUUUGAUUGUUUCUUCGUUAAUAUAUAGUUGGUUAAACUAAUAAACUAGAGGUUAGGAUGGAGAUCAAUUUAGAUUAUGUUUGUUUUGAGUUUAAUAAACCCUUACGACUUUAAAAUGUGUUUAGAUAGUUAAGAGAAACUUAUACAUAUAUAAUAUUAAAAAAAUUUCCUCAUUUAAUGUGAGAUAUUAUAAUCAUCACUCAUGUAGACAUAAUAUAUUUGUUGUAAGUCAGAAGAUUGUAAAACCAAACAAAUUUUUUCAUUGAAAUAUAAUAUUAUUUGUAAUGGUUCACUUUCUCUCAUGGAUCCCAACUCCAUUAGGUUCUUCAUGAAGCUUGUUUCAGUUUAUUAACCACCGAUGUAGCAAAGAUGAUGAUAAGUAGUAUUUUUGUUUCUCAUAUGUUUUCAGACCUCAUCAAGCUUGAGUGCCUUAUCCCAUCUCUAACGCAUGUACCAUUGCCUCCAAAAUAUGUUGCCAGAUUAUACAUAAUAUCAUAAUUAUAGCUACUGAAGUCCAACGACUACCUAGCUAGUCUUCACUCCCAAAAACAUGAUGGUCACUUCUUUGAAAUAUAACUCUUAUCCUAGUGACUCAAACUCACCACCUCAUUGACAUCCGUCAUAAGAAUUUCAGAGACUCUUCAAAGUUUGAUCCACUUUUAUAGAUGAAUAAUGUAAAAUUCUUUUAUUCAAACAAAUUUGAUGAUCAAAUAUCUUUUCUUUCCUAAAAAUUAUAUUUCCUUUUUAUAAAUCUUAUUUUAAUGACCCAAUUACAGUAUGGUAGAUAUUGUUUGUUUCGAGUCCAAUAAACCCUUAUAACUUUAAAAUAUGAUUAAAUAGUUAAGAGAAACUUAUAAAUAUAUAAAUGUGAGGUCAAAUAAAUUUUCAUAUUGAGAUAAAAGAUUAACUUUAAUACUAUUUGUAAUGGUUUACUUUCUUUCAUGUAAACAUCAUCCACUUUAUACUCAAUGAAUCAUUGAAGCUUUAAAACAUAUUUACAUGAUUAAAAGAAACUCGUACAUAUAGUAUUAGAAUUUUUUUUUUCUGACCCAUGAUUUGCAAUAUAUGUAUAAAUACGUUUUAAAGUUAUGAGGAUUUAUUAAGUUCAGAGUAAAUAGUAUUUAUAUUAAAUGGAAUGACAUGUCACAUGCAAAUAAUAUCAAACUCAAUCUCCAAUUUUUAUAUAAGAGUUUGUUUGAUUUUAUAAAAAAUGUUUGUGUGUUUCAUUCUACAAUUCUGUGAGACACAACAUCCAUUUAAUUUAUUAAAGUCUUUUUAACUAUGUAAACAUGUUUUAAGUUGUUAAGAUUGAUUGGGUAAAAACAGAAGAGGUGAUUGUGUGUUUUAUCCUACAAUUCAAUGAGGCAAUGCCUAAUUGAUUCAUUGGGGUACUUUUAAUCGUUAAUGCAUGUUUCAAUGUUGCUAAGAUUGAUUGAGUGAGGAAAAUAUCUACAUAUGAAAGGCAACAGUUAGUUACACUUCAUUAUGUUUUUUUCUAAUAUAUUGAUAUAUGUCAAUUUCAGUAGUUAUUAAUUCAACAUCGCCCAAAGUAACCAAUGCCUCGCUUUUCCAAACAAAACUUUCUCUAUUGAUAUUUCUUAAAUAUAAAAUCAUGUCAUGGUAAGCAUCCGAUGGAUACUAAGACAAUUGGAUAGAUAUCUCAGAUAUUGAAUGGACCAAAUGGGGUAACGGAUGUGGUAGUAUACAAGCGCUGUAUAUCUUUUAAUUUAGAUAUACACACACAACGUAAUGCCUAAUCCAUCCAGCCGGGGGGCCGGCCAGAGAGAUAUAAAAUACCCCCAAUCCCAUCAUUUUGUAUUUUGUAUUGGAAUUAAAAAUCCAAACCCAGAUAUUGCUAUGAUUUGGUAAAUCCCGAGAAAUUGAGAACCCAUCCUGGGGGAGGCAUGGUCCCCCUAUUCAAUGCCAACCCUAUUUUCAAAUGGUGUCUAAAGAGUUGUACAGUUAACGGUGACUUUAAAAUAAAGAAUUGCCUUAAACCUUGAUUUUAGGCCCUUCUUCAAGAAUAUGAAAAUGCAUGUUGGGCAAUGAUUUAGAUUCGAAAGUGGGUUCUGCAGACAUCACAUUUCUGCAGAGCCGAAAAUAUUUACAAGCGUAGGACGAAGCUCAGUUCAGAUGGGCCUCGAAGAUGAAUUUUUAAGCAAUUUGCUUGAUACAUUCAGCAAUUGAUAAUUUAAAAUAAAAAAAAUUAGGAAAUAGAAAGUAAAACAUAUAUGGUUAAAACUUCAAUGCAAUUUUAGCAUAUUUGAACUAGUCAUAGGAGCGUUUAAUUUCUUUGAUGAAGAAGCUGAACACCAAAGAUUCAUCCAGGUAGAAAAAUGUAUUGACCAUCUAAUUGUCUGCAGAACCUACAUCUAAGUACCCCGCUAUAAAUAUAAGAGGCAACUUAGGUGAGGGACAUAUAGACACAUACGAAUGCCAUUGUAGAAUAUAAAAUCCAAAUUUCUCAAAACUAUAAGGUUAUGUUUGAAUCCAAAAAAAUAUUAGAGGAAGUGAAAAUGUUAAGAAAAAUAAUUUUUUAUGAUUAAUUUUAUUAUAAAAAAUAUAAAAAAUAAAUAUAAUUAAAAUUAGUUAGAAUUUUACAUAUUUUUAAAUUAUAUAAUUUGAAUUUAAAUAAAUAUAUAAAAAUAAGUCAUUAAUUUUAGAUCUAUUUCUUUUUUCUUUUUUUAUAUUCUCCCACAAAAUUUCAGUAACCGAACACAACCUAAUAGUUUCCACUGUUUCUUUGAAUUUCUCAACUUCAAAAUCUCUUGUCUAUGAGACCUCAGAGUAAUUAAUUCCUACCUCUUGGUGACUAGGCCAAGCGCAUGGAUAGGCACAUUGACCCACUUGUAAUUGCCUAGGCUAAUAGGCCAAGCUCAUAGCAAUUUUCCUUUUUUAUUUUUUAAUUUCGUCGUAGGACUUGGUCUCCACAAGGCACUAUAACGUAUCCCCUAAUUUCAUUUCAUGGAACUUUAAUAAAAUAUCUAUUGCUUUCAAGUGGGAACUGGAGAGCAACGUUGCCUAGCUAACUCACAAUCCUUCUAUAUAAGUUCAAGCUAGGUAUCUUCUUCCUUCCACCACUGCCCACUGCCUUGUAUUAGGAUAUCGUUUCUUAGUUAAUAUAUAGUUGAUUAAUUUCCAUCUCCAACUACUACUAUUAUUAGAAAAAUAUGGCUCUAACUGGCAAGCUAGAGGUUGAAAUGGAGAUCAAUUCACCUGCGGAUAAAUUCUAUAACAUCUUCAGGAGGCAAGCACACCACAUUCCUAAUAUCUGCUCAGAUAAAGUACACCAAAUUGAUGUACAUGAAGGUGACUGGGAGACUCCAGGCUCCGUCAAGAACUGGGGUUAUACUCUUGGUAAGGCAACCACAACUCAAACCCCAAAACCCUAGCACUAUUAGUCUGUAAAAAAAAAUGAUUUUUUUAGUUUUUCUAUUUCAUUUAAUUGUUUUUUUGUUUGGCAUUUUCCCCUUUAGAAUAUUAAUUUAACUGCAUUAAUUCGGAGUUGAUCCCAUCAUGUGGAAGUUUAUGCUUCUGUUAUGAAUACAGCUUUGUAUGCCUUCCUUAUGUUUAAUUCAACCUAAAGCAUGUAGAAUUGAUGGUCAAAGUCUAUGGGACCCUUUUUUCAUGACCGCCAUGCAUGGGGCUUUCCCAGGUGACUGCCCGCUACUAAAGGGGCCUAAAGUUUAGGUCCCCCGAGUUAGAACUUAGAAGAGGGAUUAUGAAUGAUCAGUGAAGUUGUAAGGUUUUGAUCUUCUUAGAUAUUACCUAGAAAGAGGAUUGACUUUACUUGACUUUUACCAUAUUGAUUUAGAGAUUGGCGAUUGCUUUAAAAGGUUGUGUCAACAGAAGAAAACUUAAAAAAUAUUAAGAAAAAUAAAAAAAAUGAUUUUGUUUUUAUAAAAAAAAUCAAAUAUAAUAAAAACGAGUUGAAAUUUUAUUUAUUUUUAAAUUAACUUUUAUAUAGAAGAAUUAAAAUACGUUAAGUAAAUUUGAAUCAAAAUAUAAAAAUAAUUAAUUUCUUAAUUUUAAAUUUAUUAUUUUUCUUUUAACUUCUUUUUUGUUUUUUCAUUUUCUUUUCUUUUGUAUUUUCUUCAAAUUUUUUUAGAACCAAAUAUAGUCAUUAUGAAAAGAUGGGCCACGAAGUGACUACGCAUGUCAAUUUGCUUGAGAUUUCGCAAUCUAGUAGUUUCAAAAUACUAUGCUUAACCCCUUGUUUUGGUUUGAAAUUACUAGGAGGGACUUCUAUGAGCCUUAAAGAGACUGUGGAAUCAGUAGAUGAUGAAAACAAGUCAAUCACUUUCAAGGUUGUGGAUGGAGAGAUCAUGAACCAUUUCAAGUGCUUCAAGUCCAACUUGCAAGUAAAAGCAAAGGAUGAGGGCAGCUUGGUGAAAUGGAGUCUGGAAUAUGAGAAAGUAAAUAAGGAUGUCCCAAAUCCUGAUGCUUACCUGGAGUUCGCAGUUAAUGUUACUAAAGAUAUUGAAAGCCACUACCUCAAGGCAUGACACCAAGGCCAUGUGGUAUCCUCGGUAGUAUUACUUCAAUAACGCUGGUGUUUGUAAUUUGGUUGAGUUGUAUGCUUUACCAGGAGUGGCCUUGUGAUUGGCUGGUUUCUUUUGUAAAGGCAUUAUCAUAUAUGAUGUAAAUACUGUACCUUAAAUAAAAAGAAAAUCAGCAAAGACCCUCCUUUUUAAUGUGGAUAAUUGCUUUUAAUGUCACCUUUGUUGAUCGGUUUACAAGACAAGAGUUAACAAGUAGUCCCUAUUUAUUAAAUAUAAGAAUUUUCUGUAUCCAUUAAUCAUCAUCAGUAAGCUAAUAAAAUGGCUGAUAUUUUUCUUAAUAAAAACAGCAACAGUUACUGAGUUUAUAUAUAGGACACCAGUUGCAGAUUAGAUUUCUUUGGCUUGAUUGUGAUCUUUCUACAUGUUGGAAAAAUAUUGUCAUUUGGUAUUUAAUAUCAAAUUUUAAAAAUAAUAUUUAAGAUAUGAAGAAAAAAACAUACAAUGAUUCAUAUUUUUAACUUUAAUAUGAUUUAAAGUUCAUCGAGUAACCGUUUUGAAAUCAUUCACCCUUGAUCUUCACUUUCCUAGUCUCCCUUUACACGUUCCUUAGUGGUGAGUAUGAAAAUGAUUCCAUUGAAUUGUAAGAAUGGAAAGAGGGAUAAAAAAUUCUUCUAUUUAUAAGCAUAGAAUGAUUCUUCUUAUCAGUGAACCAUUAACUAAAUACUUUAAACAUAUUAUUAAUUAAUAAUAAUAAUAAUAAUAAUUAUUAUUAGAAAAUAAAUUUCAUAAAUAUUAUAAAUUUAAAAAAGAAUCUAAUUUAAUUCUUAAAAAAUUUAUGCAUGAAAUUUUUAUAUUAUUUUUAAUUGUUUUCUAAGGGUUAUUUUAAGAAAUUAUUAUACAAACAUAUAAAAUAAUUAAAAAUAAAACAAUAGAUAUAAAAAUUAUUUUUAAAAAUAUUAAAAAUAAAUUCAAAAUAUUUUAAGUUGCCAAACAAAUUUUUUAUUCUACAAAAAUCAGAGAUAGUUUUCAAAAUCUCUUUUAAAAAACUAUUUUUCAGAAUUAUUUUAAAAAAUAGUUACCAAACAAGCCCUAAAAGAUUUAUAUAUAUAUAUAUAUAUGAAAUUAAAAAAAUAUCAAAUAAUAAAAAUUCAAACAAUGGUAAGGGUGUCACUAAUGAUCGGUUUGGAUUUAAACUAACAUUUUUUUAUAUUGAGUAAUUUAUUUUUUAUUCUAUAUAUUAGAAAAUUGAAUUUAAAUGUAACUUUUUCAAAUAAAAUAGUUAGAUCACACUUGAUAUAUAGUAAUAAUUUUUUAAAAACUAAUGGUCAUAAUUUAAAAAAAUGAUGAAAAAAAAAUCUCAAAUAUAUUGCAUAUGAAUGUAUAUAUUUAGUUUUAUACAACAUGUUAGACAUAUAUUAGUUAUUAACUUAUUAUAAUCUACUAAAAUAUUAAUUCUAUACGAGGGGAUUAGAUUUCUCAUUGUUGAUUUUAUAACCCUCAUUGUGGGAUUAUAAAAUGUCAUUGCAAUCACUCCCAAUUUAGUCUAUGCAAAUCAAAUAUAGAAAUGCAAUUUAUCUCUGUCACAAUUUGUUACACAAUAAUGAUAAUGGAUAAUAAAUAAAUAAAUAAAUAAAAUUAAAGAACACACAUUUAUGUAUAAAACUUUAGAUGAGAAAAAUCAUGGAUAAGGAAAAUGAAUAUCCAAUAUAUCAAAAGAUUGGUAUAAAAGAUGAGAAAUAUAAACAACUAUGAUAAAAAUAUAAUCAUCAUAACCUUAAAAUUAUGUGAAAGUAAUUAACAAAGUAGGUCCAUACAUAAGGACAAAGAGCCCCCUCAAAGGUAUCAAUGGUGGGGGUGUGGGGUGUGGGAUCGGAUCAAAUUCCAACGUUAUCAAUGGUAGGCUAGGGGAUCGGAUCAAAUAGAAUUUGGAUCGCCAAACCUUAAUACAUUUUAUGCUUUUUCUUAUUGGUUUAGAUUUAUGAUAAUCUCCUCCACCAGCAAAAUAAAGUUAUACCGGAGGAUUUUCUUUGUUUUGGCUGUCACACUUUCACUUCUUUGCUAAUAGCCUAACAUCAAAUGAGAAAAUAGAGACAUUUUAAAAAUGAGAACAAAUUCUCGAGGAUUUAGUUGUCUGCCACUAGACUAUAAAAAAUGCUUUCCUGUUAUUUUACCCCCUAAAAUAAGUUUGAUACAAUGCAUCUAUUUUCUGGCUCCGACAAUGUUUAAGAAUACAUCAACCGACCUCAAACCACAUUAUUUCGGUUUGAAAAGAAGGCUUUAUUAUGUCAGUAUGGCUGCUAAGAAGACUUUUGGAAUAUAAUAAAACAAGUCCAGCGAGUUGAUGGUUUGGAAUCGAGAGAUCAUGAAUGAUUUCCCUACUUUAGAGUCAAUAAUUAAGUGGAAUGUGAGAAGGUGAAUGAGGAUGGCCCGGGAUCCAAUGCUUACUAAACUAUUGAAGAUCACCUUCCUGAGGCAUAAUUCCAUUACUUUUCAUCGACGCUGCGAUGCUAUAAAAGAAUAUUAUAAAAAUGCAAGGGUAAUGAAAUAUUGUACAGCCUUUACCGUAUUGAAGAACGUGGACUGAUUGCUAGGGUACCCAACACCCACCAUAAUUCCCACACCAACUCCCAACCAACCCGAUCACGUAGGGCCUCACAUGGCCUCAUUAUCAUUUAUGUGGAAAGAUAAUGCUAAACUAUAUACGGGAUGGCCAUUCUACCAGCCAACCUGUAAUGAUUUUGAUAAAAGUAUACUAAAAAUAGAAGGAGAAAUUAAGUUAUCAUUUGAUAACGGUUUUUAAAAAUUGUUUUUAAUAUUUUAUAAAAUAAAAUUUUAUUUAGAAAUACAAAAUAUUUUUAACUUAUUUUUAAUAUUUUAUAUGUAUAUAUAUAUAUAUAAAGAGAGAGCGCUUUAUUUUUAAUUAUUUUUCAUAUUUAUAUAAUUAUUUUUUAAAACAAUUUCAAAAAAACAAGUGAAAAUAACUAAAAAAAUAUUCUUUGAGAUAAAGAUCAAAAAACAUAAAAUAGUUUUUUUUAUUAUCAAACAUGUUUUAUGUUUUCUAAUCUGUGUUUUUUUAAUUUGUUUUUUGUUUUCAAAUCUUAAGAUCACUUAAUUUUUUAGGGUUUUUUUUAAGAAAUAAUUAUAUAAAUAUAUAAAAUAAUUAAAAAUAAAAUAUUAGACAUAAAAAUUAUUUUUAAAACAUAUUUAAAAAUAUUAAAAACAAGUUUAAAAUAUUUUAAGUUAUAAAAUAAGCUUUUUUUUUUUUACAAGAAUCAUAAAAUAAUUUUUAAAAACUAUUUUAAAAUAUUAUUUUUGAAAAUAAUUAUCAAACCCCUUAUUUUCUAUUCUCAAAAAAUGUUUUUUAAUUAUCAAAUGUGGUGUCUAUUUAAAUUUAAGAUUUUAAAUUUUAAAUUUAGUUAUUUCCAAGUUAUGAUCUCUUGAUAUUAUUUCAACCUAUUAUUUAUUUAUUUGUUUGUUUUUCACAUAAAUAAACUAAAAUUCAAUUGUAUAACCCAGUAUGAAUCACGUGGGCCCUUAGUGAGGCUGGCUACAACUAAAUCAACGUUCUUUUGAUAAUCGAUUGCCUAUGAAAGAAAUCAUCACGCCUUACACACAAUAGAAUAAAUUAAUAAGAAAGUAAGAAGAUUAGAAAGAAAAGCAUCUUAGAGGAAGGGUUUUUUUUUUUUUAACUUCUUGGUGGUGACACUGGAUGGGCUUUUGAUAAUUGUACGACGAAUUUAAAAUUAAUGUUUUAAAAUACGGUAUUAAAAAAUAUUUUCAAAUUUAUGGUACUUUUUACCACUUUGAAACAUGUUUCUUAAAAAAGCAUAUUUCAUCGUUUUUAUAUUAAUGAUACACAUUCAAAAAAAAAAAAAUUAAAGGUGUCUUUUUGAAAUAUAUUUUUCAUAAUUUUUAUAUCAAUAACACACAUUAAAAAAUUUUGAAUUUAUAUUAAAAGUGUCUCUUCAAAAAACACAUUUUAUAAUUCCAUAAAAUUAAAUUUAUAUUAAAAGUGUCUUUUAAAGAUAUACUUUUUACAAUUUUCAUAUCAGUUAUAUAGUGAAAAAAUUGAAUUUAUAUUAAACAUAUUUCUUUAAAAGACAUUUUCUACAAUUUCAUAAAAUUAAAUUUAUAUUAAAGGUAUCUCUUUCAAUAAUUUUUGUAUCAAUCAUCCAUUGAAAUAAUUGAAUUUAUACUAAAAAUAUCUUUUUAAAAGACACCAUCCAUAAUUUCAUAAAAUUAAAUUUAUAUUGAAAUGUUUCUCUUUAUACUUUUAAUAUAAAUUUAAUUUUUUUAUAGGUGAUUAAUAUAAAAAUUAUGAAAAGUAUUUAUUUAAAAAAUAUUUAUUAUAAAUUCAAUUUUAUAGAAUUAUAAAGACGUCUUCAACGUAAAUUCAAUUAUUUUUUCAAUGUGUAAUUGAUAUGAACAUUAUGAAAAAUGUCCUUCAAAAGACACUUUUAGUAUAAAUUUGAUUUUAUGGUAUUAUUAAAAGUAUAUUUCUUUAAUAUAAAUUCAAUUUUUUAACAUGUAUAACUAAUGAAAAAUUAUAAAAAAAUUAUAUUUUGAAGAGAUAUCUUUAAUAUAAAUUCAAUUUUUUAACAUGUAUAACUAAUGAAAAAUUAUAAAAAAAAUUAUAUUUUGAAGAGAUAUCUUUAAUAUAAAUUCAAUUUUAUAGAAUUAUAAAAGAUAUCUAUUGAAAAAAUACUUUUAACAUGUAUCAUUGAUAUGAAAAAUAUAGAAAAUAUCUUUUCAAAAAACACUUUUUAAAAUGGUAAAAAGUACCAUAAAUUUAUCAAAAGUUUUAUAACUAUCAUAGAAAUUUUUUUCAAAAGUUCCAUUUUUUAAUAAUUAUUUUUUUAAAUAGCCGUACAAGUUAUAUAAAAAAAAACCCGAUACUCCAUAAAAUGUGAUCAAGUAGGAUUUGCAUCAUGCAACCUCAUACAAAUAAUAAAAAGCAUAAAUCACUUGAAACUUGAAAGUGAUUGGAAUUUGGCAGACUCUAGCUAGCUAGGUUGCCAUAAAUGACAUGGGUCAGUGGCCGACACCCACCAAACCCAGCACUUAAUAAUAUAAUUAAUAUACUAUUAUUAUAGAACCAUCGUUUUCAGGAUAGGGAGCAUCAAAUUAACCUCCCCAAGUCAAACUGCACAAUUUGUUUCAUCGAAAUCGAAUAUCUAAUAAUGAAUGAUUAUGGGUGAGAUUGCAAUCCGCCAAUCCUUUGCCUAGCUCUUUGAAAAUCAAUGAUGAUGCUUAGUAUUAAUAUUUUAUUUAUCUUUUUAAUAUGAAAAUAAAAAUAUCAAAAUAAUUUUAAACUUUUUUCGUGGAGAUAAUGCUCCCCAGUUAAGCUGCUUAUAAGGUAUAAAUUAAUAAUAACCUUUUAAUUUUAAUAAAAGCAAUUUGAUACAUAUCACAUCUUAAUUCACUUGAGUAAUAACUAUUUAAGAUUGGAUUUAGGUUAACUUAGAUUAAUUAGAUUGUAUUCAGGUUAAUUAAACCAUAAUCAUAUUAUUAUCAACAAUUUCUCACAACUAUCCUAUUUUUAAUAUGAAUUAUUCCUAGUUCUCAAAUUAUUGUUUAGGUAGUUUUAUUAUCUUAAAAAACAUCUUUUUUUGUCAUUGGUUCUGCAUGGUUAUUAAAUAAGAAAAUUAUAAUUAUCUUAUCAACUAAUUUGAAGACUUUUCACAAAUUCAUACUUUAAAAACCUCUUUCUUUGUCGUGGGUCCCUACAUGGUUAUUAAAUAAUAAAAUUGUAAUAAUUUUAUCAAUUAAUUUGAAGACUUUUCACAAAUUUAUACAAUACUAGUUAUCGGAAAUGUGUCACAAAGAAGAUGCCAAGCUAAAAGCAAAUCAUGAUUCAUUAUUUUUUUUCCCAAUUGGAGCUCGAUGACCCAAUCCGAAUGCAUUAACAUCAAAAUUAGUGUUUUAUACUAUUUUCAAUGAACCUUGUCAACAUGAUCGUGAAAUGAUUUAUGAUUAUUUUCAAUAAACCUUUCAUCGAAACUAUGUGUAGAACUGCAUGAAUAAAUAAGAAAUUUUCAUAGUUACAGAUUUGCAUUAUCUCACUCUAUAUGAUUUUAUAUAGUUUUUUUUUUAAUACUUCUGCAACAUUUCUUUAGAAAAAAUAUUGUAUCAAUAAAUUCAGUAAUUUUCAUCAAUUUCAAUCUUAUAAUUAAAUGAUACUUCUGUCAUGUAUAUCACCAUACGUGUCACACUUCAUUCAAGAUCAGGUUGAUUAGUCAUGUAUACCUGCUCCAUUAAUAAAGUAUUAAGUUUUUAUUUUAUUUUAUUAAAAUAAUAAAUAAAUAAUAUAAUUUUUUUUUAUUAGAGGUAGUUAGGUAUCAUUAAAUGAUUUGUUGUCCUGCCAUGUCCCCAAUUAAUAAUUUUAUACUUUUCAUUUUUUUCAAAGGAUUUAAAAUAUAAAAUAUUAAAGAUAAAAUAUCUGAAAGUACCGCUUCCAUACCCAAUCAAAUUUUAAAUCUAAAUUAUUGACAUGUGAGUGAAAUUUGGACUAUUAAAUAAAAAGUGAAAAAAAAAUAAAAUAAUAAAUAAUUAAAAAUGUUCCUGCAAGGAGAUGUGACUAAGGUUAAAAAAGGAGGGGAUAAGGAGCGGCUAGGAAUAUGUAAACAAAAUUCAAAUAAUUAAAAAACGAAAUGAUAACUUCUCAAUGAAAUUGAAUGUUUCAGUUCUAAAAUCCAAAACAAAAACUAUAGUGAAAGAAAAAUUUGAGAAAAUAUAGCAUGGUCUUCUCUUUAAUGAUUGAUAAAUAUUUAUAUAUAAAUAAAGUUUAUUUUCCAUUAUAAUUUAGAUUAGUCGAGUCUUGUUUUCUACUCAAAUUCAAACUUCACAUUUUGUUAUAAUUUAAUCUAAUAAUAAUUGUUUUCACAAGACAAGCUGAAGUUAUCCAUUAAAAUACAACUUUUAAUUAAUAGUUUAAAAAAUAAGAUAAAUUUGAAAAUAAUUUUAAAAUUUAAUAAGUAUAUAUAUUUUUAAAUAGCAUUUUUUUUUUUAAAUUGCCAAAUCUAUGCUCAGAAAAGAUCCACAAAAGUUGAUCAACAAAAGAUACCGAACAGGAAGUAGAUGAUAAUCCAUUAUUUUCUUCUUUAUUAAAGUUUGACAACCCAAUCUGAAUUCAUUAACGUGAAAAGCAGUGUUGUAUGCUCAUUUUCAAUGAACCUUGUCAACAUGCACGUCAAAAACAAUGAUUUAUUAACUACGUACAUGUAGAAUUCCAUGGGAAAAAAAAAAAUACAAUUAAGGCCUUGGGAGAUGAAUAAAAGCUUAACCUAAAAUUCAAAAUUCUCAAAACCAUGUUUUUUCACACCAAAAUGUUUCAUCCAGCCAACCUAAGACCGAUUGAAUCCUCCCUCUAAAGCACAUUGCCCAAGAUUACAGGCAACGUAGUAAUUACCUAAGCAAGUACGUCAGAAUCAUAGCAAUUUUUACCAAAGUGGGUAUCGGGAAGGAGCUUUGCCUAAUUCAUUCUUCGACAAGGUUAUCUACUUCCUCUCGUCACUGCCUUCUGUUUGAAUCAUUUGUAGUUAGUUUUAUCAAUCCAGCUAGUGUUAUUAUCAGAAAAACAUGGCUCUAACUGCUAAAGUGGAGACUGAAACAGAGAUCAAAGCACCUGCUGAUAAGUUCUUUAAACUCUUCAGGAGCCAAGCACACCACCUUCCUAAUAUCUGCUCCGAUAAAAUACACAAAAUCGAGGUACAUGAAGGUGACUGGGAGACUCAGGGCUCCGUCAAGCAUUGGAGUUACACCAUUGGUAUGACAUGCAACUCAAACUAAGAACCCCAAAACACUAGCGUUAUAUUCUGUUAAUUAAAAUAAUUUUUGAUGUUUUUGUUUCAUUUCAUUGUUGUUUUCUUCUCCUUUCAAUUAUUCUUUUAGAAUAAUAAACGCAUGCGUCUUUGUACAUUUUUUUUCUUGCAAAUAAGUGAUCGGGUCUGGGCCGCUAGUGACUAUGAUGGUUCUUAGUAAUGUACAUGACAUCUAAUAAUAGCUUCAACAUAUUCCAAUUAUGUUUAACCUCACAUUUUGGUUUUAACUAGGUGGGAAUUCUCAGAGUAUUAAAGAGACUGUGGAAUCAAUAGAUGAAGAAAACAGGUCCAUCACGUUCAAGGUUUUGGAUGGGGAGGUGCUGAAAGAAUACAAGAGCUACAAGUUCACCGCACAAGCGAUACCAAAGGGGGAGGGCAGCUUGGUGAUAUGGACCAUCGAAUAUGAGAAGGCAAGUGAGGGUGGCCCAGAUCCCCAUAACUACCUAGAGUUUGCAGUUAAUAUCACCAAAGAUAUCGAAAGUCACCUUCUCAAUGCAUAACACCAAGGUCAUAUCUACCCUUUGCUAGUAUCUCGCUCGUAAAUAAAGUUUGGACCUUGGAAGUCCAUCUACGUACGAUCUCUAUCUUUCAAUAAACGCAAAUUCCAGGUGUGGACUUGGUGAUUAAUGCCGAGAAGAUAAACUAGGUUUGCCUUGGUUAUUUGUGCAAUAAUAUUAGUGCAUGAGUGUGAUUGAUUGUAUGCUAUCUUGUCCGGGAGUUGCUUUGUGUCUUUUGUAAUGGGAUUACUACAUGUAAUGUGAAGACUAUAUGAUGCAUGGGGAAAUAAAUUAAGUGAAAACUUCCAUGGGCUCCAUCAUGAGGAGCCUUUGAGUAAGUCCACAAGCCUACAUUCUUGCAUUCUAGUCACAUGUGUCAAAAUCAGUCUCUACAAAUUAAAGUCUUAUUCAUUGAAAGGGCAAAAUCCCACUUUACACAUAAUCUAAAUAAUUUAACUAAAAUCUAAUAAGUAUAUCUCUCUUUAUAUGUAUGUACCAUCCCAACUUUUAAAUUUAGGGAUAUUUAUGUAAUUUAAAAUUUUAAAAAGAAUAUUUUAGGGAUAUUUACAAAGAUAAAUGAAAUAAUUUUGGUUCUGAUAACCAUUAUCUUUCUCUCAUUUUGAUUUCUCUGUGUUAUACAAAAAAUGAAAAGAUAAACUAGAGAGAAAAAAAUUAUACAAUGGUUUGUAGAGAACUUUGAUUCGAAAAGUUAGAAAAUUCUAAAAUUCACCCACUAUCUUUGAUAUCAUUUUGGUUUCUCCGCAUUAUCAAAAAAUAAAGGACAAAAAUAAACUGGGGAAAAAACUAUACAAAGUUCUCGGAGAACUUCGAUUUGAAGAGUUAAAAAAGAAGAAUUUUUUGCAUUUGUUUUAUUUUAAAAUUCAAGGUAAGUUCUUCACAUGUAAUUUCUCUCUGGAUUUCUAUUAUAUAUUAAUUAUGAGGAUAGUAGAAUAAUAAUAAUAAUAAUAAUAAUAAACAAAAACUAGUUAUUAGUGACCUUGAUCAAUAGAGGAAUUGUGAACCUUUAUUAUCUUUGUUCGGAGUAGUUAACGAUGCGAUGUAAUGUUAGCCAAUAAAGAUGUUAUUAGCCUUGAUAUACAUUGAUUUAAAAAUAUCCUUUUAAAACUAGUUAUUAGUGACCUUGGUCAACAGAGAGGAUAAGUUGUCAACCUUUAUUACCCUUGUUAGGAGUAGUGCACGAUGUAAUGUAACCUUAGUCAUUGAGGAUGUUAUUAGUCUUUGAUAUAUCAUUGAUUGAAAAUUGUCUUGUCCACCAAUAAGAAGAAAGAAGGCUAGCCACCAAGUACUAGUCUUAGUAUUUUGGCACAAUAUUAUUACUAGCGAGUCAAAGUGAAAUAUUUGCUAAUAAAACUUUUUUAAUAUGAAUUGAGUAUGCAAAAUGUAUUAUUUAAUUCUAUCUUUAAAUUGAAAGUGCUUAAUUUUUCAAAAACAAUGAAUUUGAUUAUUGAAUCAAAUGAGUUUACAUGCUCAUGGGCUUUUAUAAAGAUGUGGUAUUUUCCAAAAUUUUAUCAUAUAUAAUAAUUGAUCUUCCUUACACUAACUUUUAUCAUUGAGCCAUUGAGUUCACUUUUCUCUUUAUUCUCCUUUUCAAUUAUAUAUGAUAUAAGGAGGGAUGAGAUAAGAAAAGUAUUUUUAUUAGAAACAACUUUGGAAUUGAUUUAUUUUUAAGAUUAUUUAUCAGAUUGAAUUCAAUUAUAAUUUCUAAACUUCUUUUUUAAGAAUUUGAGAAAAUUAAAUUAAUUAUUGAGAUAUUUUAAUUAGUUUUAAAUUUGUUACUUAAAGUCGUUCACAUGUUGGAUUCUAAUAUUUGAUACGUGAAACUAGCAUGAAGGGCUUGACCUCCCGAUUUGGGGCGUUGCAGCUGACUUUGUAGGUGCCUUUAGAUUACAGAAUUAUUAAUCAACCUACCAAUCUUCAAAGCAAUCUAGGAUGCAAUAUGGUUUUGUGAUUUAAGAUCAAGUGGACGCUUCAUUUAUUAUGUCUUCAAAAAAACAUUUUGGGCCUCAAUUCGAGAUUAUCAGAUAUGGAUUCUAACAGUUGCUUCCAAUCAUGUAGGAGAAAUCAAAUCAGUGUCACAGAAAUCGCUACCAUUGUGGUACCUACAAAAAAAGAAGAGACUCCUUCCCUUAAUAUUGAAAUUUAUCUGAAGCUAUGCAGUAAAUAAAUGCCCCAUUUUGUGCGUCAUAAUGGGGGAUCACAUUCAGAAUCUUCUGCACAUGCAAAUUAAAAUCAAAAUCAAGCCAUUGGCCUAUCACAUUACCAUUUUUGGCCCUUUUUUUUUUGGCGUGCAACCACAGUAUCCAACUUUUAUUGAAAACGCCACAUCAUUAGAAAAUUAAAUUCCCGUAUUUAUAAAGCUUAUGCCAAAUUUUUUGUUUAUUAGAUCUUCGGCCACAUGAAAUUCAGUACCAAUCACAAACAUUCGUUGUCCAACCUUGAUAUUCACUAGGAUAGAGAUAGAGUACCCAUAUAUGAACAGUGCACCAUACCUUCCGUAAGAUGAUUGGAAGAGUGUGGGCUAUGUCAAGCUCCGGACUUAUUGUAUAGGUAACGCAACGCUAACCAUUAUUUCCUUAUAUCAUUUGGUGUUGAGAUAUUAGGAAUGUUUACAUAUUAGGAAAGUUGAGAUAUUAUGAAUAUUGAGAUAUUAGGAAAGUUGAGAUAUUAGGAUAUUAAUUGUUAUUUCCUUAUGUUAUUCUUUCCUUGUAUCAUUCUUUCCCAUUCUUAGAAUGACGAUACCCUUUAUAUAUAUUCUGUACAUGAACGAAUGAAAAGAUGAAUGAAAAAACUAUCAUUUAUCAAUUUGAACAUGGUAUCAGAGCCAUGAAACUGAAAUCCUGGAUAUUUUGUCGCUAUGGUAGUCCGAUAGCGAUCAACCAUCCUAAGACAAGCCCUAAUAUUGAUAAGUCAACCUUUAAAUGCACUCACUGCAAUAAGACUGAUCCCACUAGUCUAGAUAUCCCACAAUUUCAAAGCAACGACUCUUGGUAUGAUCAAGAAAAAAAUGAGGAACCGAGGGUUUGAACCAUGAACCUUUAAAUCAUGUUUAGGUUAUCAACACUUUGUUAUUAAUGAUAAUAAUCGUGAUCAACAGAAGAAGGAUUCCAAGAAAACCUCGACUGCAACUAUUGCCGAAAUAAAAACAGAGGCUAAUGUUGCUGAGAAAGCCUCUGCAUUGGUAGCCGUUACAGAUCAUGGUGGUAAGUUUUUAAAUACUUUUACACCUGUUAUUAAUAGUGCAUGGAUAAUUGAUUCUAGUGCUACAGAUCAUAUGACUUUUGAUUCUAGACAGGUUUCAACCCUUAGACAUUCCUCACAAAAAAUUGUUUCCACAGCCAAUGGUAACACAACCCCAGUCAUUAGGGAAGGAUCCUUAACUCUUACUGAUACUUUGAAUUUGGAUUCUAUUUUAGUUGUUCCAUCUUUAGAUUACAAUCUUUUGUCAGUUUCUCAAAUCACUGCAACUUUAUCUUGUAUUGUCAUUUUUUGGUCUGAAUUUUGUGUGAUUAAGGACAUCCAAACAAGACAGACGAUUGGUUGUGGUAUUAAGUGGGGAAAACUCUAUUACUUGGACUUGCAGUCAAAGGAUUCAAAUAAGUUGCAACAAGCCUUGAUGGCAGAUGAAUCUGAGGGAGAGAAGAAAAAAUCUAAAAUUUGGUUGUGGCAUCGACGUUUGGGACAUGCUUCCUUUGGUUAUUUAAAAAAAUUGUUUCCUAGUUUGUUUGCAAAGAGUGAUAUUUCUGGUUUCCGUUGUGAUAUUUGUGAAUUGGCUAAAAGCCAUCGUGCUUCGUUUCCGUUAAUUUUAAAUAAAAGUCUGUUUCCUUUUAUGGUUAUACAUUUUGAUGUUUGGGGCCCAUCCAAAGUCCCAACUUUAAGUGGCUCACGUUGGUUUGUUACUUUUAUUGAUGAUUGUACCAGAAUGACAUGAUUAUGCUUGAUGAAGACCAAAGAUGAAGUGAACUUGUCGUUUCAAAAUUUUCAUAAAGUGAUUGAAACUCAGUACAAUGCAAAGGUUCGGGUUCUACGUAGUGAUAAUGGUGGAGAAUAUCAAAGUUCUGAUCUUCAAAAGUAUUUGGAAGGACAUGACAUCAUUCAUCAAACUACUUGUUCCAAUACACCCCAGCAAAAUGGAGUCACUGAACGAAAAAAUCGGCACUUGUUAGAGGUUGUUCGUGCUUCCUUGAUAGCAGCAAAAACACCGAUAUCUUAUUGGGGAGAAGUAAUCACAUCUGCCGCAUACUUGAUCAAUCGGGUACCUUCUAACUCAAUUAACUUUCAAACACCACUCCAAGCUCUUACUAAUGUCGUAGUUGCCCCAACCGUCCCAAAUCUACCUCCUCGUGUUUUUUGUUGUGUGGCAUUUGUGCAUCUACACAAGCACCAACGCACCAAGUUAACUUCUCAUGCAUUACAAUGUGUGUUUGUUGGAUAUGCAUUGCAGAAAAAAAAAGGGAUAUCGAUGUUACCAUCCNNNNNNNNNNNNNNNNNNNNNNNNNNNNNNNNNNNNNNNNNNNNNNNNNNNNNNNNNNNNNNNNNNNNNNNNNNNNNNNNNNNNNNNNNNNNNNNNNNNNAACUCAAUACAAUGCAAAGGUUCGGGUUCUGCGUAGUGAUAAUGGUGGAGAAUAUCAAAGUUAUGAUCUUCAAAAGUAUUUGGAAGGACAUGGCAUCAUUCAUCAAACUACUUGUUCCAAUACACCCCAGCAAAAUGGAGUCGCUGAACGAAAAAAUCGGCACUUGUUAGAGGUUGUUCGUGCUUCCUUGAUAGCAGCAAAAACACCGAUAUCUUAUUGGGGAGAAGCAAUCACAUCUGCCGCAUACUUGAUCAAUCGGGUACCUUCUAGCUCAAUUAACUUUCAAACACCACUCCAAGCUCUUAUUAAUGUCGUAGUUGCCCCAACCGUCCCAAAUCUACCUCCUCGUGUUUUUGGUUGUGUGGCAUUUGUGCAUCUACACAAGCACCAACGCACCAAGUUAACUUCUCAUGCAUUACAAUGUGUGUUUGUUGGAUAUGCAUUGCAGAAAAAAAAAGGGAUAUCGAUGUUACCAUCCUCCAACUCGACAAAUGUAUAUUACAAUGUAUGUGGUGUUUCAUGAAGAUUCGAUGUAUUUUUCAUCUGAGUCUGAACUUCAGGGGGAGUACCAUAAGGAAAUUCAGACUCUCGAUUAUGAUCAUCAUAUAUCUGAGGAAGAUGAAUCUGGACAAUCUGAACUAGUGAACCAGGAAGUGGGUGAGUUGGAUAUGAGUGGUCAACAAUUUGGGUCCGAAGAUGUCUUCACUGAAAUACCAAACCAAUCGUCGUCUGUUGAGGGUGUUCUUAAUUUGGAACCUGAUUCAUUCAUGAAACGGUUACCACACCGUCAUAAUAGAGGUAUUCCUAAACCCACAUAUGAACCUGAAUUGUCUACCAAAGUCAAAUAUCCCAUGAGCAACUAUGUGUCUAACCAUCGUUUGUCUGAAUCAAACAAGUCAUUUGUAAAUCAAUUAUCUACUGUAGCUAUUCCUAACAGUGUGCAGAAAGCCUUAGCUGAUCCAAGGUGGAAAGCAGCCAUGAAUGAAGAGAUGAAAUCAUUGCAGAAGAAUGAAACAUGGGAACUCGUAGAAUGUCCACCAAGAAAGAAGCCAGUUGGGUGUCGUUGGAUCUAUACUGUGAAGUAUAAGGCAGAUGGUAGUAUUGAACGAUUUAAAGCAAGACUGGUAGCAAAAGGGUACACUCAAACUUAUGGAAUUGACUACACAGAGACAUUUGCACCUGUAGCUAAGAUCAACACAGUUCGAGUAUUACUGUCUUUAGCUGCAAACCUAGAUUGGCCAUUACAACAAUUUGAUGUGAAAAAUGUCUUUCUGCAUGGCGAGUUAUCUGAAGAAGUAUAUAUGGAUCUUCCACCAGGAUGCAUGGUGUUAGAAAAGCAAUGUUAGAAGGUGUGCAGAUUGAAGAAGUCAUUGUAUGGGUUGAAGCAAUCCCCGAGAGUAUGGUUUGGAAGGUUCACAAAGUCAAUGAGAGCUUUUGGCUAUCGUCAAAGUAAUUCAGAUCACACUUUGUUCCUGAAAAAGUAACAAGGUAAGAUUACGACACUCAUCGUAUAUGUGGAUGACAUGGUAGUUACAGAAAAUGAUCCUGAAGAAAGAAAAGCUCUGCAAAAUUAUCUAUUUAGAGAAUUCGAAAUGAAAAAUCUAGGUCCUCUAAAAUACUUUCUUGGGAUUGAAGUUUCUCGAUCAAGUGAAGGAAUUUUUCUGUCUCAAAGAAAGUAUACCUUAGAUCUUUUACAGGAGACUGGAAUAUCGGGAUGUCAACCUGUUAAUAAACCAAUAGAAGAAGGUCUGAAAUUGUGUGUUGAGCCUAAUCAAGUAUCAACCGAUAAGGGAAGAUACCAGAGACUUGUGGGGAGAUUAAUGUACUUAGCUCAUACAAGACCAGAUCUUGCUUAUGCAUUGAGUGUAGUGAGUCAAUACAUGCAUAAUCCUGGAGAGCAACAUAUGAAUGCAGUCAUGCGUAUUUUGAGGUAUUUGAAGAAUGCUCCUGGGAAGGGAAUUUUGUUCGCUAAAAAUGUUGAUCAUCAAAGUAUAGAAGUAUAUACUGAUGCUGAUUGGGCCGGUGUAGUGGAUGAUAGGCGAUCUACAUCUGGUUACUUUACCUUUGUAGGUGGUAAUCUUAUAACAUGGAAAAGUAAGAAGCAAAAUGUCGUCGCUCGUUCAAGUGCAGAAGCGGAAUUCAGAAGUAUGACUCUAAGACUUUGUGAGGCAUUAUGGUUAAGACUCCUCUUACAGGAUUUAGGUUACCUAUCUAGGCAACCAAUCCGAUUAUUUUGUGACAAUAAAGCCGUGUGUGACAUUGCCCAUAAUUCAGUACAACAUGAUCGUACAAAGCAUGUCGAGGUGGAUAGAUUCUUCAUUAAGGAAAAGUUGGAUGAUAAGAUUGUGGAAUUGCCUAAUAUUCGAUCAGAAGAUCAAUUGGCCGAUAUCCUUACCAAAGCUGUCUCAAGUCAAGUGUUCUCAAAAUUUUUAGACAAGUUGGGCAUGUGUGACAUCUAUGCACCAACUUGAGGAGGAGUGUUAAGAUAUUAGGAAUGCUUUCCUUAUAUCAUUAUUUCCUUAUAUCAUUUAGUGUUGAGAUAUUAGGAAUGUUUAGAUAUUACGAAAGUUGAGAUAUUAGGAUAUUAAUUGUUAUUUCCUUAUGUCAUUCUUUCCUUGUAUCAUUCUUUCCCAUUCUUAGAAUGACGAUACCCUCUAUAUAUAUUCUGUACAUGAACGAAUGAAAAGAUGAAUGAAAAAACUAUCAUUUAUCAAUUUGAACAAAGAAAGAAAAGUUCACUCCUCUUUUUCUCGAGUUUUUCAUUUGGAGAGAGAGCAAUUUAUCAGCGUCACAUUUUGCGUCCUGUCUUGGCACAUCACUUUCAGAAUCUGAUUUUCUCCGCCAUGAAAGUAAAGUCAUUGGGUAUCACAUUCUUGUUUUAGGUCUCCCUGAGUGGGUCUAUAUAAAAAUUUGCCCGUCGAAGAUUUUAUUUGUUACGCUAGUCUUACUUUUUUUAACCUCCCUGAAAUCAAAUGGGAAAAUGUCACAUCAUUAAUAAUGGAGAGACUUUUGUUGGUUGGACUUGGGCUUUUUUAUGACUCACCAACUAUCACAAUUAUAGGAGAAAUUUGAACUGACCAUAGUGAUCUUGGUCUACCAAAGAAGGGAGAUCAAUCAAUGUCUAACAUGAUUCAAUUGCUUUACAUUCUACUUGCUUCCCAUGUGUUUAUAUUUUGAAUAUAUUUUUUUUAUCUUCAUUUCAUCUUUUUAUAUUUUGAUUUAAUUUAUUUAUUAUGGAUCAAAAUAAAAUUACAAGUUUUGAAGUGAACAAUAGGAAAUGUUAUUAGUAAACGACAUCUGAUUUUAGGUUAGAAUUCUGUGAUAAUAUCUUAAAUUUAUCUGAUAUUGAUUAUUAUAUACGAUCAUCAAUCCAGGUUUGGGUUCUUAUAGAAAGUCUUAAAGGAUUGGUUAUGAAAAGUUCUUCAAUUAUAAUAAAAAAUAAAAAAAAUUAAAUUGCAAGGUUAAUACAUAUAUACCUGAAAAUUUCUUAUUAUUUCUGUAAGGUUACCAUGCUCUCGUAUCCCACCCUUCCCUUCGGUCUAUAUAGGGCUAAGGGUAGUCAUGUGUUUUCUUCAAGCCUUCAUGUUCUUGGCAGUUAGUGCUUUCAAACAAAACAAAAAUAAUGGCUCAACUUGCGAAGAUGGUGGUCCAAGUGGAGAUCAAGUCCCAUGCAAGUAAGUUCCACGGUAUCAAUGGUGGGCUACGGGGAUUGGAUCAAAUAAAAUUUGGAAACCCCAAACUCCAACACAUUUUAUGUCUUUUCUUAUCCAUUUAGAUUUGUGAUAAUCUCCUCUACUAGCAAAAUAAAGUUAUAACCGGGGAUUUUCUUUGUUUAGGCUGUCAUACUUUCACUUCUUUGCUAAUAGCCUAAUAUCAAAUGAGAAAAUGGAGAACAAAUUCUCAAGGAUUUAGUUGUCUGCCACUAGACUAUAAAAAAUGAAAGGGUAAUGAAAUAUCGUAACAGCCUUUACCGUAUUGAAGAACGUGGACUGAUUGCUAGGGUACCCAACACCCACCAUAAUUCCCACACCAACUCCCAACCAACCCGAUCACGUAGGGCCUCACAUGGCCUCAUUAUUAUUUCUGUUGAAAGAUAAUACUAAACUAUAUACGAGAUGGCCAUUCUACCAGCCAACCUGUAAUGAUUUUGAUAAAAUUAUACCAAAAAUAGAAGGAGAAAUUAAGUUAUCAUUUUAUAACGGUUUUUUCGAAAACGGUUUUUAAAAAUUAUUUUUAACAUUUUAUAGAAUAAAAUUUUAUUUGAAAAUAUGAAAUAUUUUAAUCUAUUUUAAAUAUGUUUUAAAAAUGAUUUUUAUAUGUAAAGUUUUAUUUUUAAUUAUUAAACAUAUUUAUAUAAUUAUUUUUUAAAACAAUUCUAAAAAAAUAAGUGAAAACAACUAAGAAAUACUUUUUGAGAUAAAAUCAAAAAAUAGUUUUUAAUUGUCAUAUGUAUUCUUUGUUUUCUAAUUUAUGUUUUUAUAAGUUGUUUUUUGUUUUCUAAUCUUAAGAUUAAAUUACGAUAUGUUAAUUUUCACAUAACAUCUUUUAAUUGUUUUUUUGUUAUUUUUACUUUUUUUUAAUGUUGUUUUAAGAAAUAAUUAUAUAAACAUGUAAAAUAAUUAAAAAAUAUUAAACAUAAAAAUUAUUUUUAAAACAUAUUUUAAAAUAUUAAAAACAAGUUUAAAAUAUUUAAGUUUUCAAAUAAAUUUUUAUUUUACAAGAUCAAAAAAAAAAAUUCAAAAACUAUUCUAAAAAAUUAUUUUUAAAAAUUAUUUUAAAAAAACAAUUACCAAACCGACCAUUUGUUUACUAUUCUCAAAAAAUGUUUUUCUAAUUACCAAAUGUGGUGUCUAUUUAAAUUUAAGAUUUGAAAUUUGAAAUUUAAUUAUUUCCAAGUUAUGAUCUCUUGAUAUGAUUUCAACCCAUUAUUUAUUUAUUUGUUUGUUUUUCACAUAAAUAAACUAAAAUUCAAUUGUAUAACCCAGGAUGAAUCACGUGGGCUCUUAGUGAGGCUGGCUACAACUAAAUCAACAUUCUUUUGAUAAUUAAUUGCCUAUUAAAGAAAUCAUCAUGUCUACACAAUAGAAAAAAUUAAUAAGAAAAUAAGAAGAUUACAAAGAAAAGCAUCUUAGUAAAAGUUUUUUUCUUUUUAACUUCUUGGUGGUGACACUCCAUAAAAUGUGAUCAAGUAGGAUUUGCAUCAUGCAACCUCAUGCAAAUAAUAAAAGGCAUAAAUUACUUGAAAGUGAUUGGAAUUUGGAAGACUCUAGCUAGCUGGGAUGCCAUAAAUGGCAUGGACCAGUGGCCGACACCCACCAAACCCAGCACUUAAUAAUAUAAUUAAUUUACUAUUAUUAUAGAACCAUCGUUUUCAGGAUAGGCAGCAUCAAAUUAACCUCCCCAAGUCAAACUGCACAUUUUGUUUCAUCCAAAUCGAAUAUCUAAUAAUGAAUUAUUAGGGGUGAGAUUGCAAUCCUUUGCCUACCUCUUUGAAAAUCUAUGAUGAUGCUUAGUAUUAAUAUUUUAUUUUUAUUUUUAAUAUGAAAAUAAAAAUAUCAAAAUAAUUUUAAACCUUCUUCGUGGAGAUAAUGCUCCCCUGUUAAGCUGCUUAUAAGGUAUAAAUUAAUAAACUUUUAAUUUUAAUAAAAACAAUUUGAUACAUGUCACAUCUUAGUUCAUUUAAGUAAUAACUAUUUAAGAUUGGAUUUAGGUUAAUUUAGAUUAAUUAGAUUACAUUUACAUAUAGAUGGGCCACGAGAUAAAGGUUGGUGGAGCCUUAACCAAGGCGAUUGUGAUUGGAUAUUGCAUUUUACUUUUACAUUUUUAAGGGGAUAUUUUUUUCAAAGGUUUAAAACUUAAAUAUUUUUUUACAAGAAAAACUAAAGUAUAAAAACAGUAUAUUCCAAAUCUCCAACAUAUAAAAAUGCAAAUAACAAGAUUAAUGUACAAUUAAAAUAAUAGAAUCAGAUAUGGAAAGCAAGAUUAACACACAAAUAAAUGGAACUAAAUGAAAAAAUAAUAAAACUUAAAUAUACAUGUGACAUGAUAUGUUUAAUCAUAUUUUUUGAUAAAUAUCUCUUUAGUACUCCCCAAAUUAUAAUGUCAAAUCUCUUAUUUUUUUAUCAUUGAAUUAUAAACAUUAAAUUUCUUAUUUUUCUAUCGUUGAAUCAUUUGAUACUUCUACAAAAGGAAAUGUUAAUGAAAGGAUCAAAUAAAUGGCUAACUUUUGUUAACAAAGUUUUUCUUAAUGUUAAAAAAAAAAUAUGAAAAAACAUUUAUCAAACUCAAAUUUUAACUGAUGUUACUUUGUCUUUCCCUGUCAUGUCUCUUUCUAAUUUUCCUUUUCAAGUGAUUUGAUUAUUAGAACAAUACUAUACCAUGUUGCCCAGUGAUUUCUAUUUCCAUCUUCCUCUUCAAUUAAUGUGUUUGUUGGAAUAACAUAUCCUGGUGGACGAAACACACCUACCUCCACUACUUUCCAUUUCACAUGCCUUUCCCAUAGCUUGACUGGUAGCUAGAGAUGAUCAUUUAUAGAAGAUCAAUAACUUCAAUAAAUUCUGUCUAUUUGCAAAUCUUUUGAGAGGGAUUUCAAAUCAACUUGUCUUUAUCCUCUACUAACUCUUAUCAUCUCAAAUGACUGUAUUAUUAUCAACAACUUUGGCACAACUAUCCUAUUUUUAAUAUGAAUUCUUCUUAGUUCUCAAAUCAUUGUUCAGGUAGCUUUAUUAUCUUAAAAGUAUCUUUCUUUGUCGUUGGUCCCUGCAUGGUUAUUAAAUAACAAUACUGUAAUUAUCUUAUAAACUAAUCUGAAGACUUUUCACAAAUUCAUACAAUAACAAUUAUCAUAAAUAUGUCACAAAGAAGAUGCCAAGUUGGAAGCAAAUCAUGAUUCAUUAUUUUUUCCCUUAUUGAAGCCCAAUGACCCAAUCCCAAUGCAUUAACGUGAAAGUAGUGUUUUAUGCUAUUUUCAAUUAAUCAACAUGUCCAUGAAAAGCAAUUAUUUAUACUUCUUUUCAAUGAACCUUAUCAAUUCAAUCAUCAAAACUACACGUAGACUUACAUGAAUAAAUAAAGAAUUUUUAUAUUUAUAGAUUUGCAUUAUCUCACUUUGUAUUAUUUAUAUGGUUUUUUUUUCUAUGCUUCUAUAACAUUUCUUUAGAAAAAAUAUUGUAUUAAUAAAUACAAUAAUUUUCAUCAAUUUCAAUCUUAUAAUUAAAUGAUACUUCUGUGAUGUAUAUUAAUAUCACCACAUGUGUCACACUUCAUUCAAUAUCAGGUUGAUUAGUCAUAUAUACCUACUCCAUUAUUAUUAUAUUAAGUUUUUUUAUUAUUAAAACAAUAAAUAAAUAAUAUAAUUUUUUUCAUUAGAGGUAGCUAGGUAUCAUUAAAUGAUUUGUUGUCCUAACAUGUCCCCAAUUAAUAAUUUUAUACUUUUCAUUUUUUUCAAAGGAUUUAAAAUAUAAAAUUCUAAAGAUAAAAAAUUUGAAGUACCGCUUCCACACCCAAUCAAAUUUUAAAUCUAAAUUAUUGACAUGUGAGUGAAAUUUGGACUAUUAAAUAAAAAAUGAAAAAAGAUGAAUAAAUAAAUAAAAAAGUUCGUGCAAAGAGAUGUGACUAAGGUUAAGAAAGGAGGGGGUAAGGAGUGGUUAGGAAUAUGUAAACAAGAUUUGGAUCAAAAAUGAAAUGAUAACUUUUCAAUAACAUUGGAUGAAUCAGUUCUAAAAUUCAAAACAAAAACUAUAACGAAAGAAAAUUUUGAGAAAAUAUAGCAUGAUCUUCUCUUUAAUGAUUGAUGAAUGUUUACAUAUAAAUAAAUAAAGUUUAUCUUCUAUUUUAAUUCAGAUUAUUCAGGUCUAUCUUCUACUCAAAUUUAAACUCCACCUUCUAUUCUAAUUUAAUCUAAUAAUUAAUAAUUGUUUUCUAUUCUAAGUUAAAUUAAUAAUAGAUAAAUAUGAUAUUAUCUUUCUCUAACAUGCCCCAUCAAGAUGGAAAACUCCAAUCUUGGUCCUAAGAGAAAGAAAGCAAUUACAAUGUAAUGGCUUUGCUAGAGCAUCGAUCUAUUAAUUGAUCUUUUGAUAGCACCUAAGCAACAUGAAGAGCACCAUUUUGAACUUGAUCAUGAUUGAAUUGAAUAUCAAUGACCACAUGCUUACCCAUGAGCAAUGCAAAUAUGAGGAGAAUGUUGGUCAAAAUACCAAAGCAGAUAAAUUAACAAGGAAGGGUAUUUAGAGUAGAAUGAGGAUUAUAGAUUACCACUAUCAAUUUAAAGGCAAAAUUUUAAAGAAUGUUACAAGGACAAUUAACGGUUAUUGUUCAGAAUGUUAUCAAGUUAAGGCACAAAUUUUAAAAAUAAAAAUUUUAAAGAAAUAAUAAUUGUUGCUAAAGUCAGGAUGCUAAGAUAGAUGAAUGUCACUAAAAGGGAAGAUAGAAUAAGCAAAAAUGCUUCAAAAAAUAAUGAAGGUGACAACAAUUCAAGAUACAAUAAGAGAAAGUUGUUUAAUUUAAGAUGAUCAUGUAAUAUAGAGUGAAGACCUACAACUAAGCUAGUAUAAUGAAGAGACUUAACUUAAGCUGAAGGUGAAAAAAAAAAAAAAGACAUGAAAUAGAUGGUGUAGGGUUUUUAUCUUUAGGGUUACGACAGAAACAAGGAUAAAGUUUAUAAUAGUGGGAAAAAAAUAAAAAAUAAAUAAAUAAAGAGGAGAAGAAAAUGGAGAGAAACCUAACAGUCUCACUAAAGUUUUCUCAAGUAGCAUUACAUCGUUUCUUCAACCAAAAAAAAAAAUUGAAAAAAGGGUUAAAGAGUGGAUAAGUUAAUCAAACUAUUUUUCAAGUAGCUCUUUAUGAAUGACUAAGUUUGGUAAGGUCAUACCAUUGGCAAUAAUAGUGGCAGGUGGGCAAGGUUUGGUGCUAACAAUAUGGUUAAGUGGAUCAUAGAUGAGAUAUUAAAAUUGUAGUUUCCAUAUGAUUAACAUCCCACACAAUCAAGUUUAGAUGAAGUUCAAGUGUCCAAGAAAAAAUUAUGGCACAAAGGAACUAGAAUUUAGAAUCAUGAUUGUGACAUCUAUAAGAACAAUCAAAGGUGAAUAGGAAUUGUCAAUUGUAAUCCAACCUGAUUACUUAAUUGUUCUUCAAUUUGGCAAAGAUGAUCAUAACUUUGUAGUGUAAGAUGUUCAAUUGUUGCCCCAACAUGCAAAACCAUCAAUUGUUCUUUAGGGUUCGUUAAUUGUAAUUGUGAUCAUCAUUUACUCAAUUCAACUUCUCUUCUCCUCUCUUAAACACUUAUAAAAGGGCAAUUCAUUGUUAUACUCAAAAUGAGUGAUCCUCCUUUGAGUGUGUAAUUGUUAGCUUUUCUAUUUAAUCAUUUUCCCAUGUCCUCAUUCAGUGCUAGAUUUCAAGCAUAAAUCAAUUUUGGUUUCUUCUUUCAACUCUUCUUUCUUUUUUUUAUUUUACUACAUAUAUAGAUGUUUCUUUAAAAAAAAAAAAUUACUUAUCUAAUGAGAACUUAACAAGAAUUCAAAUUAAAAGUAAUGAUUUGUACUUAAUUACACAUUCAAAAUCAUAUUUUAAAUCAUUCUUUUAUACCAAAAUUGAGUACAAAUCAAUUGCAAUAAGAAGUAACAUAAAGUUGGACUCUUAUAAAAGGAAAAUCCAUCUACCAACAUGAAUGGGGAAUCAACCAACACCGAUGGUUAUAAGCCAGGGAAGGAUAGUAUUUUUAUGGGAAUCAAUAAAAACUAUUUCAUCCGAUAUUAAGCAGAUUCUCAAUUGUUCAUUGAUAGUUUUAAAAUGUUUUCAUAUUCAUUCCGUAUUAUCCCUAAGUUCUUACAAUUAAAUCUUUGUUCCUAAAUAGUGAAGGAAACUGGGUAACACCUUUACAUUUAGAAUUGCAUGUAGGUUAGAAUCAUACACAUUGACUUAACUUUUUUAUUUUGAAUUAUUUUUAAAAGCUAAUAAUUUUUUUAUUAAAUAAAUGAGGUAUUUUAAUCCAUUAAAGGUCAUAUACUUACAAUUUCAAACAUUAAUUUUUUUUAUUAAUUUAAAAAUAAUAUUUUAAUAUAAGGGUUAAUUUUAUUUGUCUUCUUUAAAGUUUUACUUAAAUAUAUUAAAUUCUUAUAGGUUUUGAAUUUCACCAUAAAUUUUUUGAGUAAAAAAAGAGAUGAAUGAAAGUAAAAAUAAGAAAAAUGAUGAAAGUAUUUGAUAAAAUUUUAAAUAUAUAAAGAUCAAAUAUAUUCAAUAGUAGAAUGAAAUUAACCGUAUGUAUAUUUUUGGACGAAAAAGAACGUGCCGUAAACGGAAUGAGUCGAACGACUGAAUUAUCAAUUAUUGAAGAACACCGUACGUCAUCCUGGUUAUCACUUACCACCUUUUUAAUGGUAAUAAAUGCUUAUGGAGAUGGGACGUGGACACAGCUUGAUCCUCACACGUGGCAUGCUGUGAAUGGAGACUUGAGAACCUGAUGCGCGCGUAUAGGGGGCCCAUGCGGCAUGCCCACACCCGCCCCUUGCAUUUAAGGGUGCAAGGCGGAGUGUAUUUUUUCUCACAACGCUGCCUUGAGCUCUUCGUCCAUAUUUCCUUGUUUCUAUCUCAGUCUGGUUCCUGAGAAUUCUUAGUAGUAGUAGCAAAGGAGAAAACAUGGGUCUGAUCGGUAAGCUUCAGGCUGAAACUCUCAUCAUGGCUUCUGCUGAUAAGUUCCAUGAAAUUUUCUGGUGCAGACCACACCACAUCUCUAAUGUCUGUCCUGCAAAGAUUCAGAAAGUUCAUCUGCAUGAGGGUGAAUGGGGCACUUCCGGCUCUGUCAUUCAGUGGCACUAUAAUAUCGGUAAGCCGGCCAAUUCCCAACCCACACCCACCUCUAUAUUCACUGUACUUAACCUUCAACUCUAUAUGUUAAGUUCAUAGUAUAUCUACCUCAAACAUCUAUAUUCUUUUAGAACUUCAUAUUUUAAUCUAUUUUAAUUUUAUUAAAUAAAAAAGGAAAGUGUAAUAUUAUUAAAUAUUUGUAGAUUAAUUAUUACCGCUUUGCCCAUUGAUCAGUACCAUGGGUUGCCUUCGUUUACUAUCUUUUUUUUUUUUUUUUCCUUGAUUAGCUUUUCUACAAAGAUUUUGUCCAUCACUUUAUCAUCAUUGAAUUGUUAAAUAGAUUGGGUUUUUUUUUUUUUGGAAUAGUUUUUUGUUAUUAAAGAAAAUAGUUUUGUAAGGUUAAAAACUUGAUUGACAAAUUUUGUUUAAAAAAUAGUAUUUUGAAAAUUUGUUCUAAAAGCACGAAUAAAUUUAAAGAUUUUUUCACAGAUUUUCUAUAAAGUUUUCUGAAAAUUAAUUUCACGAGUUUAAAGUGUUUUCAUAAACAUAAUAAAAUAAAAUAAAAUAAAAAAUAGAUCAAGAGAACCGCUAUUCAUAUUUGAGUUUGUCAAAAAAGAAAAAUCUCAAAAAGAAUUAAGAUAUACUUUGGAAAUCUAUUCUCAAUUUUUUUUUUAAAUAUUACCAAAUAAGCCCUUAGUAAAAUUAAAUUUGAAGUUUUUAGUUCAACAUCGAUCAAAUUCAUAAAUAUUUACUCUAUUAUUAUUUUUUUAUUGAUGUAAAAUGAUGAGAGAGUAUCCUCUUUUUUCAACUCUAAUUUAUUAAUAUAGUGUAUGAGUUCUCUUAGUUUGAUAAUAUAUUGAAAAACAUAAUUCAUUACCAAAUGAUUUUUUUUUCCAAAUCUAUUAAUUUUAAUGAAGUCCUUUUUUUUUUUUUGCAUGGAAUCAAAGAUGGGAAUGAUCAUGUAGCCAAAGAGAUUGUAGAAGCCAUAGACGAGGAAAACAAAUCUGUCACUUUUAAAGUCAUUGAAGGAGAUCUCAUGAAGGAAUACAAAAGCUUCAGGAUCAUUGUUCAAGCAAUUCCAAAGGGUGAUGCCACUUACGUGCAUUGGACUUUAGAGUAUGAGAAAUUAAAUAAAGAUGUCCUUGCUCCAAUUAAAAUACUUGGAUUUGUAGUUCAUGUUAGCGAGGACAUCGAUGACCAUCUUGUCCAAGCAUAGACAUCAGAGGCAUAUGAUAUGGUAAUGUUGUGUACGAGUAUGAGACAAGUUUGAAAGUUUUAAUUGCCUCUUGUCCUAUGACUAAUGUCAUAUAUGAUGCAUAAUAUAUGGGAACAUUGAGCCAUAUAAGGCUCAAGUAUGCUUUGGUGAGUAGUUGGAUUGUGGGAGGGUUUCUAAGCAAACCUUUGUAUUAGGUGUUUCUCUUAUUGUACCCAAAAUAAGGCAACAAUUUAUAUGGCUCUAUAUAUAAAGAUCCAUAUUAUGUGAUUGGAAGUUGUCAAUUUGUAUGUUGUUGAAUGGUAAGUGAAUAUUUGACUUAGUUUGUUAUUUGAUUAUUCGUCCAUACAUAUUUAUUUUCUUAUAACAUGCAUGCUUAUCUUAUGAUCAAGUAAUUUAUUGAAAUCAUCUCCUCUUUAAUUUAUAAAGUCUCUUAUUAUAAUUUAUUGAUGUCAGAAAAGAUGUCACUCUCAAUACUUUAAAUUUUAAUGAUGAUUAGGAUGGGUGCACAAUGGUUUUGAAACCUUAGCCUCAUGCAGCCACAUGUAAAAUAUCAAAACAAAAGUAAUUACACUUUCUAUAAUUAUUUGGUUAUAUAUUCCUUAAUUAAAGAAUGUUCUAAUUAUUCAGUCAUGUUUUAAAUAAUUUAUAUUUGGUUAUUAUAAUUUCUUGUUCUCAAUAUUCCCACGUCUUACGAAAUUAAGAAGCAUACUAUAAAUUUCUCCUAGUAUAGUUUCAAUGUCCUAAAGAAGGGUUCAUGGCACUUUUGGCCUUAACAGUUAUUUUGAAUCCUUCAAUAAUGGAACAAGUAAUGUAAUGUCCAAUAAGAUUAAAUGAUAAAAUAAAUAAAUAAAUAAAAUGUAUAUUUUAAGAGAAAAUGUCAACCAUGCUGUCGUCUUGUGUUUGAAAUGGUAGCUACCCUAUUUUUAAUAUGGGGCGGUGAUGGAUGGAGAAAGGUCAUGAUCGGGGGUGAGGUUAGAUGGAUCUAUUAUAACAUGGAAGAACUCCACGUGGCAAUGGUGAUGUGUGUUAUUUGGGUUCCACAUCAGCAGCAAUGUACUGGCAGGAUGAGACAUCCACACUGGACCGACAUAAUGCGGUGUCUAUGUUUCAUAAGGUCUGACUAGGGCAAUUUUGCUUGUAGUUGAGGAAAAUCAAACAAACCAACAAGUAAACUUAAGAUAAUACAGAAGCCACACCCACAAGGUGCCUUGAUCAUCGCUCAUGCAAUAAAAAAGUUCUUACAAAAAAGUGUAAAUCAUAUCUUUCCUAACUUAAACUGAUUUAAUAAUUUAAUUUAAAUUAUUAAAUAAAUUAAAUAUAUUUAAUGAAAUAACUUUAUAGUAUAUAUUAAAGUAAAAAUUAAUUUUAAAUAAUAAAUAAAAAUAAUUAAUUUAUUCUUAACUCUAAAUCUUUAUUUUAUUUUUUUUUAUCAUUAUUUACCUUAAUUUGUAUCAAUAAUAAAAAUAUACAUUUCACAAUGAGUUUUUCUUUAGUGUGAUUCCAUACACAACCACACCCAAAGUGUUACGAUGGAUCUCCCAAUGAAAAGAGUAUUAGGUCCCAUUGGCUCUAACAAGAUUAGUUUUUGAUUUGAUUAAUUGUUGAGUAAAUUUUAGACAAAAAAUAUUUUUUUCAAAAAAAAAUAAAAUUCUGAUUUGAUUCAGUUGUUGACUAAAUUUAGAAGAAAAAUUUUACAUUUAGAAAUGCAUCACCAAGGAAAAUUAAAUCUUUGCUUCAGGUUGGAAAUUUAAUAUUAUCAUACAUUUUAUUUUUUAUUUUAGCAUUUUAUUACCUUAAAAUAUUUUGAAUUAGCACAAACUAAAAGAACAAUUCUUCAGGCUAUAUUUAUGAAAAAUUAGUAAAUAAUCAUGUAACUUGUUAUUGUUUUUUAUUUUAAUAAUAAAUAUAUAGUUUUUAAAUAUUGAAGCUUAACACAAAUUUUUCCGAAAAAAAAAAAAUUUCAAAAUAUUUGUAAUAUAAUAAGAUUAAGAUUUUGUUAUACUUGAUAUUAUAAGUAACUUUUUAUUUCUCUAGUCACUAUUUAGGGAUGAAAUGAUUGUUAGCAUGUACACAAACAAAUUUCUACAUGUAAAAUCAUUUUUUCUCCCAUCAUUUGAGGUUUUCAUUGUGCACUUUUUUUUCAAGAUCAAAUAAUUUUGUUUCCCGUUAUAAUUCUUUAAUCUCUAAAAUGUUUUACAAUGAAAUAAUUUCAUUACUCAUUAUUAGCUUAUUUGCAAUAAAUCUAGGAUGUUGAAAGGUAAUUUAGAGAAGGCUCAACACCAUAUAAAGCAAUAAGUUACAUCGUUCUUAGAGAUCCUUUGAGGUGGGAAAUAUAUUGUAUUUUUGUCAUCAACCAUAUUGACAAUCUUUUAUUACACUCCACAAAAACAAGAAGUUUUUUCCUUAAUUUUAUAAUCAUUUUCAAGUUCUCGUUGGAUUCAUUGCUUAUCAUUUGACAUUACCUUCUACAAAAUUCACCUUAUUUUUUAUGUUUUUUGCCUAAAAAAGAAGAUUGAUCAAAAAUUAGUUGUAGAACCCCAAUUGCUAGUAGUUAAUGACGAUGGACAAGUCUUAUUUGAACCAUUUGCAAUUCUAGAUCAUUUUAUUGUUAAACAUGACAACUACCCCAAGACUCAAGUCUUGGUUCACUAGUCCAAUUCUUUUAUAAGGGAUGCCAUAUGGGAAGAUUGGGAAUCACUCAAUUGCCACUUUCCUCACUUCAAACUUUGAGGAUAAGGUUAUUUUAAGGGGAGGAGAAUGUUAUAUACAUUUCAAAGUAAAUUAAAGAAAAAAUUUGAUAAUCUGUUGACCAUUCUCAUUUUAAGAUAUUUCAUUUAUAAAGAUAAAUAAGGUCAGGAUUACUGAGAUCAUGGGCAUGAAAUGCUUUAUUUUUUCUUAUAUGAAGGGAAAAUCAUCUAACUAAUGUAUUUUCUUUUUUAGAAUUUUUAGAAAUAAAGUUCUAUCAACUUGUUUUCUUCUUCUAGGGCUGUAUUGGGGUGAAAGAGAGAGAGAGAAAGAGGGUCAAGCAGAUGGUUUAUGAUAGCAAUGACAAUGGUUGAUGGCUAUGGGAAGGGAGUAGCUAGUGGUGAGAGGAGAAAAAAGAAAUGAAACAAAAAAAAAGAGAGAAAAAAAGGUAGAGGAAGAAGAAAAAGAAAAAGGAAAUAAAGAGGAAAAGGGGUGGGUUUGGUGGUGAGGGUGCGUAUGGAGAAGAAAAAACAAGAAAAGAAACUAAAUAAAUAUCAAUAAAAUAAAAGGGCUAGGAUUCAAAGUGUAUGAGUAGGCCAAAAUUUAUAUGCAAUAGAAGUUGAAAUUCACGGAUAAAUUGGGCCGAAAAUCAAUAUAAAAAUAGGCUUUCGACCAAAUUAGGGGGUAAUGCACUUUGUUUUUGUUCUGGUACUCUAUAAUUUAAGUAAUAGAUUCAUGUUUAGCAACGCCCAAGGUCCCUGCUCAUUUGGGCUUCAGCUUGCCCUAUUGGGCCAUAGCCCAAGUUGACCCUGUAAGUACUUCGGUCCAAACUAUGAGUUAGGCUACCUACAAGUCUAGCCCCAGGUCCCUGCCCCAUUUAGGCUUCAACUUUAUACUCUUUCAACAUGCUAUGUCUAUUUGGGUUUCAGACAUUAGUCAAAUCCUCCUCCUACUUCCAUAGGUCUAACUCUUCCCAAGAUUUGUUUGCUGUCAUUUCUCACUCUUCCUAAGUCUGUUGUUUCUUCGUCUUAUAUUUCAGUUGUCGUUUUUGCUAACUUCUUAAGAUUGCAAAGUUUGAAUGUUAUUUAGCGAUAGAUACUGGUAUUUAUCAAUUUCUCCUUCUCGCUUAAGCAAAUCUUCAGGUUUUUUUUUUUUUUUGGCUGUAAAGUCUUGAUUUUCUUUGUGGCCUUGUAAAUGUCCCAAUUUUGAUUAGAAGUUAGAUUUUUUUUUUUUUUUGAUGGAGGAUUUCAUUAUUGGUUAGAUUUGUUAAUUCAACUAAAUUGGGAUUUUUCCUUUGGAUUGCUAGAGAUAAAAUUGAUUCUAUUAGUUUUGGUUGCAUCCUCAAAUAAUGUAUUACUAUAGAGAAGGUUUCCUUCAAUAUAAUGUAUUAAUUGUGUAUGUCUAUUUUAUCAUAAAUUAUUUAAUCCUUUUGAUAUGUGUAUAUUACAGUCAAAUAAGAAGAAAACAUAUGUCACCUACUCAGUUCAUAGACCAAGGAUUUAUAACACCUGACUAUUUGGGCUUCAGCUCAAUACUCUCUCAACAAGCCAUGGCUAUUUGGGCUUCACAGCCUGCCCCCAUCGAUCAGGGCAUAGCCCAACCUAAACGGCUAAACCUAUAACUAUCGUGGUCUAGCUCUGCCCAUGAAGUGUGCCACCCAUAGGCCUUUUGGCUAGAGUCUGUAGGCCUAUGCUUGUGUGUAGGCUAAGUAAAAAUAAAUAGUUGAGAGUGAGAGUUGAAGCCCAGCUUGAAUGCAAAUGUGGUCAACCUUUCUAAACAAUUUUAAAAAUACAAAGAUUUGAAUAUAAUCAUUCGUGUGUUUAAUACCUAUGUAAGACAGUAAGAAUAGGUUGCAUUUGUUACAUUUAAUCACUUCACUCCAAGUAUGAUUUCAUUUAUUAUCACUUUUACACGUGGUUGUUCAUCACUUGAUGGGAGAUGAUAUUGUUGAUAUGUCUUAUCAUGGUUACUAAAACUAUUAACCUAUACUAUGUUGACCUUAAUAUGUCCUAUUGGUCACCUUUAAUCUCUCUUAUUAUUUUUUUUCUUUUUUAUUUAUCAUUUGUCAUCAAUUAAACAAAUAACGGUAGUUUCAUUACCUAAUUUUGAGAUUUGUUAUGCAAUAAUGAGAAUAGGCAAUAAAAAAAAUAGAAUAAGAAUACAUAAAAUUAUAUGGAAAACCCUAGAUGAGAAAAAUCAUAAAAUAAAGAAGAAAUAACUCAUUACAUCAAAAGAUUGAUACAAAAUGGAAGAGUUGCGAAUAAUUACAAAAAAAAUCAGUUCGAUCCCUCUACUACCACCUUAGACUCUUAAAAAAAUCUCAUAAUUAUAGUUUCACUAUAUAUGUUGCACUGCAAACUUUUCGGGUUAAACCAAAUAAAAUUUGGAUCACCAAACUUUAAAAACAUCAAUUCAUGAUGAUUGAAUGUGAGCUAAAGAUUCACAAAUUAAAACUAAUAUGAUGAUUGUAGUGUCAGCGAAAGCUUUUGAUGUCAACAAUGUUAGUUCAAGAACACAAAGAUAAAACAAUCACACAUACGGUAUAUGAGGUUUUAACGUGGUUUGACUAAUCAUGCCUACGUCCACGAAUGAGAGAAUGAUUCCACUAUACAAAAUAAAAUAUUACAGAGGAUAAAAUCAAAUACAACUAUUAGGUUCUCAAAAUAUCUCAUGUUUCCCCACUCCUUGUAUUCAUACCUUACUACGAGUAAUCUCGCUCCACCGGGUACCUCCCGUUCUUCCUCACAUCUCUAUCCACCUCGUAUAGCCUCUACAAGCCCAUCUCCAUCUCAUAACUUUUUCCCCUCAUGACCUAGAAUAUUUAUAGAGAUAUUUCCAACAACCUUCCUUAUUCUAUAAGAAAGUCUAAUAUUACAAUAACAUAUCAAUCUAGAAAUAUUCUAUAUAAUAUUCUUUACAAAAAAUGAAUCUAUACUAAUUAGGAAUUUGGGACACUUCCUAACAAUCUCCACCUUGGACCAAAUUCCAUGAAGUUAAUCUUCAAUCUCUCCAUGUCACAAACCAUUUUGUAUCAUAUCACCACGAAAAAACAAUCGACUCCACCUUCAGUAAAAAUUCCUUUUGUUUUCAUCUUGUGUGCUUUGUCAUCUUUUACUCUUCCAAAAAUCUUCAACCCAAACUCUGAUACUAGUUGUAGUGUCAGCGAAAGCUUUGAUGCCAACAAUGUUAGUUCAAGAACACAAAGAUAAAACAAUCACACUGUUAGGAAGUGUCCCAAAUUCCUAAUUAGUAUAGAUUCCUUUCUUUGUAAAGAAUAUUAUAUAGAAUAGCUCCUCCGCAUCUCAGACAUCUCAGGCUUCUAUUGCCUCUAUUGCCCAGCCUGGUAAUGCCUCUGCCUGCCUUACCCACACUUCUUCUCUUGGACCCUGGAUUCUAGAUUCUGGAGCAUCUGAUCACCUAUCUGGUAAUAAGGAUCUUUUCUCCUCUAUUACUACUACCUCUGCUUUACCUACUGUUACCUUAGCUAAUGGUUCUCAAACUGUGGCUAAAGGUAUUGGUUUGACCCUUCCUCUGCCUUCUCUACCUCUCACUUCUGUCCUUUAUACUCCUGAAUGUCCUUUUAAUCUUAUUUCCAUUAGCAAAAUCACUCGUACUCUUAAUUGUUCUAUUACCUUUUCUGAUAAAUUUGUGACCUUGCAGGACCGGAGUACGGGGAAGACGAUUGGCAUAGGACGUGAGUCUCAAGGCCUCUAUCACCUCACCUCAGAUUCAUCUCCUGCAGUUUGCAUUUCCACUGAUGCUCCUCUCCUCAUUCACAAUCGUCUGGGCCACCCUAGUCUCUCCAAGUUCCAGAAGAUGGUUCCUCGUUUUUCCACUUUGUCGUCGCUUCCGUGUGAGUCAUGUCAGCUUGGGAAACAUACUCGUGUCUCGUUCCCAAAACGUUUGAAUAAUCGGGCAAAGUCUCCUUUUGAGCUUGUCCACACUAAUGUUUGGGGUCCUUGUCGGACUGCGUCUACUUUAGGAUUUCAGUAUUUUGUCACUUUCAUUGAUGACUAUUCUCGAUGUACUUGGUUAUUUUUAAUGAAAAAUCGAGCUGAGUUAUUCUCUAUUUUCCAGAAAUUUUAUACUGAAAUCCAAACCCAGUUCAAUAUUUCUAUUCGUGUGUUACGUAGUGACAAUGCCAGUGAAUAUUUUUCAGCCCAAUUUACUUCGUUUAUGUCUCAUCAUGGGAUUCUUCAUCAGUCUUCUUGUGCUCAUACUCCUCAACAAAAUGGGGUAGUUGAACGCAAGAAUCGACAUCUUGUUGAGACAGCUCAUACUCUCCUCCUCCAUAGUAACGUUCCUUUUCGUUGUUGGGGGGAUGAUGUUCUUACCGCUUGUUAUUUGAUUAAUCGUAUGCCCUCCUCUGUCUUACACGAUCAGAUUUCUCACUCCCUUCUCUUCCCUGACCAACCACUUUAUUUCCUUCCUCCUCGUGUCUUUGGUUGUACUUGCUUUGUUCAUAUUCUCACUCCUGGACAGGACAAGCUUUCCGCCAAAGCCAUGAAGUGCCUCUUCUUGGGAUAUUCCAGACUUUAGAAGGGUUAUCGUUGUUAUUCCCUUGAGACUCAUCGAUACUCAUGGAGGAAAAAAUCGCGAAAUAUCGGCGAAAUAUCGCCGAUAUAUCUUGUAUCGGACGGCGACGACACGGCAUAUGGAGGAGAAAAAUCGAAGGAGGAAAUUUCGCCAAAAAUCGCCAAUAAAUCGGCGAUAUAUCGCCGAAUCUCGAUAAAUCGGCGAUUUUUUCAUUAAAUCGCCUGUGGCCGCGGGAAAUCGCCGAUAAAUCGGCGAUAUUUCGGCGAUAAAUCGCCGAUUUUUUGCCGAUUUUUCGCUCCUCUCUCCAGCGCGAUCUGACGGCUUAGAUGUCCCCCGCGUUGAUCCAAUGGCCCAGAUGCGAUUCCAACGGUAAUAAUGUGAUCCAACGGCCAGAUUUGUCCCAGAUUGUGAUCCAACGGCCAAAUUUGAAUUUCAACGGUAAAUUGGUGUUCCAACGGCUAUUUUGGCCCAAAUUUCUUCUAUAAAUUGCCAUUUUUCCAUCAAUUUCACCCAUUGUUGCUUUCAUUCUUCAUUUGCUCUCUCAUUACUCCAAUUUUAAGGUAUGUUUAUUUUAAAUUGUAAUUAAUUUGUUUGCAAUUAUAAUUAAUAUGGAUGAUUUAAUGUUAUUUUUAUAUUCAAUAGUAAUUAAUUUGUAUAUUUUUAUUGAAUUGACUUAGGUUAAUUUGAUUAUUUAAUUAUAAAUUGAUAAGUUUAUUUUAGAUGAUUAUUUGUGAUUUAGUUUCACAUUUAAUUAAUUUAAUUAACAUGCUAAAUUAUUUAAUUAAUUUAAUUAACAUGAACUAGUAUAUUUUGAAUAUGAAAUAUGUUUAUUUUUAUGAUUAUUGGGAUUUUUUUUCAUAUGCAAUUAUGAUUAAUUUUUAAUUUAGUAAAUUUAUCAUAGAAUUAGAUCUAGAUUUAAAAAAUUAACUUAGCUAAAUUAUUUAAUUAGUUUAAUUAACAUGAACUACUAUAUAUGGAAUAUUAAAUAUGUUCAAUUUUUAUGAUUAUCAUGAUUUAGUUUUAUAUCCAAUUAUGAUUAAUUUUUAAUUUAGUAAAUUUUUCNNNNNNNNNNNNNNNNNNNNNNNNNNNNNNNNNNNNNNNNNNNNNNNNNNNNNNNNNNNNNNNNNNNNNNNNNNNNNNNNNNNNNNNNNNNNNNNNNNNNNNNNNNNNNNNNNNNNNNNNNNNNNNNNNNNNNNNNNNNNNNNNNNNNNNNNNNNNNNNNNNNNNNNNNNNNNNNNNNNNNNNNNNNNNNNNNNNNNNNNNNNNNNNNNNNNNNNNNNNNNNNNNNNNNNNNNNNNNNNNNNNNNNNNNNNNNNNNNNNNNNNNNNNNNNNNNNNNNNNNNNNNNNNNNNNNNNNNNNNNNNNNNNNNNNNNNNNNNNNNNNNNNNNNNNNNNNNNNNNNNNNNNNNNNNNNNNNNNNNNNNNNNNNNNNNNNNNNNNNNNNNNNNNNNNNNNNNNNNNNNNNNNNNNNNNNNNNNNNNNNNNNNNNNNNNNNNNNNNNNNNNNNNNNNNNNNNNNNNNNNNNNNNNNNNNNNNNNNNNNNNNNNNNNNNNNNNNNNNNNNNNNNNNNNNNNNNNNNNNNNNNNNNNNNNNNNNNNNNNNNNNNNNNNNNNNNNNNNNNNNNNNNNNNNNNNNNNNNNNNNNNNNNNNNNNNNNNNNNNNNNNNNNNNNNNNNNNNNNNNNNNNNNNNNNNNNNNNNNNNNNNNNNNNNNNNNNNNNNNNNNNNNNNNNNNNNNNNNNNNNNNNNNNNNNNNNNNNNNNNNNNNNNNNNNNNNNNNNNNNNNNNNNNNNNNNNNNNNNNNNNNNNNNNNNNNNNNNNNNNNNNNNNNNNNNNNNNNNNNNNNNNNNNNNNNNNNNNNNNNNNNNNNNNNNNNNNNNNNNNNNNNNNNNNNNNNNNNNNNNNNNNNNNNNNNNNNNNNNNNNNNNNNNNNNNNNNNNNNNNNNNNNNNNNNNNNNNNNNNNNNNNNNNNNNNNNNNNNNNNNNNNNNNNNNNNNNNNNNNNNNNNNNNNNNNNNNNNNNNNNNNNNNNNNNNNNNNNNNNNNNNNNNNNNNNNNNNNNNNNNNNNNNNNNNNNNNNNNNNNNNNNNNNNNNNNNNNNNNNNNNNNNNNNNNNNNNNNNNNNNNNNNNNNNNNNNNNNNNNNNNNNNNNNNNNNNNNNNNNNNNNNNNNNNNNNNNNNNNNNNNNNNNNNNNNNNNNNNNNNNNNNNNNNNNNNNNNNNNNNNNNNNNNNNNNNNNNNNNNNNNNNNNNNNNNNNNNNNNNNNNNNNNNNNNNNNNNNNNNNNNNNNNNNNNNNNNNNNNNNNNNNNNNNNNNNNNNNNNNNNNNNNNNNNNNNNNNNNNNNNNNNNNNNNNNNNNNNNNNNNNNNNNNNNNNNNNNNNNNNNNNNNNNNNNNNNNNNNNNNNNNNNNNNNNNNNNNNNNNNNNNNNNNNNNNNNNNNNNNNNNNNNNNNNNNNNNNNNNNNNNNNNNNNNNNNNNNNNNNNNNNNNNNNNNNNNNNNNNNNNNNNNNNNNNNNNNNNNNNNNNNNNNNNNNNNNNNNNNNNNNNNNNNNNNNNNNNNNNNNNNNNNNNNNNNNNNNNNNNNNNNNNNNNNNNNNNNNNNNNNNNNNNNNNNNNNNNNNNNNNNNNNNNNNNNNNNNNNNNNNNNNNNNNNNNNNNNNNNNNNNNNNNNNNNNNNNNNNNNNNNNNNNNNNNNNNNNNNNNNNNNNNNNNNNNNNNNNNNNNNNNNNNNNNNNNNNNNNNNNNNNNNNNNNNNNNNNNNNNNNNNNNNNNNNNNNNNNNNNNNNNNNNNNNNNNNNNNNNNNNNNNNNNNNNNNNNNNNNNNNNNNNNNNNNNNNNNNNNNNNNNNNNNNNNNNNNNNNNNNNNNNNNNNNNNNNNNNNNNNNNNNNNNNNNNNNNNNNNNNNNNNNNNNNNNNNNNNNNNNNNNNNNNNNNNNNNNNNNNNNNNNNNNNNNNNNNNNNNNNNNNNNNNNNNNNNNNNNNNNNNNNNNNNNNNNNNNNNNNNNNNNNNNNNNNNNNNNNNNNNNNNNNNNNNNNNNNNNNNNNNNNNNNNNNNNNNNNNNNNNNNNNNNNNNNNNNNNNNNNNNNNNNNNNNNNNNNNNNNNNNNNNNNNNNNNNNNNNNNNNNNNNNNNNNNNNNNNNNNNNNNNNNNNNNNNNNNNNNNNNNNNNNNNNNNNNNNNNNNNNNNNNNNNNNNNNNNNNNNNNNNNNNNNNNNNNNNNNNNNNNNNNNNNNNNNNNNNNNNNNNNNNNNNNNNNNNNNNNNNNNNNNNNNNNNNNNNNNNNNNNNNNNNNNNNNNNNNNNNNNNNNNNNNNNNNNNNNNNNNNNNNNNNNNNNNNNNNNNNNNNNNNNNNNNNNNNNNNNNNNNNNNNNNNNNNNNNNNNNNNNNNNNNNNNNNNNNNNNNNNNNNNNNNNNNNNNNNNNNNNNNNNNNNNNNNNNNNNNNNNNNNNNNNNNNNNNNNNNNNNNNNNNNNNNNNNNNNNNNNNNNNNNNNNNNNNNNNNNNNNNNNNNNNNNNNNNNNNNNNNNNNNNNNNNNNNNNNNNNNNNNNNNNNNNNNNNNNNNNNNNNNNNNNNNNNNNNNNNNNNNNNNNNNNNNNNNNNNNNNNNNNNNNNNNNNNNNNNNNNNNNNNNNNNNNNNNNNNNNNNNNNNNNNNNNNNNNNNNNNNNNNNNNNNNNNNNNNNNNNNNNNNNNNNNNNNNNNNNNNNNNNNNNNNNNNNNNNNNNNNNNNNNNNNNNNNNNNNNNNNNNNNNNNNNNNNNNNNNNNNNNNNNNNNNNNNNNNNNNNNNNNNNNNNNNNNNNNNNNNNNNNNNNNNNNNNNNNNNNNNNNNNNNNNNNNNNNNNNNNNNNNNNNNNNNNNNNNNNNNNNNNNNNNNNNNNNNNNNNNNNNNNNNNNNNNNNNNNNNNNNNNNNNNNNNNNNNNNNNNNNNNNNNNNNNNNNNNNNNNNNNNNNNNNNNNNNNNNNNNNNNNNNNNNNNNNNNNNNNNNNNNNNNNNNNNNNNNNNNNNNNNNNNNNNNNNNNNNNNNNNNNNNNNNNNNNNNNNNNNNNNNNNNNNNNNNNNNNNNNNNNNNNNNNNNNNNNNNNNNNNNNNNNNNNNNNNNNNNNNNNNNNNNNNNNNNNNNNNNNNNNNNNNNNNNNNNNNNNNNNNNNNNNNNNNNNNNNNNNNNNNNNNNNNNNNNNNNNNNNNNNNNNNNNNNNNNNNNNNNNNNNNNNNNNNNNNNNNNNNNNNNNNNNNNNNNNNNNNNNNNNNGAGGAAGAGAACGAAUGAUGGAACCAUAUAAUGAGGAGUUACUUUCAGGGAGUUUUGAAUCUAUGAGUAUAGGAACUCAAUUUAGUGACUCUUCGAAUGAGACUAAUGUCUACCCUCCUCAUGUGAUGAGUUAUGGUCAACCUUCAAGUUCAACAGAUGAAGAGUAUGGUAUGUCGCGUUAUUCACCUUCUAGACAAAUGUCUUACCAAAUUCCAUAUCAGAUGGAAGGAGGAUUGGGCAUUAACACAUGGGUGAACUUUGAGUAUCCUAUCCAUGUAGAGGCAGUGGGCAGGACUCAAGAGAUAUAUGCAUGGCAUGUUAGAAUUUUUAACCAAUAUUAUCGAGGCUCAUUGAGUUGGUACCAAUAUUGUCUCCAACAGCAAGACGGCGUUCCUUCAUCUAUCAAUCCCAUUGAACCACAUCGAUCCUCAUUUUGGUAUUAAAGGGACAUUGUAAUGUAAUGUGUACAAAUUAUUGUUAUUUAAUGAAAUGAAGUAUUUUAUGUGACUUUAUAAUGAGAACAAUUACAAAAUUAACAUUUCUUAUAGAUCGACAUGAUAUAAUUACAUUUAAUAUCGCAAAUUAUAUCAUAUGUAUAUCAAUUUUUUCUACAAAACAACUUUAAAAUGUCUAUUAUACUUCUAAUUAUAUUAUUAUGAAGUUUUCUUUACAUUUCCAUGAGUUUUUAACAAUUUUAAGCCUAUCGAUAUUUUUUUCCAAAAUAUCCGCCGAUAUAUCUCCGAUAUAUCCGAUAUAUCCGUAAAAUCGAAGUACCGAUAUAUCCGUGAUUACCGAUAUUUUCUUCCAUGUCGAUACUUUAUCUCCGCUGAUGUCACCUUCUUUGAGGACUCACCAUUCUUUUCCACCACUUCUGAGUCUCUUCCUGUUUCUGAAGUCUUGCCCAUUCCCAUUGUCUCCCCACCUGAUGCUAUGCCCCCUCGACCACUUCAGGUUUAUCAUCGUCGCCCUCGUGUCGUUGCUCCUCUCCCUUUUCCUGAGGCACCUGCUGACUCACUUCCUAUCCCUUCGGCUUCACCUGCCCCGGCUCUGCCUUCUCCUAAUGACUUACCCAUUGCUGUUCGGAAAGGUUUUUCUCCUUUCUUUCUCUCUCUCUCUCAACAUGGUAUCAGAGCCAAAGGAGAAAACCUAAUCUUUUUUUCGGUUUAGCCGUGUAAUCAAUUCCGGCAAACCGUCCAGUGACCGUGUUUCACUCCGGUCCCCUCAUUCCCUUCCCGAACCACUCCGGACAACCUCAUCGCCGUCGGAUCUCCACCACGCCGGCAACCUUUUCCGGUGAAAUUUUCCGGCAACCUAUUUUCCGGGAAACGACCACAUAUUCCGAAAAGCCGGAGGCUGAUCUACACUUCAGUGGAAACCCCACCGGAAACCGGCAUCUCACGCGCCCCCACUCGCCGCUCUUCUCCUCCGGACUGUCACCCACGCGCCGGCGAGUGACGGUGCGUGGCUCACUUUCCGGCCACUUCCGACACCUUUCCAGGCUCGUCCGGCGCCAUCUUGGCCUUCUAGCCCCCCGGCAGUCCUCCCCGAGCCCUGCAUCUCCAUUUUUUCCCUGUUUUUGGCUUUCUUGCCAUUCCGGCCACCUCCGACAGGGCUCCCUCCCAUCUCCGCGGCUUGGGUGCUGCUUCUCUUCCUCUUCAGGGCUCUCUUCGAUCCAAAUACGUGAAUAUGACCACCAAAAAUCAGAUCUUUACCUCUAUUAUCUCUCGAUUUCCUAUGAUUACCUCAGAGAAAUUGGUUGGCAGUGAGAAUUAUCUCUCCUGGUCUGCCUCUGUUGAACUUUGGUUCAUGGGUCAAGGUUAUGAGGAUCACUUGGUUACCCAAGAGGCAGAUAUCCCUGAGUUGACCGCGUACAGUGGAGGAAGAUAGAUGCACAGUUAUGUAGUGUAUUAUGGCAAUCGGUUGAUCCCAAGAUUCUUCUUCAUCUUCAAGCCUAAUAAAUUUGUUUUAAAUUUUGGACUCANNNNNNNNNNNNNNNNNNNNNNNNNNNNNNNNNNNNNNNNNNNNNNNNNNNNNNNNNNNNNNNNNNNNNNNNNNNNNNNNNNNNNNNNNNNNNNNNNNNNNNNNNNNNNNNNNNNNNNNNNNNNNNNNNNNNNNNNNNNNNNNNNNNNNNNNNNNNNNNNNNNNNNNNNNNNNNNNNNNNNNNNNNNNNNNNNNNNNNNNNNNNNNNNNNNNNNNNNNNNNNNNNNNNNNNNNNNNNNNNNNNNNNNNNNNNNNNNNNNNNNNNNNNNNNNNNNNNNNNNNNNNNNNNNNNNNNNNNNNNNNNNNNNNNNNNNNNNNNNNNNNNNNNNNNNNNNNNNNNNNNNNNNNNNNNNNNNNNNNNNNNNNNNNNNNNNNNNNNNNNNNNNNNNNUCUUCAAUCUCUCCAUGACACAAACCUUUUUGUAUCAUAUCACCACGAAAUAGCAAUCAACUCCACCUUCAGUGAAAAUUCCUUUUGUUUUCAUCUUGUGUGCUUUGUGAUCUUUUACUCUUCCAGAAAUCUUCAACCCAAGCUCUGAUACCAAUUGUUGUGCCAGCGGAAGCUUUGAUGCCAACGAUGUUAGUUCAAGAACACAAAGAUAAAACAAUCACACAUACGGUACACGAGGUUUUAACGUGGUUCGGCCAACCAUGCCUACGUCCACGGAUGAGAGAGAAUAAUUUCACUAUACAAUAGAGAAUAUUACAGAGGAUAGAACCAGAUACAACUAUUGGGUUCCCGAAACAUCUCAUGUUUCCCCACUCCUUGUAUCCAUACCUUACUACGAGCCCUCUCGCUCCACCAGGUACCUCCCGUUCUUCCUCACAUCUCUAUCCACCUCGUAUAGUCUCUAUAGACCCAUCUCCAUCUCAUAACUUUUUCCCCUCAUGACCUAGAAUAUUUAUAAAGAUAUUUCCAACAACCUUUCUUAUUCUAUAAGGAAGUCUAAUAUUACAAUAAUAUAUCAACCUAGAAAUAUUCUAUAUAAUAUUCUUUACAAAGAAAGGAAUCUAUACUAAUUAGGAAUUUGGGACACUUCUUAACAAUCUCCACCUUGGACCAAAUUAGAUGAAGUUAAUCUUCAAUCUCUCCAUGACACAAACCUUUUUGUAUCAUAUCACCACGAAAUAGCAAUCAACUCCACCUUCAGUGAAAAUUCCUUUUGUUUUCAUCUUGUGUGCUUUGUGAUCUUUUACUCUUCCAGAAAUCUUCAACCCAAGCUCUGAUACCAAUUGUUGUGCCAGCGAAAGCUUUGAUGCCAACAAUGUUAGUUCAAGAACACAAAGAUAAAACAAUCACACAUACGGUACACGAGAUUUUAACGUGGUUCCGCCAACCAUGCCUACGUCCACGGAUNNNNNNNNNNNNNNNNNNNNNNNNNNNNNNNNNNNNNNNNNNNNNNNNNNNNNNNNNNNNNNNNNNNNNNNNNNNNNNNNNNNNNNNNNNNNNNNNNNNNGAAUUUGGGACAUUUCUUAACAAUCUCCCCCUUGGACCAAAUUAGAUGAAGUUAAUCUUCAAUCUCUCCAUGACACAAACCUUUUUGUAUCAUAUCACCACGAAAUAGCAAUCAACUCCACCUUCAGUGAAAAUUCCUUUUGUUUUCAUCUUGUGUGCUUUGUGAUCUUUUACUCUUCCAGAAAUCUUCAACCCAAGCUCUGAUACCAAUUGUUGUGCCAGCGAAAGCUUUGAUGCCAACAAUGUUAGUUCAAGAACACAAAGAUAAAACAAUCACACAUACGGUACACGAGAUUUUAACGUGGUUCCGCCAACCAUGCCUACGUCCACGGAUGAGAGAGAAUAAUUUCACUAUACAAUAGAGAAUAUUACAGAGGAUAGAACCAGAUACAACUAUUGGGUUCCCGAAACAUCUCAUGUUUCCCCACUCCUUGUAUCCAUACCUUACUACGAGCCCUCUCGCUUCACCAAGUACCUCCCGUUCUUCCUCACAUCUCUAUCCACCUCGUAUAGUCUCUAUAGACCCAUCUCCAUCUCAUAACUUUUUCCCCUCAUGACCUAGAAUAUUUAUAGAGAUAUUUCCAACAACCUUCCUUAUUCUAUAAGGAAGUCUAAUAUUACAAUAAUAUAUCAACCUAGAAAUAUUCUAUAUAAUAUUCUUUACAAAGAAAGGAAUCUAUACUAAUUAGGAAUUUGGGACACUUCCUAACACACACAUACGGUACACGAGGUUUUAACGUGGUUCGGUUAACCAUGCAUACGUCAACGGAUGAGAGAAUGAUUCCACUAUACAAAAGAGAAUAUUACAGAUGAUAGAACCAGAUACAACUAUUGAGUUCCCGAAACAUCCCAUGUUUCCCCACUCCUUGUAUCCAUACCUUACUACGAACCCUCUCGCUCCACCCGGUACCUCCCGUUCUUCCUCACAUCUCUAUCCACCUCGUAUACCCUCUACAGACCCAUCUCUAUCCCAUAACUUUUUCCUCUUAUGACCUAAAAUAUUUAUAAAGAUAUUUCCAACAACCUUCCUUAUUCUAUAAGGAAGUCUAAUAUUAUAAUAAUAUAUCAACCUAGAAAUAUUCUAUAUAAUAUUCUUUACAAAAAAGAAAUCUAUACUAAUUAGAAAUUUGGGACAUUUCCUAACAAUGACAAGCUUGGUUGUAUUUGAAAGCAUGGAAAACUCUUUGUCAAGUAAAUGGAGCCCAACCAAUAAUAUUAAAAAAGAUGUAGCUCAAAGCAUAAAUAAUUCAUUAUUUUGGUUUUUUUUUUUAACCCUAAGAUGAAAGACUUGAAUUAUGCUCAUCCUAUGUGCAUUUGCUAGAUUUAAUCAUUAAGUGCUUUUUUAUUUGUUGUCGCUUUCAAGCAUAGUUGUUGAGCACUAAAUUUGAGAUGAUGUUUUUGAGAAGUGUUAUUCAUGUAAACCAAAAUUAUUACCCUAUUCUCGACUUUAAUCUCUCUUAUUGCUCAACUUUAAUAGAUGAUGUUUUUGAUAUGUCUUAUACAUGUUAACCAAAAUUAUUACCCUAUUCUCUUUACUUUAAUCUCUCUUAUUGGUCAACUUUAAUCUCUUUCUUUGUUUAUUUGUUUUAUAGUUAUUUAUCAUUUCUUACCAAUUAAAUGAAUUACAGUUGUUUUAUAAUAUAAUGUUGACAUCAAUUCAUGAUAAAUGAAUGCAAGCCAAAGAUUCACAAAUUUAACGCUUUAGAGCUAGUUAAAGCAGAAAAUGAAUCCAACGUCCAUAUAUUUAACAUAAUUGAUGUUAAGGACAUGAAAUAUGAAAAACAAAAAUAAUUUUAAAGGAAAUCAGGAAAAGGGAAUAUGCUUAUAGGUCUCAUCCUUAUGAUUCUUUGACUUUUAUAUAUUAUUUUCCCUUUUCUUUACUUGCUCUUUUACUCCCCUUUUUUAUUUCUAAAUGUCAUAUUUAUUUUAUUUUUUUCUAAAAUUAUUUUAAUAUUUUUUAUUUCUCUUUUUAUUAAAAUAAAAAAAAUAAAAAAAAGGAAAACACAAUAGAUAUAUUAGUAGACUUUUAGUUGUUAUUUUUAAAUUUUUUAAUUUAAUUUAAUUUUUAUAUUUUAUAAUUGAAUAGGUUAAUUUUUAAGUAAAAAUAAAUAUUUUCUAUAAUUUAAAUUUAUUUUUAUUUUCUUAUUUUAUUUUAUUAUUUAUAAUAUAACAUCUUAGUAAUGUUCUUGAAAGUAAUUAAUCAAACUUUUAUUAAACUUUAAUAUUAAUAAUAGCAUUUUUUAAAUGUAAUUUUCAUAUAUUUGAAAUAGAGAAAUAACUUUUUUUCUUUAUAGAUUUGUUGCAUAUAUUUUAGAAUUUUCAUAUGAUAUAUAUUGUUAUUAUAUAAAAUAAAAAAUCAUGUUGAAAUCAUUUAAAAAAUAUUUUUAAUAUUUUCAUUUUUAAUUGUAUUUUGAAAAAUAAUUUGAAGUUAUAUAUUGAAAUAAACUUUUCAAAUCAAUAUUUUACUUUACAAGUGAGUUUAAUUUAUUUAUCUCCAUCAUUUAAAAACAUAAAUCACUAGAGAACUAAAAGUCUAAAAAAAAAUAAAUAACAAACACCAUGCAUCGUAAAUUAUACAACAUAAUCACAUAAUAUAAAUUGAUUUUAUACAAUUUUCAUGUCAUUUGGAUAUUUUUUGCAUUAUGAAAAAAUUAUAUGUUUCAAUUUAAUUAUAUAUGUUUGCUAACAUUAGAGCUGAAUUUUACAUCCUUUUUACACCCUACGCCCAUAGUCAUUUCACUCUAAGCGCUUUUUCAUUUACUGUUGCUUUCACGAAUAGUUGUUUAUCACUUAAUAUGAGAUGAUAUUAUUGACACGCUUUAUUCAUGCAUGGUGGCCAAAAUUAUUGAUCCACUCUGUUGACUUUAAUCUCUCAUUAAUUGAUCAUUUAUUUUAUGCUAUUUAUUAUAUUUACACUUUUUCAUUUACUUUACUCAGAGGAGACCGGUUGUACCCGGGGAAAAAGCUUGUCCAUAUGCCAUAUAUCAUAUAUUAAAUUUUAUCAGUCCCCAAAUUAUACACUAUUUAUAUCAUUUAUACCUCACCCUCUUUAUAUAUAUAUAUAUAUAUAUAUAUUAGAGUUAUGUCAUCCAAAUUCUUUUUUAUUCAAUCCAAAAUCCUUUCACUAUAAGUAUAGAUCCCAUUGGAGGUGUAAUGCUUCAGUCUCGUGGUAUGAAUAUGUUUUGUUUAUUAUAUAUUUAAUUUUUUUAUAAAAUAAAUAACAUUUUUUACCCCUAUGAGGCACAAUAAAAAUAUUGUGUUCAUAUAAAAAGUGUUUAUAAUGUUUAAUAUCAAAUAAAUUUUUUUUUAAUAUUAUAUAAAUAUAAAUUUCUUUUAAUUUGAUAAACAUAUUUUAAAGAUGUAAAAUUUUAGAUAUUGUAGGAAAUCUUAUGAAAGAAUAAUUUUUCUCUAACAAAAUGGCAUGAGUAAAAAUGAAAAUAUAGAAUAUGGAACAUGUGACAUGACAUUAUCCAUGGCAAUGCAUUAACGAGUACUUUUCAAGGAAAACUAGAUUUUUUUUUUUUUUUUUUAUAAAAGAUGGGGAAACCUUAAUUGCAAAGGCAAUAAUGAUAGACACAUGGCAAUGCAUUAUCCAUCUAGGAUGUGACAUGACAUUAACUUUUGUUCUAACAGGUAGGAUGCUUUAAAUGGAGACUUGAUGAAGUGGAGAAAGCUGAUGGCACCACAGAGGAUCAGUACCUACUCCCAUCCCCUCUGUAUUUAAUGGUGAAGUCCCAAGUGUUUGCUGCACGACUGCCUAAGCGCCUCUUCCACUUCCUUGGUUCUCAGUUUGUUUCCUGAGAAUUCUCACUAGAAAGUAGGAAUUAGGGAGACAUGGGUCUAGUAGGUAAGCUUGAGGCUGAAAUUCUGAUCCUGGCUCCUGCUGAUAAGUUUCAUGAGGUUUGGGGAGGCAGGCCUCACCACAUGUCCAGUGUCUCCCCUGGAAAGGUUCAGAAAGUUGACCUGCACGAGGGUGACUGGGGCAAUGUCGGCUCUGUCAUCGAGUGGAGCUACGUUAUUGGUAAGCCAACUCUCACUCCACACCACCUCUAUCCACUCAACAUUAUGUAUAUUUUUGCAAAAAUGCUUUACAUCAUGAGAUAAUCUGCUCUUUUUAUAAUAUGUUUUUAUUUGGACAAGUGAUUCAUAAACGCAUAUUCACAGCAUAUAAUCCGUAUUUUUGUAGCACAGAUUCCACAUCCUACUUUCAUAUAUCCUGUAAAAUGAUAACAACAGUAAAAUGGUCUCGUUUAAUAAUGAUUUUAGGAAAUGGUAAUAACUUUUUAAUAUUUAAAAAUUUUCAUUACUUAAGUACUUAAAAUUUUAUAAAUAUUUUUUAAAAUUAUUAUCAAACGCACUCUAAUUCUUUUAACUAUAUAUCUUAUAACUACUAAGAAAAUCAAUAACAUGACAAAAUAGAAAUAAUAAAAAAGAUUAAUAUUGAUUACUCUUAAUUUAUAAAAAUAUUAAUUAAAAUGGAUUUUUAUUAUUGAAUUUUAUGCAUUUCAUUUAUUAUACCUAUUCCAUGUCUUAAUAUUCAUAUUUGGUCAUUUCAUAUUCUAUCAUCUUUCCUUUUUGUAGAUACCACUUUCAUGAUACAAUAAUUUAAGUUAGAAUAUAACAUAUUUCUUUUUGUAUUUUACUAUAUACUCAUUUAAUAUUAAAAAUAAAUAAAUCAUAACUUUUUUUUUUUUUUAAUUUCUUGUUGCAUGAUUAAAGCUAAAAUAAAUUUGAUUUAUAUUAUUAGCCUUUACCUAUUUGGCUAAAUUAAUUGAUAGUUUAGCAUGAAUUAAAGAUUUACUUAAGAAGUAUCAUACAUAUGAUUAUAUAUAUAUAGGUUGUAGAUUGCCAAAUUUUUUUCACCAUUUUUGAACAUAAUUGAAGAAUCAUUCAAAAAAUUAUUUUUUGAAGAAUAAUUUCAUCAUUACCUUAAUAUUUUUGCACACUUAAAAGGAUAAAAGAAAGGUCUUUUUUUUUUAACAUUUAAUUGCCGUCGGAGAUGAUUGCUUCCACUCUAACACAUAAUCUCUUAAAUUAUGAGCAUAAAUGAAAAUAAUUUAUAUAUAUUAUUUUUUAAACUAAAAGUAAUAGAUAGGGUUUGUUUGGUGAUUUUUUUAAAAAAAGUUUUGAAAAAACAGUUUUUUUUUUUUAAAAACUAUUAUAUGAUGUUUUGUAAAACAAAAAUAUAUUUGAAAACUUAAAAUAUUUUUAAAUAUGUUUUAAAAUAGUUUUUAUCUCUAGUGUUUUAUUUUGUAAUUAUUCUAUAUAUUUGUAUAAUUAUUUUUUAAAAUAAUUCUUAGAAAACAAAUAAAAAUAAUAAAAAAACAACUCAAUGAUAUUUUCAUAAUACAAAAAGCAGUAUUUUAUUAUCAAAUGUGUUUUCCUCCUUUUUUUUUUUUUUUUUUGAAGAACAAAUAAAUUAUUCUUCAAAACAAUUACCAAAUAAAAACCUAAUUUUUUUUUUAAAUUCUCAAAUAGUCAUUUUAAAAAUAUAUAUAAAAAGAAGAAUGAAGAUCCAAUUUGAAUUAUUAAAAAUAGUAAUGAAAAUUUGGAUUGUUAGAUGAUGAUAUAAAUAAAUAAAACAUAUGAAUAAACUUAAAAUAUAAAAAUGGGUUCAACUAUAAACUAAUGAGAUUAAAUACAAAACAUGAAUUCUAAAGUUUAAAUGUAAUCAUUAUUUUCACUAAAAUGUUUCUUGAUAGAUGUCAUUUGUUUUUAGCUUUUUACUUUUUGAUAACUCGCAAUUUAGAAUUGAAGACUCAAUUUGGCAACGGGCCUCAAUCUUAAUUGGACUACACCUAUAAACCAAAACAAAAAUCUCUACUGGCAUUAUUAGACUUGGAUUUGGCAAGAUUUUCCUCAAGAUUUGUCCAUUAAAAUUUUUGUCCUUUUUCAAUUAUGACAUGUGACAUAAGUCAUUUCCAACUAUUCAUUCAGGUGGUCUCUUAAUUUGAAUUUCAUGAGUAUUAAUGUAAAGGUUUUUCAGACAAAUGUCGUAUUCUUUUUUUUUACUUUCAUGUGUAUUUUUACCAGAGAAGUCAAUAUGAUAUUUAAAAAAUAGUUAGCAGUACAACCACAUGGGCUUGACAUGUGUGCACCCGUACACCAUGGGUCAAUAUUCUUCAUUUUCAAUUGUCCUUAAUCAAAAAAUAAUUUUGCCCACAAUCAUAAAGUAUUCAUGAAUAGGUUUUAAUCAUUAAAUUUGGUUGUUUGGGGGUGGCAGUAAUAUAAUCACCAUUGAAUUUUACAAUUUGAUAGUAUGUUUAAAAAUUGACCGACUAGCACUUUUCCUAAACACACUAAUUUCAAUUGAGUACAAUUCUUCUAAUUAUAUUAUUUUUGUUUGAAACCAAAGAUGGAAAAAAUCAUGUUACUAAGGACAUUGUGGAAGCCAUAGAGAGGGAAAAUAAAACGGUUACUUUUAAAGUCAUUGAAGGAGAUAUCUUGAAGGAAUACAAAUCCUUUAAGGCUAUUGUCCAAGCUAUUUCAAAAGGUGAAGCCACUUGGGUGCGUUGGAUUAUCGAGUAUGAGAAGCUUAACAAGAAAUCUCUGCUCCUGUUAAAUUGUUUGGAUUUAUAAUUCAUCUCAGUGAAGAAAUUGAUGACCACCUUGUUCAGGCAUAGACAUAAAAUGUCAUAGUUUGGUACUACUUGAUGACUUCUCAUAUAAAUAAUGUUAAUAUCGUGUGUCGUGUGAGAUGAAUGAGCAAUAGCUCAACCAUGUUUUAGUCCUUUAUUUGAGUGUGGGGGAGGUUUGAAGUCUUUUGAAAUAUCUUAUUAUUGAAAGUUGUUUAUUUACUUACUAUUUAAUGAGAGAGAAGCUUGGUUUGGUUUGUGUAUUUGUUCACUUCAUUUUUUUGGUAAUAGGUAAUAAGGGUCUCCAACGGGCGGGCCGGGCCGGGCCGAGCUCAAAUGCUAGGCCCGCGGGCCGGGCCGCGGGCUUUUUUAAAUAAGCCAAAAUAGCUUUUAAAUAAAGGAAGGAAGAGGGGGGGAUUCGAACCCCUUCCCUCAAGCUUAAAUUUCAAGGCUCUAACCAACUGAGCUACAUUUCUUUUGUGCUUAUUAAAUGAAUUAGUUAUGUAUAUAUAAAAAUAUAGUAUAUUAUUUUAAAAAAAAAAAUUAAAGGCGGGCCUACGGGCCGGGCCGGGCCUAAAGCGGGCCGCGGGCCGCGGGCUUUUUGGAGACCCCUAAUAGGUAAGAUGGGCGAAUGAUAGUUUUGCAGCCACUAAGCCUCAUGGAGCUAUAGCAUAUGGGACAUCAAAAACCUAAUCAUGGCAAGUAGGUUAGGCAGGCCGAGCUUGCCCACGACCCACCAUUGUUCGGGACAUGCCUAGCUAGCCCAGGCACGACAAUUCUAUUCGUGGAUAGUGUUGGGCUAGACCAGUACUGUCCAUUGGAUCGUGCUGGGCCAUGAGUGGUGGCCCAUUGUACCGGCCAUGGCCCGCCCAUAACUCCCCUCCCAUACCAAUUUUACCCCCUCCCAGGGAUGACAAUGGGGUGGGUUUACGAUAGUCACCUGACUCACCUCCAUCCCAACUUCAUCCAAUUUAUUUAUAUAUAUUCUUAUCUCCACAAAAAAAAAAAAAAGAUAAAUAAAAUAAACAAGGCAGAGGCAGAAUAGGGUUGUGUAUAGGGUGUAAGAAAUUUUCAUACCCUCCUUGUCCAACACAGUUUAUAUUUUUAAUACUUUUUUAUUUCUAAAAUUUUAAAUUUUAUUAAACAUAAAUAUAAUUUAUAAAUAAAAAAUAUUAUAAACAUUUAUAAUUUAUUUUUAUAAAAAAUAAUAUUUUACUUAUGUUUAAAAAGUUGAAAAAUAAAAAAAAAAUCAAUUAAAAUAAUUUUUUAUUUAAAAUUAUAUAUAAUCAAGACGGGAUGGGAUGAAAUAAAUUCAUGCUCGAACUCAUCUUAAAUUUUUAAAAACUUUCUAAAUUCUGAACUUGUAUAUCUUUAUCAUAAACCUUUUUCAUUGGGGGCACGUUUUUCCAAAUUCUCAUAUUGCUCCAUUGUCAUUCCUAUUUAGGGAUGGCAACGGGGCGGGUUUUUUCGGGUACCCGCCCUGCCCUGCCCCUAAUGGGACAGGGUUUAAAUUUAAUAAACAGGUUUUUAACGGGUAUGGGAAUUUUUUUUUAAACCCGGGGCGGGUUCGGGUAUUGCCCCAUCCCGCCCCGCCCCGCCCCGUUUACAUAUAAAAUCAAUUUUAAAAUUUAAUUUAAUUUAAAUUUUAAAAUUUAAUUUAUUUUACUAUUUUUAAUAUAUAGAUAAUAAUAAAAAAAAUUAAUAAAAUAAGUUAUAAAAAAUAUAAUAAUUUUAUUAUUUAUAAAUAUAUUUAUUUUAAUGUAAUUAAAAAUUUAAAAAGUAAAUUAAAAAAAAAAAAAAAGGAGGCUAAACGGGACGGGGCGGGGCGGGGCGGGGCGGGUUUGGGAAUUUCCCAUACCCGUCCCACCCCGUUUAAUUUUUUAAACGGGACGGGGAUGGGAAUUAUUUUUAAUAAACGGGGCGGGGUUGGGAUGGGGGCGACCCGUCCCGAAUCCGCCCCGUUGCCAUUCCUAUCCCUAUUUCAUACAUUUGUAUAAAGAUUAAUUUGUGAAAGCAUUUUGAUAAAUUAAUCAAAUUUAUUUAUUUAUUUAUGAUAGUGAAAUGACCAACAAACCCUCUCGAACGUUCAAAUAAUAACCCGAUUGUGAUGGAAUUGAUUCUAUAAGGUUUGGUUGCAUCCUCAAUAUAAUGUAUUACUAUAGAGAAGGUUUCCUUCAAUAUAAUGUAUUAAUUGUGUAGGUCUAUUUUAUCAUAAAUUAUUUAAUCCUUUUGGUAUGUGUAUACUGCAAUCAAAUAAGAAGAAAACAUGUCACCUUCUCAGUUCAUAGAGCAAGGAUUUAUAACACCUGACUAUUUGGGCUUCAGCCUGCACCCAUCGAUAGGGGCAUAGCCCAACCUAAACCUAUAACUAUCGUGAUCUAGCUCUGCCCAUGAAGUGUGGCACCCAUAGGCCUUUUGGCUAGAGUCUGUAGGCCUAUGCUUGUGUGUAGGCUAAGUAAAAAUAAAUACUUGAGAGUGAGAGUUGAAGCCCAGCUUGAAUGCAAAAUGUGGUCAGCCUUUUUAAACAAUUUUAAAAAUACAAAGAUUUGAAUAUAAUUGUUCGUGUGUUUAAUACCUAUGCAAGACAGUAAGAAUAGGCUGCAUUUGUUGCAUUUAAUCAUUUCACUCUAAGUAUGAUUUCAUUUGUUAUCUCUUUCACGCAUGGUUGUUCAUGAUCACUUGAUGUGAGAUGAUAUUGUUGAUAUGUCUUAUCAUGGUGACUAAAACUAUUAACCUACUCUGUUGACCUUAAUACGUUUUAUUGGUCAACUUUAAUCUUUCUUAUUGUUUUAUUAUUAUUAUUAUUAUUAUUUAUCAAUUAUCAUGAAAAACUACAAGUAAAAAAAAAAAAUUCAUUAUAUCAAAAAAUUUGCAUAAUAGAGUUGUGAAUAAUUAUAGUAAAAUUCAGUCUAAUUCCUUUGCUAUCAUUAUAAACUCCAAAAAAAAAAUUAUAAUUAUAAUUUUAUUAUAUAUAUUGUACCGUGAGCUUUUUAGAUAAGAUCAAAUAGAAUUCGGAUCACCAAAUUCUAAAAACAUCAAUUUAUAAUAAUUGAAUGUGAAUUAAAAAUUCACAAAUUAAAACUAAUGUGAUAACGAGUUUGAUUGUAUUUGAAAGUAUGAAAAACUCUUUGCCAAGUAAAUGGAGCUCAACAAAUAACGUUAAGCAGCUCAAAGCAUAAAUAAUUCAUUAUUAUUAUUAUUUUACCCUAAUAUGAAAGACUUGAUUUAUGCUUAUCCUACUUCCAUUUGCUAGAUUUAAUCAUUCACAAUAAGUGCUUUUUCAUUUGUUGUCACUUUCACGCAUGAUUGUUAAGCACUAAAUUCGAGAUGAUAUUUUUUAUAUGUCCUAUUCCCGGUAACCAAAACUAUUAUCCUAUUUUCUUGACUGUAAUCUCUUUUAGUGGUCAACUUUAAUCUCUCUCCUUAUUUAUUUAUUUUUUAGUUAUUUAUCAUUUGUCACCAAUUUAAUGAAUUACAAUUGUUUCAUAAUCUAAUUUUGACAUCAAGUCAUGAUAAAGUGAAUGCGAGCUAGAGAUUCACAAAUUUAAAUGAAAUAAUUAUAAUUUAAGGCUAUUUAAAGCAAAUAAUAGAUCUAACAUUUACAUAUUUAAUAUAAUUGAUGCUAAAGAUAUGAAGUAUAUAAAAAAAAUAACCUUUAAAGAAAUCAAUAAAAGUGAAUAUGCUUGUAGGUCUCAUUUUUAUAAUUCUUUGACUUUUAUAUUUUUUUUUCCCUUUUCUUUACUUAAUCUUUUACUCUCCCCUUUUGAUAUCUAAGUGUCACAUUUAUUUUACUUUUUAAAUUUCUUUUCUAAAAAUAUUUUAAUAUUUUUUCAUUUAUCUUUUUAUUAAAAAAAUUUUGAAAAAUGAAAGCACAAUAGACAUAUUAAUAGACUUUUAGUUAUAUUUUUUUAAUCUUUAAUUUAAUUUAAUUUUUAUAUUUUAUAAUUGAAUAAGUUAAAUUUUAAGUAAAAACAAAUAUUUUCCAUAAUUUAAAUUUAUUUUUAGUUUUUUUAUUUUCUUAUUUUAUUUUCUUAUUAAUAAUAUAACAUCUUAGUAAUGUUGUUGAAAGUAAUUAAUAAAACUUUCAUUAAAAUUUAAUAUUAAUAAUAAUAUUUUUACAAUUUAAUUUUCAUAUAUUUGAAAGAGAGUAAUAAUUCUUUUUUUUAUAUAGAUUUUUGACAUAAAUUUUAGAAUUUUCAUACAGUAUAUAUUGUUAUUAUAUGAAAUAAAAAAUCAUGUUGAAAUCAUUUAAUUUUUUUUUAAAAUUUCAUUUUAAAUUAUAUUUUAAAAAAUAAUUUAAAGUUUUAUAUUGAAAUAAAUUUUUUAAAUCAAAAUUUUAUUUUGCAGGUGGGUUUAAUUUAUUCAUCUUCAUUAUUUUUAAAAAUAAAUCACUAGAGAAUCAAAAUCUCCACAAAAAUAUAUAUAUAUAAAAAGGUACAUUGUAAAUGAUACAACAUAGUCAUAUAAUAUAAAUUGAUUUUAUUCAAUUUCCAUGUACUUUGGAUAUUUUUGGUAUUGAGAGAAAAUCAUAUCCUUCAAUUUAAUUAUAAAUAUUUAUUAACCUUUAAUUUGAAUUUUACACCUUAUAUAGACCUUAGGCUUAAUAUUAAUUUUAUCUAUCCCUAAAGCAUAAUCUCGUUUUAUUGUAUUUAAAAGCGGAAAACCCUUUGUUGAAUAAGCGGGAACCGAUGAAUAGCAUUAGAAAAGUGCACCUCAAACUGUUCAUUUGCUAGAUCUAAUCAUUUCACUCUAAAUGCUUUUUCAUUUAUUAUUGCUUUCAUUAAUGGUUGUUCAUCACUUAAUAUGAUAUGAUAUUAUUGAUAUACGCCUUAGUCAUUUCUGGUGGCUACUUUAAUCUCUCAGUAAUUGAUCAUUUAUUUUAUGCUAUUUAUUAUAUUUACACUUUUUCAUUUAUUUUUCUGAGGAGACCCGUUAUACACGUGGAAAAAGCUUGUCCAUAUGUAUAUAUGAGAUGGUGACAGCCACCUUUAUCCAUUUAAUAAUAGCAGAGAAAGAUAAUGCAUGCAUGCGGGUGUGGUACGUGAAGUUAGUAGAACGGUGGCUAAUGUUUUGACUGGUAGGAUGCUAUGAAGAGUUGGUAAAUUCCCUGUGAAAGCAUGCAUGUCUGGCAAGAAAGCGAUGACGCCCCACAUCACAUUCCCCUCUGCAUAUAAUGAUAGAAGGCCCAAGUGUUUCUUGCAUCAUUACUUCUUGGUUUAUUAGAAUUGUUACUGAAAGCUGGAAAGAUUCAAGGCUGGUAAGUUCCAUCAAGUCUUCUAGUGGAAGUCAGAUUGGAUUUUGAAACAAAUACAGCAAUUUUAAGACAGGACAAUUCAAAAAGUAUUUCCAAGUCCAUAUCAGAAAUUUAAUUAAAAAUUGUCUUAUAUUUCCAAGUCGGUGAGCGAAAUUUAAUUAGAAAAUCAACUACAGAUUUAAUAUCAAGUCUACAUUUGGUGAAGACGUAUUUCACAAAAUUCAUUCUAAUGUGCAACCCACUUAUUCCAUAUAUCAUAUAUUAAAUUUUAUUAUAAGUCCCCAAAUUAUCAACUAUUUAUAUAUAUAUAUAUAUUUCUUAAUAUUUUUUUUAAUUUUCUUUUUUUUUUUUUAUAGAAAAAUAAUGUUUUUAACUCUUUAAUCUCAGGAAACAUAAUAAAAACGUCAUAUAUGUAUGAAAAAUGUUUGUGAUAUUCGACAAUAAAUAUGAAAAAAAAAAAAGUAAAAUCAUAAAGACCAUUUUGAAUGAAAGUAGACAUUAAUUUUUUAAAGGAAAUCUUUUAAGAAAAUAAUUUUUCUCUAACAAAAAGUCAUGAUAUAUAAAUUUAGUGCAAACACAAUACUAAAAUACCUGGACGUUGUGCUUUAUCUCCCUUGUUCAGCACAAGGGUUUCACAUAAAACUUUUCUUUUUUUCUAAAAAAAUUAUAUCUAAAUUAUUUUUAACAUGAGUAAAAAUGAAAAUAUAAGAUAUGGAUGUUUAUGUGGCGGGGCACGUUACUUUAACGAGUACUUUUGAAGGAACUCUAGAUUUUUUUUUAUUUAGAAAAAGAUGGUAAGCUUUAUUGCAAAGCCAAUAAUGAUAGACACAUGGCAAAUGCAUUAUCCAUCUAGGAUGUGACAUGACAUUAACUUCUGUUCUAACAGGUGGCAUGCUUUGAAUGGAGACUUGAUGAACCGGAGAAAGCUGAUGGCACCACAGAGGAUCUAUACCCACUCCCAUCCCCUCUAUUUAAUGGAGAAGUCGCAAGUGUUUUGUUGCACCACUGCCUGAGCUCCUCUUCCACUUCCUUGGUUCUCAGUUUGGUUCCUGAGAAUUCUCACUAGAAAGUAGGAAUUAGGGAAACAUGGGUCUAGUAGGUAAGCUUCAGGCUGAAACUCUCAUCGUGGCUCCUGCUGAUAAGUUCCAUGAAAUGUUCUCGUGCAGACCACACCACAUCUCUAAUGUCUGUCCUGAAAAGAUUCAGAAAGUUAAUCUGCAUGAGGGUGAAUGGGGCACUUCCGGCUAUGUUAUCGAGUGGAACUAUAAUAUCGGUAAGCCAAUUCCCAACCCACACCCACCUCUAUAUUCGCAGUACUUAAACUUUAUCUCUAUAUAUUAAGUUCAUAGUAUAUCUACCUCGAACAUCUAUAUUUUUUUUUAGAACUUCAUAUUUUAAUAUAUUUUAAUUUAAUUAUUUAUUAAAUAAAAAAGGAAAGUGUAAUAUUAUUAAAUACUUAUAGAUUAUUACCACUUUGCCCAUUGAUUGGUACCAUUGGUUGCCUUUGUUUACUAUCUUUAUUUGUUUGUUCCUUGAUUAGCUUUUCUACAAAGAUCAUCGAAUUGUUAAAUAGAUUAGGGUUUUUUUUUUUUUUUGGAAUAGUUUCUUGUUAUUAAAGAAAAUAGUUUUGUAAUUUUAAAAACUUGAUUGACAAAUUUUGUUUAAAAAUAGUAAUUUAAAAAUUUGUUCUAAAAACAUGAAUAAAUUUAAAGAUUUUUUCAUAUAUUUUCUAUAAAUUUUUCUGAGAAUUAAUUACAUGAGUAUAAAGUGUUUUCAUAAACAUAAUAAUAAUAAUAAUAAUAAUAAUAAUAAUAAAAGAUCAAGAGAAACAUUAUUCAUAUUUGAGUUUGUCAAAAAAAAAAAAAUCGUAAGAAUAAUUAAGAUAUACUUUUAAAAUCUAUUUUCAAAUUUUUUUCGAAAGUACCACUAAACAAGCCUUUAGUAAAAUUAAAUUUGAUGGUUUUAGUUGUACAUUGACCAAAUUCACAAAUAUUUACUCCAUUAUUAAUUUUCUUACUGAAGUAAAAAAAAAAAAAAAGGAAUAUCUUUCUUUUUUUCAACUCCAAUUUAUUGAAUUACUCAACAUAUUUUUGAAUAAAAUAUAGUGUAUGAGUUCUCCUAGUUUGAUAAUAUAUUGAAAAACAUAAUUCGUUAUCAAAUCAUUUUUUUUUCCAAAACUAUUAAUUUUAACAAAGUACGAUUUUUUUAAUUGGUUUUUUUUUUUUUCCAUGGAAUCAAAGAUGGGAAUGAUCAUGUAGCCAAACAGAUUGUAGAAAUUACAGAUGGGGAAAACAAAUCUAUCACUUAUAAAUUCAUUGAAGGAGAUCUCCUGAAGAAAUACAAAAGCUUCAUAAUCGUAGUUCAAACAAUUCCAAAGGGUGAUGCCACUUGGGUGCAUUGGACUUUAGAGUAUGAGAAAUUAAACAAAGAUAUCCCGACUCCAAUUAAAGAGCUUGAAUUUUUAGUUCUUGUUGGCGAGGGUGUUGAUGAUCAUCUUGUCCAAGCAUAGACACCAGAGACAUAUGAUAUGGUAAUGUUGUGUACAAGUAUGAGAAAAGUUUGAAAGUUUUAAUUGCUUCUUGUCCUAUAAAUAAUGUUAUAUAUGAUGCAUAAUAUGUGGUACUUUGGUGAUU
rnacentral:lncRNA from 1 species